UCCUCGGCAUCAACCUUAACCUCCCCAUCGACCUCAGCCUCAUCCUCAACAACUGCGGCAAGAACUGCCCCAACGACUUCCACUGCGCAUAGAUGAUCAGUCGAUAUAUCGUCGUCCAUCGCCGGCCGUGGUUCAUCGAUCAUCGGGUGGCGUGAUACGUUGAUGCUUUGCUUAAUGGUUGAUUGAUCUUUUCUUGUCAGUUCCAGCAUAUUUGAGUGGUGUUGUUACAUAUAUAUCACUACCGGAAUUGAUCUCUUUGCCUAGUGCCUGAAGCACUCAGCACAGACUUUGCCGAGUGCCUGAAGCACUCGGCACAGGCUUUGCCGAGUGUCGCACUCGGCAAAGAGGGCUCGGCGAACAGUACAUCGGCAAAGCCUUCUUUGUCGAGUACUUUGUUUUGGGCACUCGGCACAGACUUUGUCGAGUGCCAGGCAAUACUCGGUAAAGAAAAGCCGCCGUCACGACGCCGGGUAAUGGAGAUGACGUCUUUGCUGAGUGUCUCCUAAUACACUCGGCAAAGAACUUAAUCUUUGCCGAGUGUCUACCGGCCAACACUCGACAAAGGAUCCGUCAGCGGGUUUCUUUGUCAGGUUAUUUGUCGAGUGUUGUGUGAGGCACUCGGCAAAGCCUUCCUCUUUGUCGAGUGCCAGGUCCACCGCACUCGACAAAGAACCUAUACUGGUGUCCAGGUCUUGGUUCUUUGCCGAGUGCUAUGACACUGACACUCGAUAAACCACCUCUUUGCCGAGUGUAACACUCGGCAAAGUGACCAGUACACACCUUUUAAAUUUGUUUUUCUAUUCCAUCCAAACAAACAAAAGAUACAUCACAGAUAUCACAUAUAUACAUCACAUAUAUCAUCACAGACAUAAAUAUUCAACACAAACAUUAAUAUACAAGUUCUCAACACAAACAAUAUUGUCGGCGUUUCGGACCCGGGGGACCCUCAACCGAGCCGACCAGUGAAUUUAUCGCUGCGUGCCCCUGCCCAGAUGGGUUGGCGCAAGAUGGAACACAAGGGGGAAUACGGCUUGUAUUAUCUCGCACCGCGGGUGCUCGUAGUAGGGGUUACAAGCGUCGCGAGAGAGAGAGAGAGAGAGUCUCGCGGCAGUCAUCUUCUCCCUCCUCGCUGCCCUCCCCCGCGGAAGGCCCUGGACCUCCCCUUUUAUAGAUGUAAGGAGAGUGUCUAGAUGUACAAUGGGGGUGUAGCUAUGUGCUACGUGGCUAGCGGAGAGGUGCCUGAGCCCUAUGUACAUAAUAACAUGGCCGUCGGAGAGGCGCUUGAGCCUUGUAGAAGCACAACUGUCGGCGUGGCAUGGAUCCUGCUGACGUCUCCUUGCUUCCGUAGGGGGCUGAGAACCACCGACGUCAUGGACGCACGCGGGGAACCAUCAUUACCUGUUACCGGGGUAAGCUAGAUAGGACGCCGAUCUUGUUCCUUCGUAGCCUGAGCUAGCUAGGAGUAGGGUAAUGAUGUAUCCCCUGCGGCACGGUCAGUCCAAGCCCAAGGUCGGGCGAGGCGGAGGCUCUUCCCGAGACCAAGGCUAGGGUCGGGCGAGGAUGUGACUCCUCCCGAGGCCGAGGUUGAGACCGAGGCCGAGGGUCGGGCGAGGCAGAGCUCCCUAUUGCGCUCGAGGCUGAACUCGGCUGUUGUCAGUCUUACCCUAGUGGUUGGCACAGUAGUCGGAGCGGGGUGAGCGGCGUUGUUUUCUUGUCAGAUCGGUCAGUGAAAGGGCGAAGUGACUGCGGUCACUUCGACCUUGCCGACUAAGGCGCGCGUGUCAGGAUAAGGUGUCAGGCGAUCCUCACAUUAAAUGUGCAUGCGAUACGGUCGGUUGGUGAGGCGAUUUGGCCAAGGUUGCUUCACAACGAAGCCUGCCCGAGCUGGGCUUCGGGCGAGCCGAGGGUGUGCCCACUGCCUGAGGGGGCCCUCGUGCGAGGCGUGAAUUCGUCUGGGACUACGACUCCUGCCCGAGGCUAGGCUCGGGCGAGACCGCGUCCCUUGGGUAGACGAAGCCUUGACUUAAACCGUGCCCAUCAGUUUUUAUGGUUUGUUCUGCGGGUGUUUACCAGCUGUGUUUAGGAGUGUUGGGGGUACCCCUAAUUACGAUACCCGACAGUAGCCCCCGAGCCUCGAAGGGAGUGUUGGUACUCGCUUGGAGGCUUUGCCGCAUUUUUUCUGAGGGGACCGGCCUUUCUCGGUUAUAUUUUGUUCCGAUGGGUGCGCGCGAGCGCACCCGUCGGGUGUAGCCCCCGAGGCCUCGAAGGAGUGGUUUGACUCCUUUGAGGUCUUAAUGCUUUUCGUGAUGCCUCGGCCGGCCUUGUUGUUCCCUCAUGCGUCUUGGCCAUGGCCCGGGUGCAUGGUCAGGCGCCGAGUUUUUAAGCCGGUUCGUUGACGAUGUCAACAGUUUGGCCGUAGCCGAGUGCGAGAGCAGCCCCCGAGCCUCUGCACGGAGCGAGAGGACGAUCAAGGACCGUCUCGACUUUUGUUAUAUGCCCCUUUGUCGCCUUUCCGCAAGGAGUAAGGGGGGGGGGGGAAGCGCCAUGUUGCCCUCGGAGGGCACCGAACAUGGUGUUUCCAGUGAGUUGCUAACGGGUGAUCCGAGUGGACGCUCGAGCCCCGUUCGAUAAGGGUCGGCUAGUGGCCCAGAGGCGCGCUCCAAAAGUACCUGCAGGUGAUUUGCCGGACCCGGACCCAUUCGAUAGGGUCCGAGGGCUCGAUGCCUCCCUUCGGUGUGUCGGUGUUUCGAGACUGGGGGGUCCCUGGGCCGACGAGUGAAAAUGUCGCCGCGUGCCCCAGCCCAGAUGGGUCGGCGCGAGACGGAGCGCGAAGGGGGAAGAAAAGGCAGCCGGAGCGAGAGAGAGAGGUGGAAAUCCCGCGACCUUCGUGUCUGUCCCGCGCCCAGGUCGGGUGCGCUUGCAGUAGGGGGUUACAAGCGUCCACGCGGGAGGGGGAGCGAGCGGCCUCACGCGAGCGCCUGUCCCGUCCUCUUCCCCGCGCGGCCAACCCUCUGUAAGAGGGCCCUGGUCCUUCCUUUUAUAGGCGUAAGGAGAGGAUCCAGGUGUACAAUGGGGGGUGUAGCAGAGUGCUACGUGUCUAGCGGAGGAGAGCUAGCGCCCUAAGUACAUGCCAUCGUGGCAGCCGGAGAGGUUUUGGCACCCGGUUCAUGCGGUGUCGUGGCCGUCGGAGGAGCGCUGGAGCCUGGCGGAAGGACAGCUGUCGGGGCUGUUGAGUCCUUGCUGACGGCCUCUUGCUUCCGUAAGGGGGCUGAGAGCCGCCGUCGUCAUAGAGCGUGCAGGGUGCCAUCAUUACUUGUCUGGCGGAGCGAGCCAGAUGGGACGCCGGUCUUGUUCCCCGUAGCCUGAGUCAGCUUGGGGUAGGGUAAUGAUGGCGCCUCCUGUUGACGUGGUCGGUCCGCGCCCUAGGUUGGGCGAUGUGCAGGCUCCUCCGAGGUCGAGGUCGAGUCUGUCUUGCGUGGCCGAGGUCGAGUCCGAGCCCCUGGGUCGGGCGAGGCGGAGACCGUCGGCUGAAGCCAGGGCUAAGUCCGAGCCCUGGGGUCGGGCGAAGCGGAGUUCGUCGUCUUCUGGGGCUGAGCCCAAGUCAGAGCCCUGGGUCGGGCGGAGCGGAGUUCGCCGUCUUCCGGGGCUGAGCCCAAGUCCGAGCCCUGGGUCGGGCGGAGCGGAGUUCGCCGUCUUCCGGGGCUGAGCCCAAGUCCGAGCCCUGGGUCGGGCGGAGCGGAGUUCGCCGUCUUCCGGGGCUGAGCCCAAGUCCGAGCCCUGGGUCGGGCAGAGCGGAGUUCGCCGUCUUCCGGGGCUGAGCCCAAGUCCGAGCCCUGGGUCGGGCGGAGCGGAGUUCGCCGUCUUCCGGGGCUGGGCCCAAGUCCGAGCCCUGGGUCGGGCGGAGCGGAGUUCGCCGUCUUCCGGGGCUGAGCCCGAGUCUGAGCCCUGGGUCGGGCGGAGCGGAGUUUCCUAUGGUGCCUGAGGCCGGGCCUGACUGCCUGUCAGCCUCACUCUGUCGAGUGGCACAGCAGUCGGAGCGGCGCAGGCGGCGCUGUCCUUCUGUCAGGCCGGUCAGUGGAGCGGCGAAGUGACUGCGGUCAUUUCGGCUCGGUCGACUGGAGGACGUGCGUCAGGAUAAAGGUGUCAGGCCGCCUUUGCAUUAAAUGCCCCUGUGAUUUGGUCGGUUGGCGUGGCGAUUUGGCCAGGGUUGCUUCUUGGUGAAGACUGGGCCUUGGGUGAGCCGGAAGUUCGUUCGUCGCUGAAGGGGGGCCUCGGGCGAGACGGAGAUCCUCCGGGGUCGACUGCCCUUGCCCGAGGCUGGGCUCGGGCGAGGCGUGAUCGAGUCCCUCGAAUGGACCGAUCCCUAACUUAGUCGCACCCAUCAGGCCUUUGCAGCUUUGUGCUGAUGGGGGUUACCAGCUGAGAAUUAGGAGUCUUGAGGGUACCCCUAAUUAUGGUCCCCGACAGUAGCCCCCGAGCCUCGAAGGGAGUGUUAACACUCGCUUGGAGGCUUUUGUCGCACUUUUUUGCAAGGGGACCAGCCUUUCUCGGUUGCGUUUUGUUCCGGUGGGUGCGCGCGAGCGCACCCGCCGGGUGUAGCCCCCAAGGCCUCGGAGGAGUGGUUUGACUCCUCCGAGGUCUUAAUGCCUCGCGCAAUGCUUCGGCUGGUCUGGUCGUUCCCUCAUGCGAGCUGGCCGUAGCCCGGGUGCACGGUAGGGUCCCAAGUUCUCGGGCUGGUAUGUUGACGCUGUCAACGAUUUGGCCGGAGCCGGGUUUGCGAGAGCAGCCCCCGAGCCUCUGCACAGGGCGAGAGGACGGUCAGGGACAGACUCGACUUUUUUACAUACGCCCCUGCAUCGCCUUUCCGCAAGGAGGAGGGGGGGAAGCGCCAUGUUGUCCUCGGAGGGCGCCGAACAUGGUGUCUCCGGUGAGCUGCUGGCGGGUAAUCCGAGCGGACGUCCGUGCCCCAUUUGUUAGGGGUCGGCUAGAGGCCCAGAGGCGCGCCCAAAAGUACCUGCGGGUGAUCUACCGGACCCGGUCCCCUGUCGACGGGGUCCGAGGGCUCGAUGCCUCCCUCUGAUGGGAUUCCGUUACAAGAUCGUUGCCGCUGGUCUCGGAAAUGUCCUAGGGUACCUCGGGAGCAUAGCCCGAGCCUUGGUUAUGUAUCGAACGUACCCAGGGUCAUCCCUCGCUCUAUGUCUGAGGCGGCUGUGAACCCUUCGAGGGCCAGCCUUCGAACCCCUGAUCAGUAGUGGGCUUGGAGCCCGAGUGGCCUGAGGCAGCCGUUGAACCCUUCUGAGGGGCCGGCCUUCGAACCUCUGACCAGUAGUGGGUGUGGAGCCCACGCGCUCUGAGGCGGCUGUUGAACCCCUCCGAGGGGCCAGCCUUCGAACCCCUGAUUAGUAGGGAGGCUUGGAGCCUGUUUCCUUCACGGGGAAGGAUCCUUUUCGGGGUAUCCCCCUUUCCCGGUCCCUGUUGUAAGAGAGAGAAAGAGGAAAAGGAUACAAAAUCGAAUGACGCGGCGUACCUUUUUGGACGCGAUCGUUAUGGCGAAGGCGAAGCGUCGCUUGCUUCUCCUGCCAGAGGCGCCGCCUGUCCCGCCGCGGAGUUAAUGCGACGGAGCGGGCGGUUCGCGGGGUGGCCAUUGCGCGUGCGCGAGCCAUUCGAGGAACGGAACACGGGCGCGCCGUCUUCACGCCGUGAGAGAGGGUUCUCUCACUGCCCCAGGAUGGGACGUAAGCUUGGCUGACGACGUGACCGCUGCUCCUACCCGCCUGCCACCGCCAUUACUACCGGCCCAUUUUUGGCCGUAUUGACCGUCGCGCCUGGCUAGCACUGCGGGGUCAUACGCAGGGUUGCCUCGAGUCGCGGUACUAGUUCCGCAGUCGAGGAGGCGUGGCAGUGGUGCGAGUGGCGGUGCAGUUGCUUGCACGUAGCGAUCGGCGCGCCGGUUGCGUGACGCGUGGGCAUGGGCCCUCGCGCUGGGUGCGUUGGAAGUCGGAGGGGCGCGCCCACUUGGCGCGGUUGCAUGCCGCCUGCAUGGCUGCCCGCCCUUUCGCCCGCUGGUCUGGGCGAAAGCGGAGGAAUGCUCGUAACCGCUGGGCGGUUGCAUGCACCGCGCGUGGCGGUUUGGCUUCUUCUGCUCUGGGCCAGCUUGCAUGACGCGUGGGACCCAGCCCCCGCGCCGUAGGGGGAGGACCUUGGAGCGUGUUGGAGAAGACUCAGCCCACGACGGCUGGGGACGCAAGUAGGGAGGGUCGCCUUUAAAAGGAGGGUGACCGCCUUUGAAGGCGACCAUGUCUUCGCGCUCCCUUAUGCAUCGUGUCUUUCCACCUUUCGGGCCCUCGGAUGGGGGACACCCACAAUCCUUCCGCCUCGUCGUUGGAGGAACGCAACUCCGUGGGAGUUGGCACCUUUCAGCCAUCGUUCGGCUUCAAGGAUUUUCAUCACGCAGCCCGGCUGCACCCCUCCGCCGGUGGUCACCCAAGACGGUGACCACCAGCCCCUGGAUGGGGAGAAGCAAGCCGGGCAGCGGCCCCCGCCUCUUCCCCAGCUUCAAGGAUGCUUACCAUCCUUGCUGGGGCGGAGAGCGAGGCGAGCCGGGGCUCUACCUCCCGCACGGGUCGGCUGGCCACCUCCUCUUCCAGCUUCUGGUGGUGGAAACCAUCCCCCAGCUCUGCGGAGGAGGCGUCCUCUAGCCAUGCCGGGGAAGGCGAACUGUUGCUGCCCAGCUAGGAUGCAGCAUUCCACCCUCUUCCUCGUUUUUGUGGCGAGGACGGGAGCGAGGACCUGCCGGUGCGCUUUGGAGGGCCCGCUCUUUAGCUUUGAUGUCUGGUUCGUGUCCCUUGAGCAGGGACGCGAACGAAAGCCUUCCGGUCGCCGCGUUCGUCCUGGGACCAUAGCUGCUGCUGCAGAGGUCGCUAGCGAGUCGCCCGGAACUUGUCGCCCCGCAGGCUCCCCGGUGUGGAGGUCGUUCAUACCCGCGGGGACGGAACCGGAGUUCCGUUUGUAAUGGCACCUUGAAUGCCGGUCUUUUGUUCAUUGUGGCUAUCGGGGCCUGAACGUGUAUGUAUUUUUGGCGCGGAGCCGUGUUUUUUCCUCAUUUCCGAGCACUAAAACUCGCAUGUUGGUUGUCUGAACCGCUUCACCAAGCGUGAGUCGCCUCGUACAAAGGUGACGAGUGAGGUAUCCGUAUCCCGGAGGCGUAGGAGUCCCUCGGCUCGGUCGGCCCUGCUGUCCGAGGCUUCUCUUGCUUAGUUAAAGGAACCCCUCGGCCGCUCUUCGAUGAGCCGAGGCCAGGGGUAGCAGUGUCAGCACGGACAGAGGCAGAGUUGGCUCGAAAAGAAGACUUGGUCGGCCGGAGCCUGGCCGGGUCGUCCGUUAGCGGGACCGACGCCGGAGUUGAUCUGCCGAGGCCUCGGGCCGGGCUGAUGUCUUCGGGGGACAACUGGCCGAGGCCUCGGGGCGACCAGCCGAGUCGCCUGCUUGAGCCGGAUUCUUGGAGAAGACCCUGGCGGCGAUGGCCCGGGCAUGAUGAUGAUGUUGUCCUUCCGAGUGGAGAUUCUCGGACCGCGUCGCCGUCCGAGGCUAGGCCGGACCUCGCCGAAGGUGUAGUUGACGCCGAGGGUGCUGCUGCUCCCUUCAACCGUCAAGAUCCGAGCCUGCAGAAUCGGAUUAUCUUGUAGCGUGUGUUUUCUGCGGCCGCCGAGGCCCAAACACACCCUCGCCGUGUUGUAAAGCUGCGCUUCUUUUCCUCUUGUUUCGAGUAUCUGGACUUUUUCGUCAGUAACAGAAUUGUCUUGUGCGAGCGAGAGUUGCUUUUCACGGAAGGUGAUGAGUGAGGUAUCCGUAUCCCGGAGGCAUGGGAAUCCCUCAGCUCGGUCGGCCUUGCCGCUUACGCGCACUCUUGCCCGUCCAUGGGGUUCUGUCACCGGCGUAGUCGAGAAAGCCCGAAGAAUCGCUUCGGCAGAAGAGCUUUCGAACGUGAAGACUUGUUCGGUCCGCAGAAUCACUUAUCCGAACGGGAGUUACUUAUCACAGAAGGUGAUGAGUGAGGUAUCCGUAUCCCGGAGGCGUAGGAGUCCCUCGGCUCGGUCAGCCUUGGCUGCUUACGUGUACUCCAUCGUUUUCAGGAUCCACUUUCGAAGCAGUCGAAAAGCACGAAAGACAUUCUGGCAGAAAAGAUCUUUUUUCGAGGAAAAUUUCGACGCAGAGGGGGUUCCCCCCUUUUAGCCCCCGAGGGAGGGUCGGGCUUUGCCGAGGCAAGGCUGACCCUUCCUUGAUGACUAAACUUUGCGUGGGAGCGAGGUAUAUGAAUAACUUGAAAGCAUCUUAAGGGUAGAAGCGACGUAGCUGUUGGAUGUUCCAAGCGUUGUUGUAGACCUCGCCUUGACUGUUGGACAGCUUGUACGUUCCAGGCUUCAGAACUUUGGCGAUGAAGAACGGCCCUUCCAAGGGAGGCGUGAGCUUGUGCCGCCCUCGGGCAUCCUGUCACAGCCGAAGCACCAGGUCACCCACCUGGAGGUCUCGGGACCGGACCCCUCGGGCGUGGUAGCGUCGCAGGGACUGCUGGUACCGCGCCGAGUGUAGUAAGGCCAUGUCUCGAGCCUCUUCCAGCUGGUGCAGCGAGUCUUCUCGACUAGCUUGGUUGCUUUGGUCGGCAUAGGCCCUCGUCCUCGGGGAACCGUAUUCUAAGUCUGUGGGCAAGAUGGACUCGGCCCCAUAGACUAGAAAGAACGGCGUGAAGCCUGUGGCUCGGCUCGGUGUUGUCCUCAGGCUCCAGACCACCGAGGGGAGUUCCUUCAUCCAUCGCUUGCCGAACUUGUUGAGGUCAUCGUAGAUCCGAGGCUUGAGCCCUUGUAGAAUCAUGCCGUUGGCACGCUCUACUUGCCCAUUCGUCAUGGGGUGAGCCACGGCGGCCUAGUCCACCCGGAUGUGGUGAUCCUCGCAGAAGUCCAGGAACUUUCUACCAGUGAACUGGGUGCCGUUGUCGGUGAUGAUGGAGUUCGGGACCCCAAAACGAUGGAUGAUGUUGGUGAAGAACGCCACCGCCUGUUCGGACCUGAUGCUGUUUAGGGGUUGGACCUCGAUCCACUUGGAGAAUUUGUCGAUGGCGACCAACAGGUGCGUGUAGCCCUCGAGUGCCUUCUACAAGGGGCCGACGAGGUCCAGACCCCACACAGCAAAAGGCCAGGUGAUGGGUAUCGUCUGUAGAGCCUGAGCGGGCAGGUGGGUCUGCCUCGCGUAGAACUGACACCCUUCGCAGGUGCGGACAAUUCUAGUGGCGUCGGCCACCGCCGUCGGCCAGUAGAAACCUUGUCGGAAGGCGUUUCCAAUGAGGGCUCGAGGUGCUGCGUGAUGGCCGCAAGCCCCCGAGUGUAUCUCUCGUAGGAGGUCUUGGCCUUCGGCGAUGGAAAUGCAUCGCUGGAGGAUGCCUGAGGGGCUGCGGUGGUAGAGCUCCUUCCCAUCUCCCAGCAAGACGAAUGACUUGGCGCGCCGCGCCAACCGCCGAGCUUCGGCUCGAUCGAGGGGUAGCUCUCCUCGGUGGAGAUACUGCAGGUACGAGGUCUGCCAGUUUUGAUCAGGCGCGACCCCGCUUCGCUCCUCCUCGACGCGCAGUGCCUCACCCUCGGGGGCCGAGGGUACCUCGGGCUGAACCGAGGGUGCCUCGGGCCGAGCUGAGGGUGCCUCGUGUUGGGCCGAGGGUGCCUCGAACUGAGCCGAGGGUGCCUCGGGCUCGGACGUGUCGUCGAUCUUGACGGAGGGUUGAUGCAGGUCUCGGGAGAAGACGUCCGGGGGAACCGUUGUUCGCCCCGUGGCUAUUUUAGCCAGCUCGUCUGUAGUCUCGUUGUAGCACCGGGCGAUGUGGUUGAGCUCGAGCCCGUAGAACUUGUCUUCCAGGCGCCGAACCUCAUCGCAGUAGGCCUCCAUCUUCGGGUCGCGGCAGUGGGAGUUCUUCAUGACUUGGUCGAUGACGAGCUGCGAGUCACCGCGAGCGUCGAGGCGUCGGACCCCUAGCUCGAUGGCGAUCCACAACCCGUUGACCAGAGCCUCGUACUCAGCCACAUUGUUGGACGCCAGGAAAUGGAGGCGUAGCACGUAGCGUAGAUGCUUUCCGAGGGGCGAGAUGAAGAGUAGGCCUGCGCCGGCUCCUGUCUUCAUCAGCGACCCGUCGAAGAACAUGGUCCAGAGUUCCGGCUGGAUCGGAACUGUUGGGAGCUGGGUGUCGACCCAUUCAGCCACGAAGUCCGCUAAGACCUGGGACUUGGUGGCCUUCUGAGGGGCGAACGAGAUUGUUUCGCCCAUGAUUUCCACCGCCCACUUUGCGAUUCUACCCGAGGCCUCUCAGCACUGGAUGAUCUCCCCCAGGGGGAAGGAUGACACCACAGUUACCGGAUGAGACUCGAAGUAGUGUCGCAACUUCCGCCUCGUCAGGAUCACCGUGUACAACAGCUUCUGAACUUGUGGGUAGCGGAUCUUGGUCUCAAACAGUACCUCGCUGAUGAAGUAGACUGGCCUCUGGAUGGGCAAUGCAUGCCCUUCUUCUCGUCUCUCAACCACGAUCGCGGCGCUAACCACCUGAGUGGUCGCGGCGACAUAGAUCAAGAGGGCUUCUCCGGCAGCGGGAGGCACCAAGACGGGCGCGUUGGUGAGGAGCGCCUUCAGGUUCCCGAGGGCUUCCUCGGCCUCAGGGGUCCAAGUGAAGCACUCGACCUUCCUUAAGAGGCGGUACAGAGGCAGGCCUCUUUCGCCGAGGCGUGAGAUGAAACGGCUCAGAGCCGCAAGACAUCCCAUGACUCUCUGUACGCCUUUCAAGUCCUUGAUGGGCCCCAUGCUGGUGAUGGCCGCAAUCUUCUCCGAGUUGGCUUCGAUGCCCCGCUCGGAGACGAUGAACCCCAAGAGCAUGCCUCGGGGAACCCCAAAGACACACUUCUCGGGAUUAAGCUUCACGCCUUUCGCCUUGAGACAUCGGAAUGUCACUUCAAGGUCGGAAAGGAGGUCGGAGGCUUUCCUCGUCUUGACUACGAUGUCAUCAACGUAGGCCUCGACCGUCUGGCCAAUGUGUUCGCCGAACACAUGGUUCAUGCACCGCUGGUACGUCGCACCCGCAUUCCUCAAGCCGAACGGCAUGGUGACAUAACAGUACAUGCCGAAGGGUGUGAUGAAAGAAGUCGUGAGCUGGUCGGACUCUUUCAUCCUGAUUUGGUGAUACCCUGAGUAGGCAUCGAGGAAAGACAGGGUUUCGCACCCAGUAGUGGAAUCCACGAUUUGAUCGAUGCGAGGCCGAGGGUAGGGAACCUUCGGACAUGCUUUGUUUAGACCAGUGUAGUCUACACACAUCCGCCAUUUCCCUCCUUUCUUUCUCACAAGCACAGGGUUGGCAAGCCAUUCGGGAUGGAAUACCUCUUUGAUGAACCCUGCCGCCAUUAGCUUGUGGAUCUCCUCGCCAAUGGCUCUACGCUUUUCUUCGUCGAAUCGGCGCAGAGGCUGCUUCACGGGUCGGGCUCCGGCUCGGAUAUCCAGCGAGUGCUCGGCGACAUCCCUCGGUAUGCCGGGCAUGUCCAAGGGACUCCACGCGAAAACGUCGGCGUUUGCGCGGAGAAAGUCGACGAGCACUGCUUCCUACUUGGGAUCGAGCUCGGAGCCGAUCCGGAUCUGCUUGGAGGCGUCGCUGCUGGGGUCGAGGGGGACGGACUUAACUGUCUCCGCUGACUCGAAGUUGCCGGCGUGGCGCUUCAUGUCUGGUACCUCCUUAGAGAGGCUUUCCAGGUCGGCGAUGAGGGCCUCGGAUUCGGCGAGGGCCUCGGCGUACUCCACGCACUCCACGUCGCAUUCGAACGCGUGUUUGUACGUGGGGCCGACGGUGAUGACCCCGUUGGGGCCCGGCAUCUUGAGCUUGAGGUAGGUGUAGUUGGGGACGGCCAUGAACUUUGCGUAGCAUGGCCUCCCCAGUACUGCGUGGUAGGUUCCUCGGAACCCGACCACCUCGAACGUGAGGGUCUCCCUUCGGAAGUUGGAGGGUGUUCCGAAGCAGACGGGAAGGUCAAGUUGUCCGAGGGGCUGGAUGCGCUUCCCGGGGAUGAUCCCGUGGAAAGGCGCAGCGCCUGCCCGGACCGAGGACAGAUCAACACGCAGGAGCCCGAGGGUCUCGAUGUAGAUGAUGUUGAGGCUGCUGCCUCCGUCCAUAAGGACCUUGGUGAGUCUGACGUCGCCGAUGACGGGGUCGACAACGAGCGGGUAUUUCCCCAGGCUCGGCUCGUGGUCGGGGUGGUCGGCUUGGUCGAAGGUGAUGGGCUUGUCGGACCAGUCUAGGUAGACUGGCGCCGCCACCUUCACCGAACAGACCUCCCGACACUCUUGCUUGCGGUGCCGAGCCGAGGCGUUUGCCGCUUGCCCACCGUAGAUCAUGAAGCAGUCGUGGACCUCGGGGAACUCUCCUGCCUGGUGAUCCUCCCUCUUGUCGUCGUCGCGGGCCUUGCCACCCUCCGCGGGUGGCCCGACCCUGUGAAAGUGGCGCCGAAGCAUAGCGCACUCCUCAAGGGUGUGCUUGACGGGCCCCUGAUGAUAGGGGCACGGCUCCUUGAGCAUCUUGUCGAAGAGGUUGGCACCUCCGGGGGGUUUCCGAGGGUUCUUGUACUCGGCGGCGGCGACAAGGUCCGCGUCGGCGGCGUCGCGUUUCGCUUGCGACUUCUUCUUGCCCUUCUUCUUGGCGCCGCGCUGAGUUGACGCCUCGGGGGCAUCUUCAGGUGGGCAGCCCUGGGGCUGCUUGUCCUUCCGGAAGGUAGCCUGAACCGCCUCCUGGCCAGAGGCGAACUUGGUGGCGAUGUCCAUCAGCUCGCUCGCCCUGGUGGGGGUCUUGCGACCCAGCUUGCUCACCAGGUCGUGGCAGGUGGUGCCGGCGAGGAACGCGCCGAUGACAUCCGAAUCGGUGAUGUUGGGCAGCUCGGUGUGCUGCUUCAAGAAUCGCCGGAUGUAGUCCCGGAGAGACUCUCCCGGCUGCUGCCGGCAGCUUCGGAGGUCCCAGGAGUUCCUAGGGCGCGCGUACGUGCCCUGGAAAUUGCCGGCGAAGGCUUGGACCAGGUCGUCCCUGUUGGAGAUCUGCCCCGGAGGCAGGUGCUCCAACCAGGCACGAGCGGUGUCGGAGAGGAACAGGGGGAGGUUGCGGAUGAUGAGGUUGUCAUCGUCCAUCCCACCCAGUUGGCAGGCCAGCCGGUAGUCCGCAAGCCUCAGUUCCGGUCUCAUCUCCCUCAAGUACUUUGUGAUAGUAGUCGGGGUUCAGAACCGGGUCGGGAACGGCGCCCGUCAUAUGGCGCGGCUGAAAGCCUGCAGACCAGGUGGUUCGGGCGAGGGACUCCGAUCCUCCCCGCUGUCGUAGCGUCCCCCACGCCUGGGUUGGUAGCCUCGGCGCACCCUCUCGUCGAUGUGGGCCCGACGGUCGCGGUGAUGGUGCUCGUUGCCGAGGCGUCCCGGGACCGCAGGCGCUGUGUUGCGCGUGCGCCCGGUGUGGACCGAGGCUUCCCGCAUGAAUCGGGAAGUCGCGACACGAUGUUUCGAGGGGUACCCCUGCCUUCGGGAGGCGGAGCUUUCGGCCCGUCGGACCGUGGCGCCCUCCAGGAGAUUCUUGAGCUCUCCCUGGAUUCGCCGCCCCUCGGUGGUUGAUAGCUUUGGCAUCGCACGGAGAAGCAUUGCUGCUGCAGCCAGGUUCCGGCCGACCCCACUGGAAGCGGGUGGCGGCCUCACCCUGACAUCGUCGGCGAUGCGUUGCUGGAUACCCUGGGGUAGAUGGUGCACUUCUCCGGCCGGAGGUUGGCCCGCCCAUUCCUGCUUGACGUCCCAGCGGAUCGGCUCAAGUGCUCCCGCUCCCUCGUCGAGCCUGGCCGGCACCCCGCGGAUUUGCUCGAGCUGUGGGUCAUGACCCCCCGCCGGAACGGGGACCACAGCUAACUCCUAUAGGAUGUCAACGCGAGGCACAGGCCUAGGGAGAUCACCGUUCUCCGGCAUACCAAGAUGGUUGCCUUCGGAGGGACCCCCUAGAUCGACGUGGAAACAUUCGCGACUUGGGCCGCAGUCCUCGUCGCCGAGGCUGCGGCUACCGUCGGAACAGUCGGAAAGGCAGUAGUCGCAUGCGGUCAUGAAGUCCCGCACGACACUGGGGUUACCAAGUCCGGAGAAGUCCCAAGAGAAGUCGGGCUCGUCAUCUUCCUCGGACCCCGAGGGCCCGUAGGUCGAGACGUCCGUCAGCCGGUCCCAGGGUGACCGCAUACGAUACCCCAGAGGGUUCGGACUCGCCUCCACGAGAGCGUCCGCCAAAGCGAAGCCGCUCGGCGGGUCGAGGCUGAAUCCAAGAGGCGUGAGAUGGGAACCGGUGGGUACCUCUUGGUCGACGGGCGGUGACGAAGUCACAUCAGGGACUGACUACACCGUCGUCACAGGUACGAGGGUGACGCCCAGUAAGCCUUUCGCGAGCGUGCUGGCGUCGUCCGUUUGCUUGGAAUUGGCGUGUUGCGGGGAGACGGCGCUCGUCUUCGUCUCAAACGCGAGGUCGAUGCUCGACGCGCCCCCCAUUGGGGUGCCGGCGCCGUCGACUUGCUCGACAGCCGACGAGGUGCCACCUCCUGCUUGGCCUUGGUUGCCCCGCCGGCGGGGGAGAGGGCGGGGUGAGCUCGAAUGUCGUUCUUCCACCACACAGGGAAGACGUCGUCGAUUCCGCCGCCGGCGGGCAGGCUGUCGGCCGCCAUUGUCGCUGUCGCACGGCGGGGGAAGGAGUACCAUGUCGUAGCUGCCGUCGAGGGACAUGAACUCAAGACUCCCGAAACGGAGCACCGUCCCAGGCUGGAAAGGUCGCUAGAGACUGCCCAUCUGGAGCUUGACGGGAAGCUGUUCGUCAACACGCUGCAGGCCCCUACCUGGCGCGCCAACUGUCGGCGUUUCGAGACCGGGGGGUCCCUGGGCCGAUGAGUGAAAAUGUCGCCGCGUGCCCCAGCCCAGAUGGGUCGGCGCGAGACGGAGCGCGAAGGGGGGAAGAAAAGGCAGCCGGAGCGAGAGAGAGAGGUGGAAAUCCCGCGGCCUUCGUGUUUGUCCCGCGCCCAGGUCGGGUGCGCUUGCAGUAGGGGGUUACAAGCGUCCACGCGGGAGGGGGAGCGAGCAGCCUCACGCGAGCGCCUGCCUCGUUCUCUUCCCCGCGCGGCCAACCCUCUGUAAGAGGGCCCUAGUCCUUCCUUUUAUAGGCAUAAGGAGAGGAUCCAGGUGUACAAUGGGGGGUGUAGCAGAGUGCUACGUGUCUAGCGGAGGAGAGCUAGCGCCCUAAGUACAUGCCAUCGUGGCAGCCGGAGAGGUUUUGGCACCCGGUUCAUGCGGUGUCGUGGCCGUCGGAGGAGCGCUGGAGCCUGGCGAAAGGACAGCUGUCGGGGCUGUUGAGUCCUUGCUGACGUCCUCUUGCUUCCGUAAGGGGGCUGAGAGCCGCCAUCGUCAUAGAGCGUGCGGGGUGCCAUCAUUACUUGUCUGGCGGAGCGAGCCAGAUGGGACGCCGGUCUUGUUCCCCGUAGCCUGAGUCAGCUUGGGGUAGGGUAAUGAUGGCGCCUCCUGUUGACGUGGUCGGUCCGCGCCCUAGGUUGGGCGAUGUGGAGGCUCCUCCAAGGUCGAGGUCGAGUCUGUCUUGCGUGGCCGAGGUCGAGUCCGAGCCCCUGGGUCGGGCGAGGCGGAGGCCGUCGGCUGAAGCCAGGGCUAAGUCCGAGCCCUGGGGUCGGGCGAAGCGGAGUUCGUCGUCUUCUGGGACUGGGCCCAAGUCAGAGCCCUGGGUCAGGCGGAGCGGAGUUCACCGUCUUCCGGGGCUGAGCCCAAGUCCGAGCCCUGGGUCGGGCGGAGCGGAGUUCGCCGUCUUCCGGGGCUGAGCCCAAGUCCGAGCCCUGGGUCGGGCGGAGCGGAGUUCGCCGUCUUAUGGGGCUGAGCCCGAGUCCGAGCCCUGGGUCGGGCGGAGCGGAGUUCGCCGUCUUCCGGGGCUGAGCCCAAGUCCGAGCCCUAGGUCGGGCGGAGCGGAGUUCACCGUCUUCCGGGGCUGGGCCCAAGUCCGAGCCCUGGGUCGGGCGGAGCGGAGUUCGCCGUCUUCCGGGGCUGAGCCCGAGUCCGAGCCCUGGGUCGGGCGAAGCGGAGUUUCCUAUGGUGCCUGAGGUCGGGCCUGACUGCCUGUCAGCCUCACUCUGUCGAGUGGCACAGCAGUCGGAGUGGCUCAGGCGGCGCUGUCCUUCUAUCAGGCCGGUCAGUGGAGCGGCGAAGUGACUGCAGUCACUUCGGCUCGGUCGACUGGAGGACGUGCGUCAGGAUAAAGGUGUUUGGCCGCCUUUGCAUUAAAUGCCCCUGCGAUUUGGUCGGUUGGCGUGGCGAUUUGGCCAGGGUUGCUUCUUGGUGAAGACUGGGCCUCGGGCGAGCCGGAAGUUCGUUCGUCGCUGGAGGGGGGCCUCGGGCGAGACGGAGAUCCUCCGGGGUCAGCUGCCCUUGCCCGAGGCUAGGCUCGGGCGAGGCGUGAUCGAGUCCCUCGAAUGGACCGAUCCCAGACUUAGUCGCACCCAUCAUGCCUUUGCAGCUUUGUGCUGAUGGGGGUUACCAGCUGAGCAUUAGGAGUCUUGAGGGUACCCCUAAUUAUGGUCCCCGACAGGUGGGAUUCCAUUACAAAAUCGCUCCUGCUGGUCUCGGAAAUGUCCUAGGGUACCUCAGGAGUGUAGCCCGAGCCUCGGCCAUGUAACAGACGUACCCAGAGUCAUCCCUCACUCUGCGUGCUCUGGGCGGCUGUCGAACCCUUCCGAGGGGCCAGCCUUCGAACCCCUUAUCAGUAAUGGGCUCGGAGCCCGAGUGCUCUGGGGCGGCUGUCGAACCCUUCCGAUGGGCCAGCCUUCGAACCUCUGAUCAGUAAUGGGCUCGGAGCCUGUUUCCUUCGCCGAGAAGGAUCCUUUUCGUAAUAUCCCCUUUCCCGGUCCCUGUGGCAAGAGAGAGAGAGAGAUAGAAAAAGGAAAAAGAUAUGGAUUUAAAUAAUGUGGCGCACCUUUUUUGACGUGGUCAUCAUGGCGGAGGUGAAACAACACCCGCCUUGCCUGCCGGAGGUGUCGCUUGCCUUGCUAGGGAGUUAAUGCGACGGGACGGGCGAUUCGCGGGGCGUCUGUUGCACGUGCGCGAGUCGUUCGAGGAACGGAACAUGGGUGCGUCGUCCUUGUGCCGUGGGAGAGGGCUCUCCUGCCGCUUCAGGAGGGGACGCGAGCCUGCAGGCGAUUUGACCACUGCUUCCGCUCGUCUGUUGCCGCAAUUACUGCCGGCCCACUUUUGGCCAUAUCAACCGCCGUGCCUCCUCCCAUGGUUGACUGACCCGUGAUCGUUGCACUCAAUUGGCACUGUUGGGUCACACGCAGGGCUGCCUCAAAUCGCGGCACUGGUUCUGCAGUCGAGAAGAUGCGGCAUUGGCGCAAGCGGGGGUGCGGUUUUUUGCACGCAGUAACCGUCGCGCCGGUUGCAUGACAUGCGGGCCCGGGCCUUCACGCUGACCCACCGGAUGCGAUGAAGCUGAAAGGGUGCACAACCGUGGUGCGGUUGCACGCCUCUUGCAUAGCGUUCCACCCUUUCGACCGCUGGUUUCGACGAGGAUGGAGGAGUGCUUAUAACUGCGGGGCGGUUACAUGCUCUGCGUGCGGCGGUUUGCCUUCUUCGCGUUUCGGGUCAGCCUGCAUGACGUGUGGGACCCAGCCCUCGUGUCGCAGGGUGGGAACCCUGGAGCAUGUUGGUGGAGACUUUGCCCGUGACGCUUGGGGAUGCGAGUGGGGAGAGCCGCCUUUAAAAAGGGAUCGGUCCCCCGAGCAGUAGACAUGCCUUCACACUUCUCGCUUUCAUCGCGCCCUUUUACCUUCCGAGCCCCCAGAUGGGGUGCGCCUGCGUUGCCUUCUUUUUGCUGCUGUUUGAGGAGCGCGACCCCGUGGGGGUUGGCGCUCUUCAGACAUCGCUCGGCUUCAAGGAUUUUCAUCAUCCGGGCUAGGGAGGAGGGCGCACCGAGUUGGGGCUUGCCUCCGCGUGGGCCGGCGACCCGCUUCUUCUUCCGGCAUUCGGGGGAGACAUCCUCUAGCUACGCGGGGGAAGGCAAAUUGCUGCUGCCUGGACAGGGUGCAGCUGUCCGUCCUCCACCCGGGCGACGGUCGUGCCGCACGCGGUCCGGCCACGUCCAGGUCCUCCUUGCGCCGUCAGCUGGCCCGGGGGUCGCACAACACGUCGUACGCCGUGAGGGCGGUACUCGUGUUCUGGGACGAUCCCGUUCUCGUUCUUGUAGCGAGGACGGGAGUGAGGACCUGUCAGUGCGCUUUGGGGCGACCGCCAUUCGCCGGUGCGGUGUUGGUGGGCAGGUGGCCGCUGUUGUCGGUGCUGAGGUGGUGGUUGCCAUAGGUGAGGCUUCCCCUUGCCGAAGCGGUUCUCUCCACUGAUGAGACCGUCAGUGCCACCUGCGCUCCGGACCUCUGGCUCUUUGGUUUUAAUCGCUGGUUCUUGUCCCCCGUGAGGGGACGUGAACGAGGACCUUUCAGCAGCAGCGUUUGCCCUGAGGCCAUCACUGCAGCUGUCUUGCCGCCCGAGACGGAGGUCGUUGUCGCGCUGUUGGUGCAGCGGUCGCCGGCGAGCCACCCGGAGUUUGUUAUCCCGCAAGCCUUCUGGUGUGGAGGUUGUUCAUACUUGCGGGAAUGGACCUGGAGUCUCGUUUGUAAUGGUACACUUUUGAGAGCGAGAUGUAAUACCUUUAGGUACUAUGACAUCUGCCGUAGGUCGGGAAAACCGCCGAGGGCGCUGCCGACGUUCAAGUCUAGGUACCAUUGUUACCCAGGGGCGGGCCCAGGAUUUAGUCAAUGGGUAUUCGAAAUUUUACUAGAGCAAAAAAAAUGUUUUGAUAGUCUAAAAUCUAUCUUAGUAGCCUUAGUCAUAUAUAAUUGAUGGCGUAAAGCCUAUUAGAAUAGCCUUUAGAUAUAUAUAAUUUAUUCGCAUGCACAGACGAGCAGCUCCUUCUCUUGAGCCUCGGCGAGCGGCACAGCAGGCAUCGAGGUCAGGCCAUCGGUUGCUCACUCGCUUCACGCUCCUGCCCUGACACGGUAGUCCGGCUUCGUGGCUCCUCCACUCCUGCAAACCCACGCUGGCAUGCUGCCACCAGAGGUUGAGCCCUUGAAGCCUUGAAGUAAGCGACUAACCGAAGGGCAGCCACUAAGCCAUGAAAGAUAGGGUGCUGGUUGGCUCGUUCAAUGAGCCUUAUGCUUUAAUGGGCUGUGCGUUAGGAAAAAAAACGAGACCUGAAAUGCGAAUUUGAAAAUAGGACCGCAUAUUUUAUGUAUUUUGUAAUAUUUUAGUGUAUAUAUCUAACAUAUAUAUAUAUAUAUGUAUAUCUAUUUUUUGCCAAAAAAUGGGUAUUCAACUGAAUACCCUUGCUACUGUGCGGGCCCGCCCAUGUUGUUACCCCAAGUACGUGUGUUUGUUCUUUGUGGCUGCUGAGGCCUGAACAUUUGGGUAGUUGAGCGUGAAACCGUGUUUCUUCCUCAUUUCGAGCACUAGGACUUGCCUGUCGGCUUGCGAAACCACUUAACCGAACAUGAGUUGCCUUGCGCGGAAGGUGACGAGUGAGGUAUCCGUAUCCCAGAGGCGUAGGAGUCCCUCGGCUCGGUCGGCCUUGCCGCUCAAGGCCUCUCUCGCUCAGUUUUUGGACCUUCGGCUGCUCUGCGAUGAGCUGAAGCCGGAGGCAGUGGUGUCGGCGUGGACGAAGGCGGUGUCGGCUCGAAUAGAGGCUUCGUCGGCCCGGGAGCAGGUGGCUUCCCAGGCCGAGGAGGUGCAGCAGCGGCGGCUGGAGCUUGGCCAGGUCAUCCGCGAGCGGGACCAACCCCGGAGUCAUGCUGCCGAGGCCGUGAGCCGGGCUGAGGUCCUCAGGGGACAGCCGACUGAGGCUACGGAGCGGCCAGCCGAGGCGUUCGCUCGGGCCGGGACCCUUACGGAGAGCCUAGCCAUGAGGGCCCAAGCGCGGUGCUGGCGUCCUCCUUCGAGGUGGAGAUCCUUCUGCCGUGUCACCGUCUGAGGCCGAGCCAGAUUACGCCAAGGGUGGAAAUGACGCCGAGGGUGCUGCUCCUCCCCCUGCCGAUGUCUGAACCUGCAGGAACAGUUUGUCUGAAGCAUGCGUAUAUUUUUCGUGGCCGCUGAGGCCUAAACAUUUUAUUGUCGUAUUAUAAAGCUGCAUUUUCUUUCCUCUCGUUUCGAGCAUUAAGACUUGUUCAUCGGUAACAGAAUCGCUUAUCCGAGCGAGAGUUACUUUUCACGGAAGGUGAUGAAUGAGGUAUCCGUAUCCCGGAGGCGUAGGAGUCCCUCGGCUCGGUCGGCCUUGCCGCUUACGUGCUCUCUCAUUCGGUUGUAGGAUUCUGUUAUCGAUACAGUCGAGAAGGCACGAAAGUCGUUUUUUACCCGAGCAUUAGGACUUGUUCGGUAGCAGAAUCGCUUAUCCGAGCGUGAGUUACUUUUCGCGGAAGGUGAUGAGUGAGGUAUCCGUAUCCCGGAGGCGUAGGAGUCCCUCGGCUCGGUCGGCCUUGCCGCUUACGUGUACUCUCGUCGUUUUUAGGACCCUGCUAUCGAUAUAGUCGAAAGCACGAAAGUCGUUUUGGUAGAAAAAUUUUCCGAGGAAAAUUUUGACGCAGAGGGGGUUCCCCCCUUCUAGCCCCCGAGGGAGGGUCGGGCUUUGCCGAGGCAAGGCUGAUCCUUCCUUGACAGUUAGACUUUAUUUAUGUAUGUAAAGAAAACGAGGUAUAUGAGCGACUUGAAACAUCUUAAGGGUAGAAGCGACGUAGCUGUUGGAUGUUCCAAGCGUUGCGGUAGACCUUGCCUUGAUCGUUGGCCAGCUUGUAUGUUCCGGGCUUCAAAAUCUUGGCGAUGAUGAACGACCCUUCCCAGGGAGGAGUAAGCUUGUGGCACCCUCGGGCGUCUUGUCGGAGCCGAAGUACCAAGUCUCCCACCUGGAAGCCUCGGGGACGAACCCUUCGGGCGUGGUAGCGUCGCAGAGACUGCUGAUACCGUGCCGAGUGUAGUAAGGCCACAUCCCGAGCCUCUUCCAGCUGGUCCAAUGAAUCUUCUCGGCUGGUCUGGUUGCUUCGGUCGUCGUACGCCUUUGUCCUCGGGGAACCGUAUUCUAAGUCCGUGGGUAGGACGGCCUCGACCCCAUAGACUAUAAAGAACGGCGAGAAACCCGUGGACCAGCUCGGCGUCGUCCUCAGACUCCAGACCACCGAAGGUAGCUCUUUCAUCCACCACUUGCCAAACUUGUUGAGGUCGUUGUAGAUCCUCAGUUUUAGUCCCUGCAAAAUCAUACCGUUGGCACGCUCCACCUGCCCAUUCGUCAUGGGGUGAGCUAUGGCGGCCCAGUCCACACGGAUGUGGUGGUCCUCGCAGAAGUCCAGGAACUUCUUCCCAUUGAACUGCGUGCCAUUGUCGGUGAUGAUGGAAUUCGGGACCUCAAAGCGAUGGAUGAUGUUUGUGAAGAACACCACUGCCUGCUCGAACCUGAUGCUGGUUAAGGGUCGAACCUCGAUCCACUUGGAGAAUUUGUCGAUGGCGACCAGCAGGUGCGAGAAGCCCCCGGGUGCCUUCUGCAAGGGACCGACGAGGUCCAGACCCCACACGGCAAAUGGCCAGGUGAUGGGUAUUGUCUGCAGGGCCUGAGCGGGCAGGUGCGUCUGUCUCGCGUAGAAUUGACACCCUUGGCAGGAGCGUACAAUCCUAGUGGCGUCGGCCACCAUGGUCGGCCAGUAGAAACCUUGUCGGAAGGCGUUCCCCACGAGGGCUCGAGGUGCUGCAUGGUGACCGCAAGCCCCCAAGUGUAUCUCUUGCAAUAGCUCUUGUCCUUCGGCGAUGGAUAUGCAUCGUUGGAGAAUGCCUGAGGGGCUGCGGUGAUAGAGCUCCUUUUCAUCACUCAGUAAAGCGAACGACUUGGCGCGCCGAGCCAGUCGCCGAGCUUCGACCUUGUCGAGGGGUAGCUCUCCUAGGAGGAGAUAUUCCAGGUACGGGGUCUGCCAGUUCGGGUUUGGCGUGACCCCAUUCUGCUCCCCCUCGACACGCAGGGCUUCACCCUCGGCGGCCGAGGGUACCUCGGGCUGGGUCGAGGUCUCGUCGGGCUCGGGCGCGUCGUCGAGUUUGACAGAUGGUUGAUGUAUGUCCCUGCAGAAGACGUUCGGGGAACCGUCGUCCGCCCCGAGGCUAUUUUAGCCAGCUCAUCUGCAGUCUCGUUGUACCAUCGAGCAACAUGAUUGAGUUCCAGCCCGUGGAACUUAUCCUCCAAGCGUCGAACUUCGUCGCAAUAGGCCUCCAUUUUUCGAUCGCGGCAGUGGGAGUUCUUCAUGACUUGGUCGAUGACGAGCUGCGAGUCGCCCCGAGCGUCGAGGCACCGAACCCCUAGCUCGACGGCGAUGUGCAGCCCGUUAACCAAAGCCUCAUACUCGGCCACGUUGUUUGACACCGGGAAAUGGAGGCGAAUCACGUAGCGCACAUGUUUCCUGAGGGGUGAGAUGAAGAGCAAGCUAGCACCUGCUCCGGUUUUCAUCAGCGACCCAUCGAAGUACAUGGUCCAAAGUUCGGCUUGGAUUGGAGCUGUCGGCAAUUGGGUGUCGACUCAUUCAGCCAGGAAGUCCGCCAAGGCUUGAGAUUUUAUGGCCUUCCGAGGAGCACCUCGCUGAUGAAGUAGACCGGCCUCUGGACGAGCAGUGCAUGCCCUUCUUCUCGUCUCUCGACUACGAUCGCGGCGCUGACCACCUGAGUGGUUGCGGCUAUGUAGAUCAAGAGGGCUUCUCCUGCAGCGGGGGGCACCAAGAUGAGCGCAUUAGUAAGGAGUGCCUUUAAGUUCCCGAGGGCUUCCUCGGCCUCGGGGGUCCAAGUGAAGCGCUCGGCCUUCCUUAAGAGGCGGUACAAGGGUAAUCCUUUCUCGCCGAGGCGUGAGAUGAAGCGGCUCGGAGCCACAAGGCAUCCCAUGACCCUUUGUACUCCUUUCAAAUCUUUGAUAGGCCCCAUAUUGGUGAUGGCCGCGAUUUUCUCCAGGUUGGCCUCUAUGCCCCGCUCGGAGAUGAUGAACCCCAGGAGCAUGCCUCGGGGGACUCCGAAGACACACUUCUCGGGAUUGAGUUUCACGCCUUUCGCUCUUAGACACUUGAAUGUUGUCUCAAGGUCAGAGAGAAGGUCGAAGGCUUUCCUGAUCUUGACAACGAUGUCAUCGACGUAAGCCUCGACCGUUCUACCGAUGUGCUCCCCGAACACGUGGUUAAUGCACCUUUGGUAUGUUGCACCUGCAUUCCUCAAGCCAAAUGGCAUAGUAGUAUAAUAAUACAUGCCAAAAGGUGUGAUGAAAGAAGUCGCGAGCUGGUCGGACUCUUUCAUCUUGAUUUGGUGAUAACCUGAAUAGGCAUCGAGGAAUGACAGGGUUUCGCACCCAGCAGUGGAGUCCACAAUUUGAUCGAUGCGAGGAAGAGGGUAGGGAACCUUUGGACAUGCUUUGUUUAGACCAGUGUAGUCUACGCACAUCCUCCAUUUCCCGCCUUUUUUCUUUACAAGCACAGGGUUAGCUAACCAUUCGGUAUGGAAUACCUCGACCCGUGAAGCAGCACCUGCGUCGUUUUGAUGAAGAAAAGCACAGGGCCAUAGGCGAGGAGAGCUAACCGAUGGUUAGCUCUCCUCGCCUAUGGCCCUAUGCUUUUCUUCAUCAAAACGACGCAGGUGCUGCUUCACGGGUCGGACGCCGGCUCGGAUAUCCAGUGAGUGCUCAGCGACAUCCCUCGGUAUGCCGGGAAUGUCUGAGGGACUCCACGCAAAAGUUUCGGCGUUUGCGCGGAGAAAGUCGAUGAGCACUGCUUCCUAUUUGGGGUCGAGCUCGGAGCCGAUCUGGACUUUCUUGUCGGCGUCAUUGCUGGGGUCGAGAGGGACAGACUUAACCGCCUCGGCCGGUUCAAAGUUGCUGGCGUGGCGCUUCGCAUCAGGCACCUCCUUGGAGAGGCACUCUAGGUCGGCGAUGAGGGCCUCAGCGUACUCCACGCACUCCACGUCGCAUUCGUACACGUGUUGAUACGUGGAUCCGACGGUGAUGACCCCGUUGGGGCCUGACAUCUUGAGAUUGAGGUACGUGUAGUUGGGGACGACCAUGAACUUGGCAUAGCACGGUCUCCCCAGCACCGCGUGGUAGGUCCCUCGGAACCCGACCACCUCGAACGUGAGGGUUUCCCUAUGGAAGUUUGAGGGAGUUCCGAAGCAGACAGGCAAAUCAAGUUGCCCAAGGGGUAGGACGCGCUUACCGGGGACGAUCCCGUGGAAGGGUGUCGCACCGGCCCGGAUCAUGGAUAGAUCAAUCUCCAAGAGCCCGAUGGUCUCUGUGUAGAUGAUGUUGAGGCUGCUGCCUCCGUCCAUGAGGACCUUGGUGAGCCUAGCAUUGCCGAUGACAGGGUCGACAACGAGCGGGUACCUUCUUGGGCUCGAUACGCAGUCGGGGUGGUUGCCUUGGUCGAAGGUGAUGGGCUUGUCGGACCAGUCUAGGUAGACUGGCGCCGCCACCUUCACCGAGCAGACUUCCCGGCGCUCCUGCUUGCGGUGCCGAGCCGAGGCGUUCGCCACUUGCCCACCAUAGAUCAUGAAGCAGCCGUGGACCUCCGGGAACUCCUCUUCCUUGUCACCCUCCUUCUUGUUGCCUCGGUCCUUGCCACCUUUCGCCGGGGCCCGCCCUUAUGGAAGUAGCGCCGGAGCAUGACACAUUCUUCAAGGGUGUGCUUGACGGGACCCUGGUGGUAGGGGCACGACUCCUUGAGCAUCUUAUCGAACAAGUUGGCCCCUCCGGGAGGCUUCCGUGGGUUCCUGUGUUCGGCAGCAGUGACGAGAUCCGCGUCAGCGGCGUCGCACUUUGCUUGUGCCUUCUUCUUGGCCUUCUUCUUCGUGCCACACUGGGCGGACGCCUCGGGGACGUCUUCCUUCUGCCUCUCCUGAGGCUGCUUGUCCUUCCGAAAGAUGGACUCGACCACCUCCUGACCAGAGGCGAACUUGGUGGCUAUGUCCAUCAAUUCGCUCGCCUUGGUGGGAGUCUUGCGCCCCAGUUUGCUCACCAGGUCUCGGCAGGUGGUGCUGGCGAGGAACGCCCCGAUGACGUCCGAGUCGGUGAUGUUGGGCAGCUCGGUGCGCUGCUUUGAAAACAGUCGGAUGUACUCUCAUAGGGAUUCCCCUGGCUGCUGGCGGCAGCUUCGGAGAUCCCAGGAGUUCCCAAGGCGCACGUACGUACCUUGGAAGUUUCCAGCGAAGGGCUUGACCAGGUCGUCCCAGUUGGAGAUCUGUGCGGGAGGCAGAUGCUCCAGCCAGGCCUGGGCAGCGUCGGAGAGGAACAGGGGGAGGUUGCGGAUGAUGAGGUUGUCGUCGUCCGUCCCUCCCAGCUGGCAUACCAGCCGGUAGUCCGCAAGCCACAACUCUGGCCUUGUCUCCCCUGAGUACUUGGUGAUGGUAGUCGGGGCCCGGAACCAAGCCAGGAACGGCGCCCGUCGUAUGGCCCGGCUGAAGGCUCGCGGACCUGGUGGUUCGAGCGAGGGACUUUGACCCUCCUCACUGUCAUAGCGUCCUCUGUGCCUAGGGUGGUAUCCUCGGCGCACCUUUUCUUCGAGGCGGGCUCGACGGUCGCGGCGGUGGUGCUCGUUGCUGAGGCGAUCCGGGGCUGCAGGCGUCCUGUCCCACGUGCACCCGGUGCAGACCGAGGCCUCCCGCAUGAGUCGGGAAGUUGUUGCGCAAUGCUCCGAGGGACACCCUUGCCUUUGGGAGGCAGAGCUCUCGGCUCGUCAGACCACUGCGUCUUCCAGGAGACCCUUGAGUUCGCCCUGGACACGUCGCCCCUCGGUGGUGGAUGGCUUCGACAUUGCUCGGAGUAGCAUUGCCGCUGCAGCUAGAUUCUGGCCGACCCCGCUGGAGGCCGGGGGCAGCCUUGCCCUGGCAUCGUCAACGAUACGGUGUUGGAUGUCCCGGGCUCGAUGACGCGCUUCUCCGGUGAGUGCUCGGCCUGCCCACUCCUGCUUGACGUUUUGCCGGAGCUGCACAAGUUGCCCUGCUUCCUCAUCGAGCUUGGCCUGCAUCUCGCGGAUUUGCUCGAGCUGUGUGUCCUGACCCCCCGCAGGGACUGGGACCAUAGCUAGCUCCCGCGGGAUGUCAACGCGAGAAGCAGGCCCAUGGGAACGUUAUCCUCCGGCAUACCGAGGUGGUUGCCUUCGUCGCGAUCCCCCAGAUCAAUGUGGAAACAUUCGUGACUUGGGCCACAACCUUCGUCGUCAAGGCUGUGGCCAUCGUCAGAGCAACCGGAGAGGCAGUAGUCACAUGCGGUCAUGAAGUCUCGCAUGGCACUAGGAUCACGGAGCCCGGAGAAAUCCCAACCGGAGUCGGGGGUCGUCUUCUUCCUCGGAACCCAGGGGCCCGUAGGUUGAGACGGUCGUCAGUCGGUCCCAGGUUGACCACAUAUGGUACCCCGGAAGGUUAGGAUAUGCCUUUACGAAAGCGCUUACCGAAGCAGGGUCGCUUGGUGGAUCGAAGCUGAAUCUAAAGGGGAUAGGGUGGAAAACAGAUGAUACCUUUUGAUCGAUGGACAGUGGUGAAGUCGCGUCGGGGACGGAAUGCAUCGUCAUCUCAGGUACGAGGCUAACGCCCAGCAAGUCCUUCGCGAGUGUGCUAGCGUCCUCAGUCCGCUUGGGGUUGGCACGUUGCGGGGAAACGACAUCCGUCGUUGUCUCAGGUGCGAGGACAACGCCCGACAUGUCCCCCGCUGGGGUGUCGGCGUCGUCGACUCGCUCUGGACCGACAACCGACGAGGUGCCGCCUCCUGCCUGGCCACGGUUGCCCCGUCUCCUCCUCCUGCGGCGAGGAGGGUGGCGAGGCAAACCCGGAUGCUGCUCUUCCGCCAUGGGGGGAAGACGUCGUCGAGUUUGCCACCGCCGGGCGAGCUGACGAUCGUCGCUGUUGUCGUGCUGCAAGGGGAGGAGUACCAUGUCGUAGCUGCCGUCACAUGACAUGAACUCGAGACUCCCGAAGCAGAGCACCGUCCCGGGCUGAAGAGGUUGCUGAAGACUACCCAUCUGGAACUCAACGGGAAGGUGUUUGUUAACACGCAGCAUGCCCCUACCUGGCGCGCCAACUGUCGGCGUUUCAGACCCAGGGACCUUCAACCGAGCCGACCAGUGAAUUUAUCGCUACGUGCCCCUGCCCAAAUGGGUUGGCGCAAGAUGGAACACAAGGGGGAAUGUGGCUUGUAUUAUCUCGCUGUUGGUACCCUGCUCUCAGUUGCAAGGAGGCCAACGAGGGUGAACAGUGAUGACAACAGGGUUACGUGCUAGAAGGCAAUAGCUCUGUUUUUCUCGCCUCCCACGGGCACUGUGUGGGGGUAUUUAUAGGUACCUGAGCGCCCAGUGCCUUGUGCUAAGGACGCAUGUGCCCUCAGCUACCUAGGUUAUCCCCAGAAUAUUCCCAUAAAGCGGGGUUACAGACUGUAAUUACAGGGAUGCCUUUACAAAUUAGGCCCGUAACGCGCGGCGGCCACGCAGGGCCCGUUACGAUGGGCCGGAUCGCACGUGGGCCUCUGAGCUGGACGAGGCCGCACUGUGGGAUGACGUCGUCGUCGGUCUUCGUCUGGUGCCGAUCAAGCGAAGGGUGUCCCUGCCUGUUUUGUCUCUGUCAGACCAGCGGCUGCAGCGAAGGCUUCGAGCGAAGGGUGGCGUCUUUGCCUUCGCCCCAACAUUUGCCCUCCGAGGGACCAGUUCGACAAAGUCAUCUGGUGCCGAAGACGUCGCUAGUUGGCGGAGACGCUGCCCUCGCUCGAAGUGGUUCCGCAGGGGUUUUUGAUGUGACCGUUGAUUGACGGCGUACUGUUGGAUUGCGGGUUUCCCGAAGCGCCGCGCCCUGUUGGAUUGCGGGUUUCCCGAAGAGCCGCGCCCCGCCUAUAAAAGGGGGCGGGGGUCGGCGCUUUUUGAACUUCACUUUCCGCGCUCCGCGAAAACCCUAGCCGCCCGCCGUCUUGCUGCUCGUCUGCCCGCCGUGCUCUUGUUCGCCGGAGAUCUGGCUCGAGUGAAGCAGACCGCCCGCCGCCGCCGACGGUAUGUAGCGAUGCCGACCUCCUCUUCUUCCGCUGCCGCUACGCCGCCGGCCGAUCCCUCGCCUCCGGCCGCCGCCUCGUCUGAGGAGACGCUGAGUAGUUCGAUGGCAGAGGAGUUGCGCGCCGGCGAUUCUGUUGAUUUUGGCGUGUCGCGGAUGUCGUCGGUCUGCGUGCAAGAUAUGCAGCGAUUGGGUUACUUCGGCGGCGGAGUUGCUCGUGUCCCGGGGACGGAGGAAGUCCCCGAGCCGGAGGGCGAGUUGGUUGUUUUCGAGGCGUUCUUCGCCUCCGGCCUCCGCUUGCCUGCGCACCGAUUUGUUGGCGAAGUCUUGCGCAGGUUCAACGUUCAGAUACAUCAGCUGACACCGAAUGCCGUGGUGGCUCUAUCGAAGUAUGUCUGGGCGACGACUUCAUACGGCGGACAGCCAUCGGUCGAAGUUUUUGCGAAGUAUUAUUGUUUGCACUGGCAGAAGAGGAUGAUUGGAGACGAAGUUGCUCAGUUUGGGUCCUGCACAUUCACGCCGAAGACCAGCAAGACCAUGAUGCAGGUAGUCGAGUUGGUUCCUUGCGCCCGCAACAAGUGGGGCAACUGGAAUGAAUUUUGGUUUUACAUUGCUGAGGGUACCGUCGAAGGCCAUGAGGGACUCCCCGUGUCCGAAAUGUGUUCUCAUUUUUACUCAGCGUACCCGCCCUUUGAAGUGGCAGAGGAGGAUGUGGACGAAGGGGCCCUUCGGUGCGCCGCCGGCCUGAGCAGUGGGCGCGAUUUGGUUGAAGAGUUCGUGGCGUACGGGGUGUGGCCCUUGGCGCAUGGCUGGGCGCUGGGCGAAGUGUGCCCUCGCCAGGUGCCUUUUCACGGUGGAAGGGUGGUGCGAAGUCCUGCCUUUGCGCUGAAUCUGCAAAGCCGCGACCCGGCCGCCUUUGUGCGUGAGGCGGAGGAUGGGGCGGUGCGGCUCGUUGGACGUUACGUGCCGAGGACAGAGGGCCAGCGCAGCUUUGAUAUCCGCGGGUCGAAUGACCGUUUGAACAGGGUUUUUGAAUUAAAUCAAUUGCCGUAUGACGGCUAUCCUGGUCAAGACGAUGUGGACCACCGUGGGAAGAAGCCGGUGGUGGAGACUGGAGAUGACCCUGCGCCGGCGGCCGCCCCAUCCUCUAAAAAGAGAAAACUAGGUACUGUUAUGGGAGGACUUGGGGUUUCUGAUAGUUUUGCUAGAGAGUUGAUGAGGACGUGCGCGCCCCCGGGGGGAAGGAUGUCUUCGCCCGAGCUCCGGGAGUCUUCGGCUCGGAUGCUGAGGGUUACCGGGGGUUGCUGGCCUAGGAAUGUUCCUAUCCCCCGCGCGGCUGGCGAGGACCUUUUUACAUCUCACAUGGUUCGUGAGUGGAGAGUUUUUCCUUACGGGCGGAAUAUUGCUGCUGUUGUGUCGGCAGUGAUGGACAAGGAUCGCAAGGGAGCAGCACAAAAGCGCCAGGCGGUUGUCAGGCUCGUUGAAGCUAGGCCGAAGAGGCAGCGGGGAUCUGCGAAAGCUGCGUCCGCCGGUGGAGGCAAACCGCCGCUGGCGGCGAAGUCGGGCGCCCCUGCGUCUAGCAAAGCGCCGGAGGCGACGGCAGGCGCCGAGGGCUCCAAACCGACGAAGGCAGUGCCGCUGGCCAGCAGAGUGCCGGAGGCCGCUAAGGCGGCGAAGUUGCUGUCGGCAGGCAAGCGUGUCGCCGAUUUCGCCACCGAUAUUAGUGUGGAGGACUAUCUUGGUGGUAAGUCGUUGGCUCCUCUUUUUUAUUAUUAUUUAUUCGUUGAUACGUCGCAGGGUCGGACGAGGGCCAACUUGCUAUAGUUGCGCCUGCCGCGGCGACAAUGACGGCUGCCGCAGCGCCGAAGGCGAAGGGCGGGGCUCUUAGCGCCGGGGGUGAGGUGGCGGCCCUCGCGGCUGUCAGGGAUGAGGCGGGCGCUGCGUCCCGCCGGCUAAAGGAGGUGGCGGAGUCGCUAAGUCAGGUCCGCUGAGCCAGACUUCUUUUUUUUUGCCGGGGCCGCGGUCUUAUGUGUGUUGUGCAGGUGGCUGACUUCGCCAACCGCACGGCGUCGGGGGCCCUCACGGCAGUUGUGUCUGCCGAAGUCGAGAGACUUCGGACACAACAUGUUGACACCGUCCGAGAGAAAUCGGCCGCCGACAGCAAGUGCCGCAAGCUGGCGGACAAGGUGGCCGCGCUGGAGGGAGAGAAGGCUGACCUCCGGCGCCAAUUGGCGGGGGAGAGGAGGGAGACCAACGAGGCCCUUGUCAAGGCGCAGGCUGCGCAGGCGGAGGCCAAUCUGGCGCGGGCGGAGGGCAAUCUUGCCAGGGAGCGCGCCGAGCAGCUGCAGGAGCGGCUCAUCGCCCUAGAGAGCCUCGUGGAGCGGGCCGAGGCCGCGACGCGAGCGGAGGCCGAACGGACGCGCACGCAGCUUAUGGAUACAUAUCGUGAGCUGGGUGCGCGGACCGGUGACUUCGAAGUGCCGGACCGAGAGCCCGGACUUCACUGUCUGGAAUGGGUGCAGGAGGAGCUGCAGGCACUCCCCACUGUCGUGGAGGGGUUUAUGUCGUACGCCUCCCUGGUCACCUGCGAGGGGGCGAUGAACGCGCUCUCCCACGAAGGGUGCCGGCACUUCGAGGUCUUCGACCAGGCCGAUGAGGAUUUUGAGCGAGAUAUCUAUAAGGUUGAAGACCCCGUAGUGAAGGAAUCCGCUGGGGCCAUCUACGACCGGAUGUGGGGUCCGCAUGGUUGCGGGGUGGUCAGGGAGCGGGCCGCGACGGCGAGGGCUCAGGUAACGUUUUCGUUUGUUUGGCCUUUGUUGGAUGUGGGCUGUGCGUGUGUUUGCUUAAUUUUGUGUGUUUUAUCUUAGGCGGCGCGUGGCGAGCGGGUGGACGACUUCGGGGCGUUGAACAGCGCGCUGGCUGACCCAGAGCCGACCUCGGCGGAGGCCGUGUCUGGGGUCGCCCUGGAGCCGGCCCCGGAUACUGCGGAAGACGCACCGGAUGCCCUCGCAUCCGCUGCGGCCGGCGAAGACCUGCCCCCAAAGGUCGCCGAAGGCGCGCCUGAUGCCCCCGCAGCCGCUGCGCCGAGUGCUAAAGAUCCCGCGAUGGUGGUGGCGGAAACAACAGCGGAAGCAACGGCGGAGGCUCCCGCAGCGUCAGGGCCUUCGCAGGUGGCGUAGUGGGUGUAGAGGGUUGUGGAAUUUUGGAUAUGUUGCUGAAUUUUGGUUGCUGCACAGGUUCAAGGUUUUGGGCCUGCGCACGCAACCGCCACUACUAAAUUUUUGGCGGCUUCGGCCGCGGAAGAUGGUAAUGAAUGUGGUGGAUCUGCAUCUGGGUUUUUUGAUUUUGCUGACUCUAGGAGCUCGGUUGAGUGGACUGAGGAGUCAUCGGAGGAGGACUUGGACUAUUUUGCGGCCUUGGAUGUGGCUGCGGCGGUGGCUUCGCCACACGCCGCGGACGCACAAGAUGCGCCAGGUCCUAGCACCGGGCGCCGUCGACGAAGGGCGGUUGCGAAGCGUAGGGUUAGUAGGGCGGAGGGGGCUCGGCUUCGUGUGAAUAGGGCUGGUCGGCAGGAACUGUUGUCUUUGCCGGCCGCCGCGAGUACAGGUGAAGGGGAGCUGCGAAGUCUUUUUGCGGGUGAGGAGCUUAGGAUAAUGUUAUUUAAUUAUAGGGAGAUGGGAAUUAUUCCUAAGGUUGAGCCGAUGUAGAGUGUGAUGCCCUCGCUUGUAUAUGUGUAAAGGCUUGUAUGAUGAAGUUGUGUGCCCUCGCUUGUCUAUGCCUACGAAGGCGUUGUGUACUUUGUCUGGUGUGUUUUGUUAUGCUGUGCUGGUGCAAUUAUAGUCGGUCUUGGCGUGGACGGUUUGAUGUUUGUCGUUUCUGCUUUUGUUGUGCUAGUCCGGCUGCACCCUUAGGCGACUUCUGCGCGGAUAGUCUUCGCGGUAGACUUCGGUUUUUUUGCACUUGUUGUGCUAGUCCGGCUGCACCCUUAGGCGACUUCUGCGCGGAUAGUCUUCGCGGUAGACUUCGGUUUUUUCGCACUUGUUGUGCUAGUCCGGCUGCACCCUUAGGCGACUUCUGCGCGGAUAGUCUUCGCGGUAGACUUCGGUUUUUUCGCACUUGUUGUGCUAGUCCGGCUGCACCCUUAGGCGACUUCUGCGCGGAUAGUCUUCGCGGUAGACUUCGGUUUUUUCGCACUUGUUGUGCUUAGUCCGGCUGCACCCUUAGGCGACUUCUGUGCGGAUUUGUCGCACGCGAGGGUGGCUAGCGCUUAGCCUCGCGGUGACCUCGUAUUGGUCGAAUGUCGAAGACCGUCGUCGCGGUCUUUUUUCGACGCAUGUUUUUGCGGGGGAUUUUUCACACAUAUAUUACAUGGCUCCACCUCGUUAAAAACCUCACCCCCCGGGAGGAAAAGAGUGCGGGCAGGUACAAGAUUGUUUUUGCGAAUUACAAGGGCGAAAUCAGCCCUGAUGAGUCAAACAAAAAAUUUGUGGAGGUUGUCGAUGUUCCAGGAGUGCUCCAGGUCCUCGCCGUUUGGCGUUGUGAGCCUGUAAGCGCUGGGGGAAGCUUUUGUCUUGACUAUAAAGGGGCCCUCCCACUUGGGCUCUAGCUUGCCCUUGGACUCCGUCCGAGCUGUUCGGACGAGUACGAGGUCCCCUUUGCUAAACUCCCUCGGGAUGACCGUGUGGUCGCGCCAUGCUUUGGUCUGGGCUUGGUAUUUGUUUAGGGCCUGUAGGGCGAAGACUCGGUCUCCGUCGAUGAGAUCCUUUGAAGUUGGCUCGUCCACGUCGGGGACGGCUGACGGAAUUGUUCACGGGGACCCAUGCUUUAUUUCUUGCGGGGUCAUGGCCUCCGAUCCGUAUAGAAGGCGGAAGGGAGUAAACCCAGUCGCCCUGCAUUCAGUCGUGUUUAGUGCCCAGACUGCCUCAGGUAACAAAUCGGUCCAUCUGCCCUUUUUUCAUCAAGGAGCAUCUUCUUGACAGCUGUGAAGAUUUUCCCAUUGGCGCGUUCCACGACCCUGUUGGACUGCGGAUGAUAAACUGAGGCGAAGGCAAGCUUGGUGCCAAUGGAGAAACAAAAAUCCUUGAAGUCUUGGCUGUCAAACUGCUUGCCGUUGUCCACUGUUAGUUCGGACGGUACUCCGAAGCGGCAAACAAUGUUUUGCCAGAAGAAUUUUUGGGCAGUCUUUGAUGUUAUUGUGGAAACAGCCCUCGUCUCGAUCCAUUUGGUGAAGUACUCGACGACGACGAAGGCGAACUUAAGGUUCCCAUGAGCGGUGGGCAGGGGCCCGACAAUGUCCAGGCCCCAGCACUGGAGAGGCCAUGUAUGGGCGAUCAGCUUUGUAUACUGCGAGGGGCUGCCUGACCGAGGAGAAAACUUCUGGCAGGCUUCGCAGGACCUUGUGAACCGAUUUGCGGCGCAGAUCAUUGCGGGCCAGUAAAAGCCCUGGCGGAUCACCUUGGCAGCUAGGGCCCUUGGCCCUGCGUGUGAGCCGCACGUGCCACUGUGGACUUCUCGUAGGAUCUGCAUGCCUUCGGUUUUGGUGACGCACUUAAGCAUUGGCUGACUGACCCCUUUCUUGUAGAGUUGGCCUUCAAUCAGUGCGAAGUCCCGGCUUCAAUGUCUGAGGCGCUUGGCCUCGCUGACGUCGGUUGGAUGAUAGUACCCCUGUAGGAACAGGGUUAUUGGUGCCCGCCAGUCCUCGGUCAUGAUUAGGUUGACUAUGCGGUGGCCCUCGCUGUCAUUAGUUAUUUGGAGCCCUUCGGGGCUCCGGACGGCUGGCGUGCCGAUGGUAUGAAAGAACACGUCGGAGGGCAAGGACUCGCCCCUGGCGGCGGCCUUGGCCAAUGCGUCGGCCUCCUCGUUCUUGGCCCUAUCCACAUGCUGCAAGGUGAAUCCCUUGAAUUGUCUCUCGAGACUUCGGAUGGCCGCGAGGUAUUGCAUAAGUGCGGGGUCCUUUGCUGCGUAGUCUUUCUCGACCUGGCCGGCAACUAUCUUGGAGUCCGUUUUGAUGAUACAAGUGGUGACUCCGAGGGCCCUUAGCUUGCGGAGGCCGAGGAUGACUGCUUCAUAUUCUGCUAUAUUGUUUGUGCAUCUGUCGGAUUCCAGAGCGAAGCUGAGGCGUGCUGCAUAUCUGUGCUUGACCCCGGCUGGCGAGGUGACGACUGCAGCGACGCCUGCCCCCGCAUGGCACCAUGCGCCGUCGCAAUGGAUCGUCCAAACCUUCUCUGUGGACGGGUCUGGUUGAGUUAUUGGCCCAGUCCAGUCGACGACGAAGUCUGCCAGGACUUGUGACUUGAUGGCUGUCCUGGGCUCGAAGCUGAUGUGGUAGCCGGAUAGUUCGGCUGCCCACUUGGCAAUCCUCACCGAUGCCUCCGGGUUUCUGAAUAAUUCGCCGAGUCCCCUGUCUGAGGUGACUUGGACAUUGAAUGCUUCAAAGUAGUGGCGCAGUUUGCACGAAGACAUAACGACUGCGUAGGCAAUCUUCUCCAGCUCUGUCAUGUUGCACUUGGACGGUGUCAGUACCUCGGAGACAUAGUAAACAGGGCACUGCCUGACCAUGCCCUCAACUGUCUGCUCCUGCACUAGUGCCGCGCUGACAGCAUGCGGCGAAGCCGCGACGUAGAGCAAUAGGGGGAGCGAGGAGUCGGGGCUUGUGAGGAUGGCCAGCUCCGACAGGUACUGUUUUAGUGAGGCAAAGGCUGCUGCCUGCUCUGGUCCCCAGGCGAAGUCCUUUGCACCGCGGAGUGUUUUGAGGAAAGGGAGGCUUCGCUCGGCGGACCUGGAGAUGAAUCUGUUGAGAGCGGCCAAUCUGCCCGUCAGACGCUGGACGUCCCUAGCGGACUGCGGAGGCGACAUGUCUACGAUGGCCUGGAUCUUGGUUGGGUUGGCCUCGAUGCCGCAGUGUGAUACCAGGUAGCCCAAUAUUUUGCCCUGGCGAACGCCGAAGACACACUUUUCCGGGUUUAGGCGGAGUCGUGCGUCUCGCAUGUUCGCGAAUGUCUCGGCGAGGUCGGCGAGAUGGUCUUCCUUGUUCUUGCUAGCGACGACGAUGUCGUCCACAUAUGUAAAUAUAUUUCUGCCAACCUGCCCUUCGAGUACUGUUUUGGUGAGUCUGGAGAAGGUGGACCCGGUGUUCUUGAGUCCCUCCGGCAUUCUGAUGAAGCAAUAUGUGCCGAAGGGUGUUAUAAAGCUGGUGCUAGCCUUGUCUUCCUCCUUCAUGUAUAUCUGGUGGUAACCGGAGAAGUAGUCGAGGAGUGACAUGACCUCGCAUCCGGCCGCGCUAUCGACUAUUUUGUUGAUCCGCGGCAAUGGGAAAUUGUCCUUUGGGCAGGCCUUGUUGAGACUGGUGAAGUCUAUACACAUUCGCCAUUUCCCGCUUUUUUUCUGCACCAUUACAACAUUGGAGAGCCACGUGGGGUAAGCCACUGGCUCGAUGAAUUUAGCCUCUAGGAGGCGGUGCACCUCCGCCUUGGCGGCCUCUGUCUUUUCGUCGGACAUUUUGCGAAGCCUCUGCUUUUUUGGUCGCACCGAAGGGUCAAUUCCCAAGCUGUGCUCAAUUAUGGAUCGGCUGACUCCGACCAGGUCGAGGACGGACCAGGCGAAGACAUCUUUAUUCUUGGACAGGCAGCAGAGGAGUCUCUCUUCUUCAUGCGAGGUGAGGUCUUCGCUGAUAAUGACUGUCUGCUUGGGCGUGGCCUGAUCGAGGGGGACAAUCUUGGUCCCGUCUUGGCUCUGUAGCUGUGCCUUGUCGUGCUGUUUAUCGGUUGAGCUGGCGGGCGCAGGGAGCUCGCGCUGGGCCGUGAGGCAGUGCACGUUUCUCUGACCGGGCACGAAGUCCCGCUCUAUGUUGCGCGCCGUCUGCUGGUUGCCGUAGACCGUAAUGGCGCCUAGCGGACCUGGUAUCUUCAUACAUAGGUACAGUCCAUGAAUGGCGGCUUCGAACUUAUUGAUGGAGCCCCGGCCCAUGAUGGCGUUGUAUGGAUAUACCAUAUCCACGAUAUUGAAAGUUACUUGCUCACUUCGGGCAUUGGGUGCUACACCGAAGGAGAGGGGCAACUCUAUUUUGCCGACGGGAAAGGUGCCCUUGCCGCCGAAGCCAUACAACGGGUUGUCCGAAGGCUUGAGCAGGCUGUGGCUUAUGCCCAUGCGGUCGAAGGCGUGGAGGAAUAUGAUGUCCGCCUGACUGCCGUUGUCGACUAGGACUUUGUGUAGGUCCCAGCCUGCCACGCUGCAAUUGAUAACCAUAGCGUCGAUGUGGGGGGCGCUGCGGAGGUCGACGUCUCGUGCGUCGAAGGUCAGCGGUAUGUGGGACCACUUUGUCUGCACGACUAGGCCAGUGACGGCGACAUGGUUGAUGCUGCGGUAGUGGUCCCGCUUCUGCCGCUUGGUGUCGAAGUCAGUGCUGGACCCCCCAGUUAUCAUGUGAAUGACUCCGCGAUAUGGUUGAUCGGCGAAGUCUUCCUGCUUUGGGGCAUGGGGGAUGUUUUGAUGUUGAUGGUGUGGUGGUGGGGGUGGAGGAGGUACGAUUUGUACUUCCUGAUGGUGUUGGUAAGCGUGGUGCGGUGGAUGCGGGGCGGGAGCGUUGAUAUAUGGUGGAGGGGGUUGCUGGUAAUUGUGCGCGACAAUUCUGGGGUUGUCGGCUGGCUGCGCCCGUGCCAUUCUGUCUCUUGUGGCCUUCGUUUCGGGGCAGUCUUUAGUUUGGUGGGCGCAGUCUUUGCCAUGGAAAAGGCAGUAGAAUCGGCGCGGCGGCUGCGUGCGCCCUCGGCCCCUACCACGAGUUCCAUUUCUGCGGCCCUGGGGUGGAUAUUCCUGGCGGCGAGGGGGGUCAGCGGCGGGAUGCUGGUUGGCGAUGUUGUGCACUUGCUGCUGAUUACGGCCAGUCUGGCUGCGGAGUCCUCGUCCACGUGCGGCUGGACUGUGGGGCAUCUUUGGGUUUCCGCUGCGACUCAACCUUGCGCUGGUGGAGCUCUUCGGAUUUGGCAUAUUUUUCAAAGAGCUGAUAUAGCUCCUGGAGGUUCUUGGGUGGAUCUCUGAUACAGUGGCUGUAGAGGACGCCGACACGAAGGCCACUGAUGGCGUAGUGGAUAGCGAUCUGAUCAUCAACGGAGGGCAGCUGUGACUUGAGUGUUAAAAAUUUGCGGUAGUACUCCCGCAGAGUCUCCUUUUCCAGCUGUUUGCAAAGCGAGAGCUCGGCCAAGGCGUCAGUGUCUGGGCGGUACCCUUGGAAGUUGAGCAGAAACUUGUCCCUGAGACUUCGCCAGGAAUCAAUGGACAGCGGAGGCAAUCUGGUGAACCAGGUGAGAGCUAGGCCCUCUAGGGCGAUGAUGAAAGACUUCGCCAUUGUGGCGUCGUCUCCUCCGGCGGAUGCAACGGCGACCUGAUAACUCAUUAUGUGUUACGCCGGGUCGGUGCUGCCGUUGUACUUGGGAUAGGUCCCUGCUCGAAAGUUAGCUGGCCAAGGCGUCACUUGCAGGUGUGGCGCCAGGGGACUUCGCUUGUCGAGAUAAUUGACCCCUUGGAAUGGCGCGGCGUGCUGGAAGGUGUGGUCGCGCUGGGGGAAACGUGGGUCUUCCGGUUGUGGUCGGUGUUGCAGGGGUGGCCCAUGCUGCAGGCCUUCGCGCAUGUCUUCCAGUUGUGCGCGCUGCUGGAGGGGUGGCCCUUGCUGUAGGCCAAGGUGGCCUUCGCGCUGCAUCAGUGCGAUCUCCCGCUCGAGGUCUUGGGCCUUCUGCUCUUCGUCGCGUAUCAUUUGCCGCACUUUGACUAGUGCGGACACACGCUGGCGCUUGGCCUCUAGUAUCUCUUUCUGCCUCUGGAGAUUGCGGUUCUUGAGGCGCAGGGCGCGCAGCUGUAGCUGUUCUUCCGCUGAGAUGCCGAGGACUUCACCAUCCUCGGUGAGGUCCGCGCCUUCCAGUGGGGCGAAGCCUGGGGGUGGCUGCGAUUGUCCUUCCGGGCUGCAGGUGCGGAAAGUGUCGUCUUCGCAGGUGCGGGGAACAUUGUCUUCAGUGGCCUCUUGGUGGGUGGAUUGGGUGAGGGCGAGGGCCUUGCCCUUUCUUGCGGCGAGCAGUGCUGCCUUCGCAGCCUCAUCAGCCUUCGGGUUAGCUCUCUUGGGUGCCAUCGCUGGUGGUUUUCUCGUAGCACGACCGGUGGGCGCCAAAUGUUGGUACCCUGCUCUCAGAUGCAAGGAGGCCAACGAGGGUGAACAGUGAUGACAACAGGGUUACGUGCUAGAAGGCAAUAGCUCUGUUUUUCUCGCCUCCCACGGGCACUGUGUGGGGGUAUUUAUAGGUACCUGAGCGCCCAGCGCCUUGUGCUAAGGACGCAUGUGCCCUCAGCUACCUAGGUUAUCCCCAGAAUAUUCCCAUAAAGCGGGGUUACAGACUGUAAUUACAGGGAUGCCUUUACAAAUUAGGCCCGUAACGCGCGGUGGCCACGCAGGGCCCGUUACGAUGGGCCGGAUCGCACGUGGGCCUCUGAGCUGGACGAGGCCGCACUGUGGGAUGACGUCGUCGCCGGUCUUCGUCUGGUGCCGAUCAAGCGAAGGGUGUCCCUGCCUGUUUUGUCUCUGUCAGACCAGCGGCUGCAGCGAAGGCUUCGAGCGAAGGGUGGCGUCUUUGCCUUCGCCCCAACACUCGCACCGGGGGUGCUCGUAGUAGGCGUUACAAGUGUCGCGAGAGAGAGAGAGAGAGUCUCACGGCAGUCAUCUUCUCCCUCCUCGCUCCCCUCCCCCGCGGAAGGCCCUGGACCUCCCCUUUUAUAGAUGUAAGGAGAGUGUCCAGAUGUACAAUGGGGGUGUAGCUAUGUGCUACGUGGCUAGCGGAGAGGUUCCUGAGCCCUGUGUACAUGGUAACGUGGUCGUCGGAUAGGCGUUUGAGCCUUGUAGAAGCACAGCUGUCGGUGUGGCAUGGAUCCUGCUGACGUUUCCUUGCUUCCGUAGGGGGCUGAGAACCACCGACGUCAUGGACGCACGCGGGGAACCAUCAUUACCUAUUACCGGGGUAAGCUAGAUAGGAUGCCGGUCUUGUUCCUUCGUAGCCUGAGCUAGCUAGGAGUAGGGUAAUGAUGUAUCCCCUGCGGCACGGUCGGUCCGAGCCCAAGGUCGGGCGAGGCGGAGGCUCUUCCCGAGGCCGAGGCCGGGGUCGGGCGAGGACGUGACUCUUCCCGAGGCCGAGGCUGACACCGAGGCCGGGGGUCAGGCGAGGCGGAGCUCCCUGUUGUGCCCGAGGCUGAACUCGGCUGUUGUCAGUCUUACCCUGGUGGUUGGCACAGCAGUCGGAGCGGGGUGAGCGGUGCUGUUUUCCUGUCAGAUCGGUCAGUGAAAGGGCGAAGUGACUGCGGUCACUUCGACCUUGCCGACUGAGGCGCGCGUGUCAGGAUAAGGUGUCAGGCGAUCCUCGCAUUAAAUGUGCAUGCGAUACGAUCGGUUGGUGAGGCGAUUUGGCCAAGGUUGCUUCACAACGAAGCCUGCCCGAGCUGGGCUUCGGGCGAGCCGAGGGUGCGCCCACUGCCUGAGGGGGCCCUCGGGCGAGGCAUGAAUUCAUCUGGGACUACGGCUCCUGCCCGAGGCUGGGCUCGGGCGAGACCGCGUCCCUUGGGUAGACGAAGCCUUAACUUAAACCGCGCCCAUCAGUUUUUAUGGUUUGUUCUGCGGGUGUUUACCAGAUGUGUUUAGGAGUGUUGGGGGUACCCCUAAUUACGAUACCCGACAAAUAUCAACACAAGUUCAGAAGUAUCAACACAAGUUCAGAAGUAUCAACACAUAAGUCUCAAGCUCUGACAUAAGUAUUCAACAUAAGUUUUGUAGUAUGAACACUAAAAACAUAACUCUCAUCGAGGUGGGCGGUUGGACUGGAGCUGCAUUGGGCUAGGCGCUUCAUGAGGGUUGUUGGAUGCCGCCCCAGAUUAGCCCUGCACAGAGAAGAGAUUGCAUGUGUUAUACUAGAUGCAUUACCAAUAUCUAACUACAAUUUUGAUACUCACAUGAGUAUGGAACAGAGGAGGGUCCAUUGUAGGGAACAAUGGAGGUGGCGGAGCAAAACCCUAUGCGGCUACCACACGUGCGUGCACACGUAGAUGUCUGGCCUGGGAUGAUCAGUUAAUUGCUGAACGAUGUAACAAUGUUACAACAUAUUCUUGAUUUGUUCUCAUGGGUCGUUAUCUGAUUGUAUGGUUCGUUCAAUAAAUGAAGGGCCAGCUUGGUUCCUUUAGUCUAGAGACUAAAGUUUAGGACAAGUUUGGUUCCUUUAAUCCAGGGACUAAAGUUUAGUUAGAAGACUAAAAUUUAGUUCAUACUCUGUUUAGUUGUAGAGACUAAAAGUAUUUAGAACAUAUUAAAUGAAUCAUUAGAGGACCAAGAAGAUUCAUAGGAUGCCAAGAAGACCGCAUGACAAAAUCAAAUAAGAUUGUAAAAUAAUAGUGUUGCAUAAAAUCAAGCUUCAUAUCAAUGCCUGAUACAAGUUUAAAGAAGAAAACAAUAUAAACAAAAGAAGCAAACAUAUCUCUAAUUUCUUUGUGACGAGACAAUCGCUUCCUUCAAGUUUUAAGAUAUUAAAAUCGUCAAAUAAUGAUCUCAUCAUUAAUGGAUUUGAAGAUAUUAUCAUUGAUCGUCGAAUAAUGAUCUCAUAAUCAAUUGGUCUUUGUAAUGCUAGAUCUGCAACUAUUUCAUCUAGAUCAAAUGUCCUUCCAACACUUGAUGUCUUAAAUUUCUUGUUUGCGCAAUAGGCAUAUCGUUCACGUUGGUAUUGUCCUGACCACUGAUUGUGAAACCCCUUAAAAGAGGUUGAAAAGAUCUCCUCGUACAUCUAAAAGAGGAUCAAUAAUCAUCCACUACUUAUCUAAUCUCCAAUUCACAAUCAAAAGUAAAUAUUCCAAUCUAAUACAAAUAUCCAAUAUUAUGCUCAAUCUGUCAAUCGAAUAAAAACAACAACCAAUGAAUCGAAGUCAUGUGUAUCUUGUCGAAUGUCAAUCUGCUUUAAGGACGUGGCGUCAGGAAGGGGACAAGGUCGGGUAGAAUCGCCGGUUGAGAGCCUGUGCUCGCCGAUUCGCCAAGCUCGUCGACCAUCAAGGAUGGGUCACGUUGUCGUGACGAGCAAAAUCGGGUGGGCCGGUGUCACGAUGAUGACAAGCGACGCGAGGGCACCGGGAAGAGGGUGGCAUUAGGCGUCAAGAAUGGGGGCUGUGACAUACAGCAUCGACAACAGGGUGUCAGGAUAGACUAGCUCGGACGAUGUCAGAAAGAAUGAGGCUAGACAAAUAGAUGCGAAGACUGGGCCGAGAAGGACUUGAGUCGGGAAGACUGGUCCGAUCUAACAAGAAAGCCUAGGAGGAAGAUGUUUUGGCUUACCCAAAACUUCAAAUUUUAUACUUAAAAAAUUUAUACUUAAUAGUAAAUAAACAUUAGGUAUUUAAAUAUAAUAAAUGGUUUUAAAAAAUCCGAGUGAGUUCAUAACCCACUUUGCUCCCCUGUGGCCCUGUCCGUCCGCCCCUGGUCUUGAUGAAAGGCAAGUGUACACGAGUAGAUUAUUUGAGUGAAAACUUACCUUAGUUUCUAAGCCAAUACAUAUUUUUGACGAUUGUGAUGGAUUGGAUAUGUACAAGUGCAUGCCGACAAAGUUUAAGGAUUUGUUCGGUUAGCCUCCAAUCCAAUAGGAUUAAAGAAUAUUUUGACUUACAGGUGUAGCAUCCAUUUUUUGAGAAAACCAGAUACAUACCAUAUGUGAGCCUAGAAAAUCAAAUGACACAUAUGACCAUAUGUAAGAUGUAAUAUCAAAAGACAAUGCUUAAUUUAAUGACAUAUUUAGUACCAGAGAUAAUCAUAGACUUUAAAUAACAGAAAAAUAACUUUAUUCUUCAGAUGAAGGCCCCAACUCUACACGGACAACUAACUAGUUGACCACAAGCCUACACUCCUCUAAACUCUAUCAAACUGGGAUCCUCUAAACUCUAGCAAUGUGUUAUGAGAUAACAUGAAAUAUGUGAUCAGUAGUAUUGCACAUAUGAUUUGUUUAGAAUUCAUGUCAAACAAGAACUCAUAGGCAUGAACUAGAGGACAAAUAAAUAGAUAAGAGAUGAUGUACUAGUAGCAGCAGGGGCGGACCCAGGCCCAUGGCCGCCCGGGCCACGGCCUGGGGCGCAGGCCCAAUAUUUGUUUAGAAGAGCCAACACAGCCGCACAACCCAGAGCUCGUGGUGAAGUCGUGAACCCUAGGCGGCCAUCGUGGACUCGCCGCGUCGAUGCCGCCUCUGCAGACUGCAUCUGCUGCCGGCUUGUCGUCGCGCUCGCGCCCUCUGGGCCUCUGGUGCCUCCGCGCUUGGGCGCCUCUCGCAGCCGCGCCGCCUAGUCCACCGUGCCACCCUGGCGACUGGGCGCCUCUCGGCGAGUCAGCGGCGCCUGCGCAGACGUCCACUCGCCUAGCCCAGCCCACUCCCCGUCCCCUGCGCAGACCGCAGACACCCAACCCAGUCCGCCGCGCCGCCCUGGCGACUGGGCGCAUCUCGGUGAGUCGGCGGCGCCCGCGCAGACGCCCACUCUCCCAGCCCAGCCCACUCCCCGUCACCCGCGCAGACCACAGACGCCCAGCCUAGUCCGCCGCGCCGCCCUGGCGACUGGGCGCCUCUCGGCUGUGCCUUCAUGAGGUAGAAGACUUCAAGUGUUUAAUCCCUUUUAACUUUUAAGGCUUUAAUUAGAUGUUUCAUAGAAAUUUAUUGUCUUUGUAAAAUGUUUCAGAUACAAUACAAGGAGCCAGUAACAAUCAAAAUGAAGAAGAGGCAUAGAACAUUGCAAUCAUUUUUCUCUCCAGUUCUCACACCCGUCGUGCCUAAUGUGCAACCAAGAUCAAACCUCAAUUAUCAACCAACAGUGGAAACCGGAACCAGUAAUAAUCAAGCCCAAGAAAUUGCAACUGAGGAGGCUAUUGUUGAGGCAGUAGUAAAUCCAACUUCACAUGAACAAGAGCAAGAAAUUCCACCUUCUGAGCAGGUAUUCGAUAUAGUUACUGAUCCUAGGCUUAGAAAACCAAUUGAUGAAUACGAUGUUAAAAUAUUUUGGGUUUAGGGUCCUAGUUCUCAAAGAACUACCACAUCUGUUUUGCUAAAAACAAAUGGAGACUUUUGAGUUUGUGCUUAUUAUGCAUUUUGUUAUCAAAUUAUUGGGUAAGACUAAUGAUUUAUCCCAAUGCUUGCAAAAGAAUGAUCAAAAUAUUGUUCGUGCCAUAGGACUGAUUGGUGCCACAUUGCAACAAAUUGAUGAAAUUAGACAACAUGGAUGGGAAGAUCUCUUUAAGGAUACAAAAUCAUUUUGUAUUCAAUAUAAUAUCAUUGUGCCAAACAUGUUGGAUACAACCACUGCUAGAGGUCUCUCAAGAGGUCAUGGAGGUCAGUUGAUAACUUACCGUCAUCUCUUGAAACAUGAAAUAUUUAAUGUGGUGCUUGACCAACUUAUUGUGGAGUUGAACAACCGUUUUGGUGAAAGAUCUACCCAAUUAUUGAGAUGCAUUGCCUGCCUUGAUCUAAGAAAUUCUUUUGCCAAUUUUGAUGGAGAUAAGUUAAUUGAGCUUGCUAAAUUGUAUGUGUAGCAUCCCAAAAAUUCAAAUCUUGAAAUUUCCUCAAACUCGCUCUAAAUUCAAAAUGAAUUUUAAAUUUCAUUUCAAAAUGUUUGUUUGUGAGUUGAUAUCAGCAAAUAAAUUAUAGUGGUCUAUAUUCUCUCCAAAAUCCUCCUCAAAAUAUCCUACAAAUAUUUCCCCAGUGACCCCCUAAAGUUCUUUCCAGAAAUCUUGCCCAAAUAUUCCACCGAUAAUCCUCCAAGUAUUUUACUCCUGAGAAAUACCUUCAGAAUCAUUUUUAAAGUCCCUACAAAUAUUUUCUUCAUAACUUUCCUCAUGCUCAUACGUAUACGUAUGCUUCCGGUGUCAUACGGUGAGCUCUACAAGCUAAUUACACUUAUACAAGACAAAUCCAUGCUUAUCUCCCACUAAUCCUCGCAUCCUCCCACUAAUCCUCUCAUCCUCCCCCCUAAUCCCCCCACCGAGCCUAUAAAUAGAGGGGCAAUGGCCUCCUCUCAAGCCACCCCAAGCCAUUUCAAGGCAACUCUCUCCCUCCCCCCACACGCCCACUCCACCUCCCACACAAGCACACACUAGCACAAGGAUCGUUCGGUCGUUCUUCGAUCGUUCGUCCACUUGUUCUUAGUUUGUUUGUUCGUUUGUCCAAACAUUCAUGGUUCGUUCGUCCGUUCGUCUGAUCGUUCGAUCGUUCGUCCAAAUAAUCUUUGUUCGGCCGUUAUGCUGUCGAAAUUCCGAUCGUUCGUUCGUCCGAUCAUUCGGUCGUUCGUCGUUCGUUCAUAGUUCCUAUUCAUCGUUCGUUCAUAGUCCCUAUUCAUCGUUCGUCCAAAUAAUCUUUGUUCAGUCGUUAUGCUGCUGAAAUUCCGAUCGUUCGUUCGUCCGAUCAUUCGAUCGUUCGUCCGUUCGUUCAUAGUUCCUAUUCAUCAUUCAUCGUUUGUUCAUAAUCACUAUUCAUCGUUCGUUCAUACGACUAUUCACCAUCAAUAUUCACCGUUACUAUUCAACACCGUUACUAUUCAACACCGUUACUAUUCACUGGUACUAUUCAUCAUCGUUACUAUUCAUCGAUGAUAUCUAUCGUUACUUUUCGUCGUCACUAUUCAUUGUUACUAUUCAUCGAUCAUCCGAUCACCCCAGAUUUCAACUACUCGUCCAUCAUGCUGUCCAACUCACCUAAGACCAGCCAGACCAAUAUUCCAGUCAUACGAAGUCCGGUGACUAUGAUUUUCCUUCCAGUAAGAACUUUCCAUCUGGUCACCCAUCCCAGGUUUCUCCAAGUUGAGCAUGCUUAACUUUGAGAUUCCUUCGAACCAAGCUUCCAAACUCAGAUUCCAAUAAUUCUUGUUUCUAAAUUCCUAUCAAAUUAUUCCCUAUCCAAUCAUGUCAUCCCUUAAGCAUGGUUCAUAUUUCAGAAAACUCCCAAAAUACUCUUGUCCCAUAUUCUGCAUAUAACUCUCCUGUUCAAACUAAGUCAAACGAUUCAUUCGUCACUAUUCUCACCAACAGUAAACUCUACUGUACCACACCACAUACACCCAGCUACCAUCUCCCUCUCCACACACUCAACACCCUCAGCCAAGGCAAACACCCCACCCACUAAGUUACUCCGCUCUGCCGGCUACGCGCAUAGUGUCGCUUCGCCUCCAAUCCAUCCUCCUAGUAAGCACCUCCGCUCCACCACCAGUAAUAUCACAACACCACAUGACAUAGAUUCUGCUCAAGACUCUACCCAUCCAUGUAUCGCCAUUCUGACCAAUAUACUAAAUAUUUGUUGAUAUACUUGCUGGUUUGUAUGUUUGUUUGUUCAUGUUGCAUAGUUAUCGGAGCGUUCGUGCCGUCUCGUGGAGGCCAGAUCUGCAAGUCUACGCCAGGCGGUGGAGCCAGAAGCUAGUUCCGCGAGCUCUCACCCCUUUCGCCGGAUAAGCAACGGCAAGCUCACUGGAUCCCUUUGAUGCAUAAAUUACCUAUGCCUUUUCAACCACAACCCUCAGCCUUUUAUUUUAUGCAUGAUAUGAUUUUGAGACAAGUUAUUAUGGCCACCCAGCCGCUUGCCACAAUUAAUCUUUAUACUCAUUGAUAUCUUUGUUACAAAUGAUUUGAGAAAAGGUGUGAGUUUUCAAAAGAAAAUGUUUUUCAAAAUGGGUAUGAUGAAGGGUUGUCACCCUUAUCACCUUUUGAGCGGGAUGAUCAGGGACUCCCUGGUUUAGGGGAGAGCCUAAGGUGAUGGCUCAGCUGGUUUAGGUGUGAGCAUGAAGGAUUGUCCCUCUCGCCUAAGGACCGGUUUGUCAUCACUCCUUACCUAUACUCUUAUCAAGUACAACCACUCGAGACUGUAUGGGCGGUCGCUCAAUCUGAACUUGUACGGUCCGAACCCCAGGGUUAUGAUGGCUGGGGAGCACCGGGAGGAUAAGGAGGGGGAAUGUUUUGUCUGGUUUGGGCAUGGUGGAGGCCUGACUCCUUCUGGUAUAAUCGUUAAGGUAAGGACGUGCAAGGAAAGAGAGAGAUUCAGCAUUCGGGUCUCACGACGGUGAGAUUGUAGAAACCGGACUAGUGGAUAAAGUGUACACCUCUGCGCAGAGUUUGAAAACCUAUUCAAAUAGUCCGCGUCCACGGAUAUGGAUGAGUCAUGGCAUGGAUUUGACAAUUCAUGUUUUGUUUUCCAAAAAUGCAUUUGAAAAGUGGUUUUUAAAAGGUCCAGUGGUUGAGCCGUGAGCUAUGGUGGACGGGAAGUCCAGUAGCUAUUUUUGAAAAGAAAACCAGUGAGAAACUGCUGAGAUACCUGGAUGGUUUAGUCCAGGGGAUUUUGUUCUAUAUUGAAAAACUUCCUGCUCCUUUGGGAGAGGAUGCGCUUUGAAAAAUACAAAAUGUUUUACAAAAUAACCCUGUAUCAAAUAUUGCUAUUUCUACAAAAUAUCCUGAGCUCCACAUACUCCAUGCAUUAUAUCUGAUUUCCCCAUUCCGUGGGUGAAGGUGGGCUGGUGAGUACAUAAGUACUCACCCUUGCUUAUUUGUUGUUUUUCAGAGAAGGAGAUCGCUGAUCGGGUAAGGGUUACGCCUAUUCCCAACCUUGCCUGUGGCUGUUGGACCGCUGAAUUGCUCGCUGCGUAUAUCGGGCUGUUUCAGCCCCACUAUGAUGAUAUGUCCCGAGUUGUGGACCAACUCUUAAAGUUGAUGUCACCUUUAUAGGUUUGUCUCGUUUAAGCAGAUCUAGAACUAUCUGAUGUAUAAAUGUGUUUACUAGCCUCCUGGACUAGUAAUUGUACCACAUUUGAGUCCCAGAGGAUUGGAGCGCUUCAGUAUGAUGCAGACUUCUCUACAUAUAAUUGCAUAGUUUUGAAAGACCAACUUGAGAUAUUCAUUUUUGAUAUGAGAGCUGAUCCAGACAUUCUAAGUUGCAAUGACCUAAAUGAUCUUGCUGUGAGAAUGGUUCAGAGUGACAGACAUGUUGUCUUUCCAUUUGUAUAUCGUCUCAUUGAAUUAGCUUUGAUUUUACCGUUGGCAACAACAUUUAUGAAGAGAGUUUUCUCAUAUAUGAAUAUCAUUAAAACUGAGUUGCGGAAUAAGACAGGAGACGAAUGCCUUAAUCAUCGUAUGAUGUGUUAUAUUGAGAGAGAUAUAUUUACAAGCAUUGAGGAUGCAAAGAUAUUGGAUUAUUUUCAAGGCAUGAGAACCCGCAGGGUGAAUCGAACUCGUACUAGUGAUAUGUACCAAUUACUAAUAUUAUUAAAUUUAUUCAAUAUUACCUUUCAAGUCGCGUUGUUAAUAUGAUUUCCUUCAAAGUUUUAGAGCAAGAAGCACUGAUGUUGAUGUUGACAUGAUAUAUUUGGAAGUAACUACAUCAUAACUUGUAUGUCAUAUUUAACAUCUAUGACAACGUUGUUUUGCCGUACAAUUUUUUUAAAUGCUAUUAUUAGAGUUUAUAGUCGCUUCAGCUCGGACCUUUGCUAAUUUCUGGGUUCGCCAUUGAGUAGCAGGGCCAAUGCCAAGAUCAUCGAGAAGUAGAUGAAUUAGCAGUCACGACGAGUGCUCCCUAAACACUUAAGGCCUUGUUCGGUUAAUUCCGUUACCCAUGGAUUGGAUGAGAUUGGAAAAAAUUAAGAAAGAGUUUGACUUAGUUGAGAUUUAAACCCACCUAAUCCCACUCAAUCCAUGUGGAUUGGGAGCUAACCGAACAAGCCCUAAUUGGUCACCUAUCCCGACCUAUCCCGAGCAGGAUCACCAAGCGCCAAUGGUUGUAGAGGCCUGCUUACUCUACUUUUUGGCCAUGUAGAAACAGAGGCGGGAACACCACAAAGUAGUGCAAUAGAGAAGAAGAGUUUGUGUAUGAGAAGGAUGCCAUUUUAUUUUAUAUAGAUGGACGCGGUGCUCCAACAGUCAGCAAAAACAGAUGAAUUAAUCCUUGAACAAAUUUUGUUGUUAUCCGAAAUAUCUGAAUAAACUCAGGCGUUGCUGGUAAUAGACACCAUAAUUUGUCCGUUACUGUCUGUUUUACGUCACCGAGUAUGUACACUUAAUGUAUUGUAUUGUAUCGUAUCGGCGUGGCGAGCAUGCGCCUGUCCACUCCGUCUUCCCCACAUUCAACUUCUCAAUAGACCACACUAUUUAAGUUGGUUAAACUUUCUUUCAGUUAGUAAUAUGAGACUAAUUUUCCUAUAAUAUCUAGUAUUCCAUAUGAGCUUUGAAAGUAAUUAGGCCUAAUUUAUUGCAAUAAAACGUUAUAUUACAACAGAUACACGCUCCAAGAGGCAAAACCGUCAAUCUUUUUUUUGUCGUGCAUGCAUAUGACUGACCCAUUAUCUUCACGUUUUUUUGCCUUGAUGGAAGCUUUGUGAUGGUUCUGUGUCGGUUCACCACUCCUUACUUUUAAGGUCUAAAUCAGCAAACCCCACCCACAGUUUUAAGAUAAAAACUCUAAAACCGUUAAACCCUUUAAGUCUUAUUUGGAUAUAGGUAUAUGCUCGUGCGUUGCUACGGUAUCAAUAUGAUAAAAUAUGUUGAUAUAUAAAAAUAAUAAUUAACAUUUUGUUAGAAUCACUAAAAGUGGAUGUAAAUAACUAUUUCUUCUGAAGCAUUUGAUAAGGCUCCUCCCCUAAGUCGAAACCCACCAAUACACUUCUUUUGUUCUAAAUUAUUACUACCUCCAUUUUCAAAUGUUUAUCGUCCGCUAGUUUAUUUUUGAACUGAACAACGGUCAAAUAAAAAAGAACAAAGGGGUAGUUCACAUCAUUUUUAAGGAGCCAUUUGGAACCCUUGCCGCAAGACGAGCGCAACACAUGCCAUUGAUUUUGAAUGGUAUAAAACAAAACAAGUUGAAGUUUUAACAUGGCUAUCUGUUUUACACGAAGGAAAACAAACAAAACGCGUUUGGGAAUUUUUUGGGGUGGUUGAGUUCAGCAGAAAAACGAAAUACCAUCAUGGAAGUGUGGUGCUUGACAUGUGCGGGCUGUGCAAGAAUGCACCAACGUUAAGGCCUUAAGCGAGGUAAGUAAGCACGGAGGUCGUGUUUCAAGCGCAAGCACAGAGGCAAUUCCACAAGGCUACCAUAUCGUCGUCAGGACACGACUAAGGUUCAUUUCUUCAGGUAUACCCUACCCGCAAUCAGAAAUAGAUGCAGGAACCAACAACCAGGAGGACUACCUGGCAGGCCAGAGAUUUGCACUCCAUCAGCUGUCCAACUCAAAACCCACAGCAUCGCGGCAACAAGGGCACAGGUGCACCGCCCGACACUUGCAGGUCAGGCAACAGGUUCAAGCGACAAAAAGGUGCCUUCCUACUCUGCAUGGACCUGUCAUGACCUUAGCCACUGUGAGCAAGACUCACCCAACUAUUGUGUCUGCCACACCUCCUCAUAGCACUUCUGCUGCCACCAUCGUCUGCCUCUCUCCUCCACCACUGCUGACCACAGCCUGAUCUGAGGUGCCCCGAUCGGUAUGUCGGUAUGUCCUGACCUUCAGAAUCCUUUCCCUGGAAGUUUAUUAAAAAAGUAUGCCAGUGAAAACGAAGUACACACUGUCCAUAGGUUGAAAAAACAUCAGCAAACUUCUAUUCAGUUACAUGCAAAUUAAAGGGAUUAACAUAUCAAGAAAAAAAUAUAAAACUAAAUAUAUCCAAACACGAAAGACCUCAAGAAUUUACAUGUUGACCAACGUCGAUGACAUGGACUGUUCGUGAAAGAGCUCGAUGAGGCUAGGCACCCAUCAUUCUUCUCAUCCCAUGGAUGAAAUCAUUCCUUCUCUGUUAUCACAGACCAAAUGCAACCCGUUAUUCUCAAGAAAGUACUUGAGGUAUAAACCAUUCAAUCAUAUAGACCGACAAACAAGUAACAAUUAUAUCAUACCAGCUUCCUGGUAGCUAAAAGUAAAAUGCCAGAAUCUUAAAUCACUUAAAUGACCCAUUGUUGGAGACUCAUGUUGUGGAAUUACUCCCCAUUGGUAACCCAAGUGCCCAAGUGGUCCAACAAGCUGUCACUAUGGUCUGCAAAUAAUGGCCCAGGAUCUCCACGAACCCCCUCCAGAUUUCUCUACUCCAUCUAAAUGAGCAAAUUUGAAUAGCAUAAGCAUACAUAGCUUGCUCAAUAUAGCAAUAUCGAUCCAAAAAAUAAUUGCACCCUAAAUUAGAAUGGAAAAAGGUUGAUAUAAAUUAAAUGACUCCAAAAACAAAAUCAUCACCUUCUUCAUAUGAUGUGUAUAGGACUACCUUCUUCAUCUGGCUUGUCUUGUUGCAUAGGCUUCUCCGAGGCAUAGGAAUAUGUUGAAGUAUAAACAUUGUUGCUCGGUGUAAUGUCAGCCUUUGCUUUGCUGGAACUAAGAGUCUCAGGUUCUGAGAUAUCAGAGUUCUUCAAAACUCGGUGCCUUGUAGACCUCCUACAGAAGCUCCAUCUGCUUUUAUCUGAUAUGGCGUUGUUCUGAAAACAGCGAACAUGCACAUCAGCGUGAAGUUCAGUAAUUGACACGAGGAACAGAGAUUGAAAAAUCUUCUGUUCCUUUCCACACAUAAAAAGAAAACAUCAAAAGGUGGUGUUACUGGGACAAGGUUCAGGAGGGGCUGAUCUUCAUCAGUAACAUCAGCAGCUAGAUCACUGAUAAAUAUUAAGUGACCAGAAGGUACUUCUGACCGCUUUUCACCCAUGCGAUAUGAUCCCAGUUCAACUUAGAUGCCUGGUCAGGGUUUGGCAUCACAUGACCAUAAAAAUCCUGAAGAGCCUUUUCUGCUAAUGCAUGAGAAAAGAACUGAACAAAUCCAUACCCCUCUGACUGUCAUGUUUGCCUAUUGCGGAUAACUUUUAUUUUAACCACCUACAAAAAUAUAAGAUAGCAAAAUAUAAUAAGAUUACAAGUCAAAAAGUUUUGGAAGCACAAACACACAUAAACAGAAAGAAGAAAUAGUAAGUGAUGCUUGAUUAGCAUUAACCUCGUAUGCAUCCGAUAAACAUAUUUUCAACUAUGUUUGAAGAAAGGUUCCUAUUAGCUAAUGCUCCUAGCUAGUAAAAAGGAUACAUACAAGUCGCUUUGUCCAUAUAUUUUUGUGCCGGUUGCUUCUCUUGAUUUAUCACCACCUAUACCCCGCUUCUACAUAGCAGGGUCAGUGGUGGCUCUGGCGUAGAAUGGAAGCUCACUCACAACUCUACCAGUAAACUAAGCAUGCUAAACUAUUAAUGAAAAACAAACAAAAUGAUAUUCGCAGAUAACAUCAGCAAUCAGCAACGGAUAAAUGGAAUGGUACAGUGUCAAUACCUAUUGUAAUUGUAGUAAAACAAAGACAAAGAAAGGAGCAAGGAUCAAUAAAACUUACAUGCUAAAAUAGCCCUGCCACUUGGCAUCCUGCACACAGGGACAAAAACGAAAAAACAUGUUAGAGUCAGUCUCCAAUCAGGCACAUGAACAGACGACUAAUAUAUUAAUAUUCGUACAAGUUAAGGGUUAUAACUUUAAAAUACAGUGUUGUAACUUCUAGUGUUAUUUCUGAUUUUCUCCCUAGAUUCCAAUUGAGUAUCUCCAUAAUCAUCACGACAAUCUGCAUACCAAUACCGACAUCUUUUUCUUGAGGAAUGUCCCAUUUAAAUCUCAGAUUUCUUGAUGAAUUACACUCAUCGCAAAAGAAUGAGCAGUCACAGAAAACCUACCUAGCUGGAAUUGCAAAAUUAAAGAAUGAGCUGCCUAUCAAAACAUCAUCCGUCAUCUCUCUGGCCAGCGCAAAAAGAGCAAAUUUCUAACCUUAUCGUCGGCCAAUAAUCUGGGAACUCACAGUAGAUUAACUCAGACAAACUUUAUUGAUGAAUACCUGGACGUUUCAUACCAAGCUUCAGAGCUGAAGACCUGAACCUUGAUGAUCUAUCCAUCCAUUGUUUCCCCUGUAUAUAGAAGACAAUAUAAGGAAACAAGCAGAGGAAGAACAAUCAGUAUGUUAGAUUUGUAUAACUAAUGGGGCAGUUGACAAUAGAAGCUUUGUAACCACCAUAUGCAGACAGAUAAAAAGGGACAUAAAUUUGUAAACACUGUUGAUAUCAUAAAUAUGAUGCAAAACCAUCAAACAUAGCAUUGAUACAAUGAAAUAUUUAUCUUGAAGAUUAUUUUAUGUUGUUAAUUGUCCAAUAGGUUCGUAAAUCAGUUAAGAGGCUGCUCGUUAUCGGAUAGAUUCUUAAAUCAGAAAAUAGGUUGUAAAUGGCAGAAAAUUGACACAUAUUUGGACAACCUUUUUGGUACUACCAAACAUUAAUUCUAGAAUUUGGUUGCGAGUUUCAGACACUAACACAUUGUGGAUGAUAGGACAUGAUUGCUAGAAUGUAACUGGUAUCGACAAAAGCAAAUUGGAGCCUUACUUAGUGGGUACAAGGGGGCUGCUAACAUCUUAAGAGCAGCUAUUUGCAUAGAAGGCUUUUCAAAUUAAAUUAUAGCAGUAAUCAUGAGGCAGUCUGAAAAGUGGCGGUAAAUAAUAUCAUCUACUACCAAGGGAUUAUCCCAUAGCACUAAGACAAUAAAUUCAGACUUUCAAUUAUAUGGAUUUACUUGAGAUUUAAAAUAUAGUUCAUGUUCUUGCUCAACCACUUUCUUUCCCAUCCAAUUCCUAUAGCAUUUCAGUACAUAAAACCAACUACUAACCAUGGCUAUGUCGUAUGCAGAUCCACGGAAUUCACCCUCUCCGACCUCUGCGUGAGCUUCCUCUGAUCCAAACAAACAUAGUACCACUGAUAGCUACAUGACCCAAAAACAUUCACCGCCGAGACAAAACAGGGAGCAGAAAGCCAAACGGAUCCGAGGAAGAUGCGUUGAGAUUACCUUGCUAUUCUACCGGAGCGGCUACCAAAGAACGCUCAUCGCCUGUCCACCACAUGCCAACCUCCAAACAAGUGAGGCGUCGCGUUGAUGGCGGGGAGGAGAGGGGGCGGUGGGUGGGCAGAGGGAUCGGCAGAACCGUGCACCAAAAUAAUCUGUGGACGCCUACAGUAGCGUCUUAAGAUAGACAUGUCAGUAAUAUGAGAUUUGCACAGAUAAGUAAUGGGCAAACUAAAUUACAAGCAGCAAGAAACUUCACUCGGAACUUUGUGUAGUGCUCAGCAACAAAAUCUACUAUUACAUGAUGUUUAGUUUUACAUGAUUAGUUUAUGCCCAAUUUUCACAUGUGGCAAAAUGUCGAAAAUGAUUUGUUUGCAACAUUGUGCAUUCAUCUGGUUUGUCGCCAUUUUGGCAACAUAAUUACUUCUGUCUAAAGAACAUUGAGCUAUGCAGUUUUUAAAUCACAUGUUUCAGAAUUAAUACAAAAAAUACCCCAAAAAUGUGGAUGGGCAGUUGAACAUUGAGACAGAAGAUCGCAAAUUCAGAACUGAAUUCUAAUCCUCGUAAAAUCAAUUGCAGAAUAGAUUAGUAAGUGCAUUCUAAUCCUCGUAAACAUCUUUUGGGGGACUUUUUUAAGUUGGCCAUAUGCACGGGAAUAAAUAUGUAUAUUGGUACAUAUAUUUACUAAAACAUGAUUGUAUUGAUUCUUAGGAACAACGAGCAUUCAUGUAAAACUUGACGCAACUAAAAGAAAUGACCCUCUCUUAAGCCUUAUCAUUUUAGCGCAUGUUGUGUUUAGAUAGUCAACCCUAUUCUUAUUCAUUUUCCUCUAUUGGACCAUUAAGCAAUACACUGCCUUUGUAUUCUCAACCUAGACCCAAAAAACCCCCACCAUAAAAAGCAGCUAGAUAUGUAGCAGUGGGUUAGGAGUAUUUUUUGCGUCUAAGUUGCCCGUACUCUAUCUACAAUGUAACAAGGUAUGACUUGCAUCUGCACACAUGCAACACAUGAGAAAUCAGGUAGAAGAAUUCAAAGUCUGUAAUAUAAUAAAUAAACUUGUGUCAAUUUCAAAACGAAUCCCCUAAGUGAGCGUCGAAAGAAUAGGGUUGUCUGGCCGAACACAGUACUUUUUGUAGGCUUGUUGUCUUGACCUACAGUCACCGAUGCUACACAAGGAUACACACCAUUGUAUUUUGCAUAGCUACUUUUGCCUAAAAAUGAGCAGGAAGGAUUCAUCUUACCUUGAACGUGAUAUGCUUGUCUGUCUUGUUCGUCAGCUGUAGCGUGCAGGAGAUCUGCUUAUUUAAUUCGACUGCGUGAUUCAAAGAGGAAAUUAGGAAACAAAGGAACAAUACAGGACAAGACAACUGUGGGUUACCUUGAAAUGAUUGGAAAGCACAGAACACAUAUCGAAAUGAACAACUAUAUGAGGUUGGCAGAAUCCAAGUGAUCUAGUGCCCAUACCAAAAAUCUAGUGUCCAUACGAUUUUUGGUAGCUCUGUUUCUCAAAUGCUACAACUCAAUACUCCUCAAUAAUUAGCAUGGAUCAUGAAGAACCUUAAUUAAGUAAACUAAAUGAUCCGUAACACAUUAUGGCUCUCCCCAACUGCCCCCAGCCCACACACAAAAGGUUACCACUUUUAUUUGGCGAGUGUACAGGUAUGCUGGUGGCAAAGCUUCUAGUGCAGAGCUUCCAUGUAAAUACGGAAAAAAGAAGAUGGUGGGUGCAUGUGAGAAAGACUCACAUGCUCUCAGGCAUACCAUGUUAUUACUGCAUAUUAUUUCAAUGAAUGAUAUGGAUGAUUUGCGGUUUGUAAAUGUGUCGGUGGUAGAGUAGAAAUUCGGACAGCGUGCUAUGCUAAAAUCAUUUCAAUGAGAUAAUAUGCAGUAAUAACAUGUGCGCUUGUGCUUUAUAUUGGUUAUGUUUAUUUGGUUUUAUUUUUUCUCUACAAAAAAUUAGGAGAAUACAACAGUUACUGUAAAUGCAAAACCAUCAUGGAGAGCCUGAAUUUUGUUGCUAUUACAUCAACAAAAGUCCAUGUUUAGCAAAAAAACAUAUAUCACUUCUUCAUUUCUGAUUCUUAUAGUUUCUUUUCAAUGUUUGCAGACAAGAUCAAUGAAAAAAUGGGAGGUUAGUUUGGAUGGCCAUGUGUUUGAAAUAAUUGAUUACCCGCAUUGUGCAUGUUGUGCAAUACAUGCAGCAGGUUAUGUUUGUAACUGAAUGUGUCUAGAAUACAUCAGGUACCUUUGGUUAGGUGUUGGGACAAAGAAAGGAAACAAAUGGUGGCUAUCAAAAGUAUAGGGAUGCUGCUGUAAGGAAAAUGGACCCCGGGCCGUUUGGCUAAUUGAGUUUUGGUGUUUGAUGAACAACACAAUCCGUGAACUAAUAAGGUUUCUAGUGUUUGUGUUUGUAGUUCACAGGAUGCGAAGAGGAUUGGACCAAGGCAAUGAGGAUGCAACACCUCAAAUGAAGACAUAAAAAGAUGCAUAGAAGUCCAAGACUCAAGAACAAAAGAAGCCCAUAGAAAUCAGCAAAGAAACCUGAGAAGAGGGCUGUCAGCCAGCGCCUGGUGGCGCACCGGACAGUGCACAGUACCUGUCCGGUGUGCACCGGACUGUCCGGUGAGACAACCGGACGGUCUGCGCAGAGAGGCCGCAGGUAGGUGCUCUCGGGCUGUAGCACCGGACUGUCCGGUGUGCACCGGACUGUCCGGUGUGCCAACGGGUAGACGGCAACGGUCGAAUCCAACGGUCGGAUCCAACGGUCGACUGCUACAGACGCCAACGGUCGGCUGACAUAGGCGCACCGGACAUCUACUGUUCAGUGUCCGGUGGUGCACCGGACUGUCCGGUGCACCCGACGACAGAAAGCUGCUGCUUUCUGUCCAACGGCUAGUUGAGGGUGUGGAGGCUAUAAAUAACACCCCAACCGGCCAUUCUCAAGUGUGAGAGCCCAAGCAACAUUCCAAUACACAUAGUGCAUAUUUCCAAGUGCUCAAACACCCAAGUGCUUAAUAGAAUCACUCGGUGAUUAGCGUAGGUGCUUUGCGAAGUGCUUAGGUUAGUUAGACCGCUUUAGCGCUUGCUCUAGGUGAAUCCUAGUUAGUUGAGUGAGUUUAGAUAAACCUCACAACCCCUCGGCUCUUGCGCGAGCCGUUGUAAUUGUACCGAGUGGGGCGAGAGUCUUGCGAGACCGUGACAACCGUGUUUGUGUCACGGCCGCCACCGUGUACCGGAGGGAACGAGGCCCGCGGCGUUUCGGCCGGAAGCUCGAUAGUGGAGACGGCGGGGAGCGUCCGAGAGGAGCCGGAAGCGGAGCACCACUUGCGCGUGGAGAAGGCCCGCGGCUCUCUACGGAGUUACUCGACCGAGGUGCUUGGCCCUCGCGUGGGCUUCCCUUUGCGUAGGGGCACCAACGAGGAUUAGUCGGGACCUUGCGCGGUUCCGGAUACCUCGGUAAAAAUACCGGCGUCAUCCACGAGAGUUUGCUUCUCUACUUAGCUCUUUACAUUCCGCAUUUAUAUUAAGCAUUUAAGUUUCAAUCUUGUUGUCAUACUUAUUUAGUGUAAAUUGAAACUUAGCCUUUGCGGUAGAGAUAGCAACACUUAGACAAAACCUAGUUUACACAUUCUAGUUUUGAUUCUUGCAUAGGUUUUGCUCUAGGGAUUUAAUUGUGGCCAAGUUUAGUAAAAAGUUUUAGAAGUCCUAAUUCACCCCCCCCCCUCUUAGGCGUCACCCGUUUCCUUCAAUUGGUAUCAAAGCCUGGUUUGGCUCAUUUGAAACUUUUUAGCUUUACCGCUAAAAGAGCCGACGCUUUUUAGAGGAAGGGAUGGAUACCCAUAGGCCACCACACUUCGACGGCACUAACUUCCCAUACUAUAGUGCUAGAAUGGCUUGUUACCUAGAGGCCGUUGAUCUAGGUGUUUGGAGAGUCACUCGUGACGGGAUGAAACCCCUCAAGAAUCCCGAGAAACCCACCACGAGUGAGGAAAAAGAAAUUCAUUUAAAUGCUAGAGCCAAAAAUUGCUUGUAUGAAUCUCUUAGCAUGGAUAUUUUUAAUCAAGUAUUUACCUUGAAAACUGCUAAUGAGAUUUGGCUAAAAUUGCAUGAGCUCCAUGACGGCACAUCCAAUGUCCGUGAGCAAAAACAUUGCCUAGUCUUAAAUGAGUACAAUUCUUUUGCUAUGAAAGAUGAUGAGCUUGUUAGAGACAUGUAUUCUCGUUUGAAUCUAAUAAUCAAUGAGCUCAACUCUAUUGGCAUUAAUAAGCUAGGUGACGCGGACAUUGUGAGGAAGAUUAUCUCCCUGCUACCACAACAAAGAUAUGGGAGCAUCAUCACCAUCCUUCACAACAUGGAGGACUUGAGCAACAUGACCCCGACCAUUGUGAUUGGGAAAAUCGCGGCCUUUGAGAUGUCGCGAAAAAUGAGUCGGGGAGAGGAGCCAACUUCCUCAAGACCAUAUGCCUUUGCAUGUGAUGAAAGGAAGGGCAAAAAGAAGGCUCCUACUCCAAGUACCUCAAGUGAAGAAGAGGAAGAAGAAGAAAGUGAUGAUGAUGAAGAUAAUCAACCAUGCACAUCAUCCUUCGAGGACGAAGAGACAAUCCGACGCGUCGGAAAGGUAAUGGGGAUGAUCCGCAAGAUUAAUCUAAUGGGUGUGCCCCUGCAGGUCGAGGAUCUUCUCUUUAACAUUGACAGGAAAAAGCAAAGGAAGAGAGGAUGCUUCGCAUGUGGGGAGAAGGGCCACUUCAGGGACAACUGUCCAAAUAUGGCCAAGCCCAAAAAGGAGAGGAGCAAAGGCAAGGCGCUAACAAGUGUUAAAACUUGGGAUGAUUCUUCAAGUGAAGAUGAACCUCCAAGGACGCGCAGCCACCGAUCCUCGUCACGAUCAUCACGGUCAUCACACAAAUGCCUUAUGGCAAGAGGUAACAAAAGCACUCCAUCCUCUAGUGAUGAAAGUAGUAGUGAUGAUGAAGGUGAGGGAAAAGCCUCUCUAGAUGAGCUUGCAGAAGCCAUAGAAUUUUUUCAGGAUGUUUGCACUAAGCAAAAAGCUCAACUUAAAACUUUGAAAAAUAAGUUGGUUAGUUCUCAAAAUGAUUACAAAGGUUUGCUAGAAAAAUUUGAAACUUUUGCAAACUUAAAUAGUGAGCUAUCAACUAAAAUUGAGCUAUUGGAAUCUAGUGCUCCAUCCACUGCUACCGAUGAUAGCCUUAUUAAAAAGAAUGAAAAACUUAAGGCUAAGUUAGCUAGCUCCCAAGAAGCUAUUGAAAAUUUGCUAGAGAAAAUGGAAAUUCUUAGCAUACACAAUAAUGAGCUAACUACUAAGCUAGAAAACAUUGGUAGCACCCCUGCAGCAUCUUUAGUUGAAAUACCUGAAAUAAUUAAGAAAGAUGCUUCUACUUCCUGCUUUGAUUUAAUUGAUGAUUCUAACACCUGCAACCAAGUCGCUGUUGAGAAUAUUGUUAUAAAGACAUGUACGGAUGAGGUUGCUAAGGAAAAUGAACAAUUAAAGCAAGAAGUGGCUCGCCUUGGCAAGGCUUUGUAUGACAAGAAAGGCAAAGCCAAACAAAUCCAACCUCCACAGGAUAACACCACUGCGGGAGUGAACAAGCCUAUGGAGGGAGAAACUGUGAUUUGUAGGCUAUGCCACAAGGAAGGCCACAAGUCUUUCCAAUGCAAGGCGAUGACCGGGGAUAAACAAAGGCAAAAGCUCAAGCAAAAGCCAUCAAGCAAAAUCUCCAUCACCUACAUCAAAAAGGUGAACAAAAAGGACGCUACACCAUAUUUGAUCAAGAAGAAAAAGAAUGGAAAGGUGAUAGCAAUCAAGGCCAACAAGCAAGCCAACAAAGGAAAGGGGGCCAAACGCAUCUGGGUGCCAAAAGAGAUAAUUUCAUCCAUGAAAAGCACCAAGAAGGUUUGGAUCCCGAAAGGGAAGUGAGUGAACCAAAGGUCGUCGGGAAAUUUGGAGACUUGGCUAAAUUGGGAUGUAUAUCAUGGGAUACAUCAUAUUGGAUCAAGUUUAUUGCCAAGUGGGUUAGUGAAAAUUUUAGACCCAAAUUUCCCACCCAUGACUAAGGUAACUAGCUUUAUUGUAUUCCUCGUUUUUAGAUAUGCGUAUCUAUUUAUCUUUUAUCUAGUUUACCUUUCUUGCCUAGUAUUACAUUUGUUAUGUACUUUUGUUCAAAAUCAUGCAUACUAGGUAAAUCAUAUGGUAGGAUUGCUAGUUUUUAAAUUCAUAUACUUAAGCAAACCUACAUGGCUUAAAAUGUUUAGUUAAAGCACGGCACAUAGCUUUUAUAUCACUCCAUAGUAAAUGAUGCAUCAAUUGAAAAUUUUGAUUUCUACAAAGUGUAUCAUUUAACUUAUAUGUGCCAAAGUUUGGAUUAUGGAUAAUUUGCCCCUCUUGAUAUCAAAUCAAAGUGCAUGUCUCCUACAAGUAUUCAAAACUUGUAUGCACACCUUUAGGGGGAGGUUACUCUAUAAUCUAACACCUUGAGACUAACACCUUUUCAAGUCUAUUUCAUGUGAUAGUCUCAUUGUAAGGAAAAUGAAGUCCCCGGAGAAAGACAACAAUCUUCCACUGCAAAAUCUCCAAGAACUCUCAUGUCUCUCAAGCUCGCCAUUGAUCUUCAAUUGGUAUCUUUUGAGACUACAUUCAGUAUCAUUUACAUGUCUUCUCCAAUAUUUGAUUAGACUAUAUUUCAUAUCAUAUGCUUCCAUGUUGCUAAAAAUGCAUAAGUAGUUAACUCAUAUUCUGUUACCUAUGCAUAAGGGAAGUCAGUCUUUUCAAAUCAUGUCUUGCACCUCUAAUUCUCACAUGCUUUUUCCUAAGUAGAGGAUCUCUGUCAGGGGAGUAUUUCUUCAUCUCUAAAGGGGGAGAAAAACUCUUUCCAAAGGAGAAUACUCAUUUAGGAGAAAUAAUCUUUUGAGGAACUCCUACUCAUGGUAUCUUUCAUGAUCUACAAGUGGUAUCAUUCAUGGCUUAAUUUAAUAUACUUCUAGUGAUAUCAUCUGUUGAGGGCAAGCUUUUAUUUACUUCCUACAUGCUUUUAAUGUCUUCCUUUUCAGUGGUUGAUGCCAAAGGGGGAGAAGUUUAGGGGCCAAAGCAAUGAAAACUAUAUCAAACACCAAACACCACCAAUUUAAAAUUUUAUAUCUACAAAUGACUUUUCAAGUGGUUUUGGUUAUUUGGUCCAAAAAUAGGAAGUAAGUGAAUUAUGGAGUUAGGGGGAGGCUUAAGUCCAUAAUGUCACAUUGUGGGGACAAUCAUGCAUUCUAGCAAGUAGAUUGCACUUUUAAUUCAAAUACUUGUAUUAUUUGCUUGCUUUGGUUGUGUUGUCAUCAAUCACCAAAAAGGGGGAGAUUGUAAGGAAAAUGGACCCCGGGCCGUUUGGCUAAUUGAGUUUUGGUGUUUGAUGAACAACACAAUCCGUGAACUAAUAAGGUUUCUAGUGUUUGUGUUUGUAGUUCACAGGAUGCGAAGAGGAUUGGACCAAGGCAAUGAGGAUGCAACACCUCAAAUGAAGACAUAAAAAGAUGCAUAUAAGUCCAAGACUCAAGAACAAAAGAAGCCCAUAGAAAUCAGCAAAGAAACCUGAGAAGAGGGCUGUCAGCCAGCGCCUGGUGGCGCACCGGACAGUGCACAGUACCUGUCCGGUGUGCACCGGACUGUCCGGUGAGACAACCGGACGGUCUGCGCAGAGAGGCCGCAGGUAGGCGCUCUCGGGCUGUAGCACCGGACUGUCCGGUGUGCACCGGACUGUCCGGUGUGCCAACGGGCAGACGGCAACGGUCGAAUCCAACGGUCGGAUCCAACGGUCGACUGCUACAGACGCCAACGGUCGGCUGACAUAGGCGCACCGGACAUCUACUGUUCAGUGUCCGGUGGUGCACCGGACUGUCCGGUGCACCCGACGACAGAAAGCUGCUGCUUUCUGUCCAACGGCUAGUUGAGGGUGUGGAGGCUAUAAAUAACACCCCAACCGGCCAUUCUCAAGUGUGAGAGCCCAAGCAACAUUCCAAUACACAUAGUGCAUAUUUCCAAGUGCUCAAACACCCAAGUGCUUAAUAGAAUCACUCGGUGAUUAGCGUAGGUGCUUUGCGAAGUGCUUAGGUUAGUUAGACCGCUUUAGCGCUUGCUCUAGGUGAAUCCUAGUUAGUUGAGUGAGUUUAGAUAAACCUCACAACCCCUCGGCUCUUGCGCGAGCCGUUGUAAUUGUACCGAGUGGGGCGAGAGUCUUGCGAGACCGUGACAACCGUGUUUGUGUCACGGCCGCCACCGUGUACCGGAGGGAACGAGGCCCGCGGCGUUUCGGCCGGAAGCUCGAUAGUGGAGACGGCGGGGAGCGUCCGAGAGGAGCCGGAAGCGGAGCACCACUUGCGCGUGGAGAAGGCCCGCGGCUCUCUACGGAGUUACUCGACCGAGGUGCUUGGCCCUCGCGUGGGCUUCCCUUUGCGUAGGGGCACCAACGAGGAUUAGUCGGGACCUUGCGCGGUUCCGGAUACCUCGGUAAAAAUAUCGGCGUCAUCCACGAGAGUUUGCUUCUCUACUUAGCUCUUUACAUUCCGCAUUUAUAUUAAGCAUUUAAGUUUCAAUCUUGUUGUCAUACUUAUUUAGUGUAAAUUGAAACUUAGCCUUUGCGGUAGAGAUAGCAACACUUAGACAAAACCUAGUUUACACAUUCUAGUUUUGAUUCUUGCAUAGGUUUUGCUCUAGGGAUUUAAUUGUGGCCAAGUUUAGUAAAAAGUUUUAGAAGUCCUAAUUCACCCCCCCCUCUUAGGCGUCACCCGUUUCCUUCAGCUGCAAUGAUAGAAAUUGGCAUGCUCAAGCAGCUUGCAAAAUGUACAUAUUAUCAUAACCUCUUUCAUUUUAAUGGUAAUCACAAGAAUUCAAGUGGUGGUAUGUGGACAUUCCAUUUUAUUAUGAUAAUAUGUACAUUUUUCGGCUGAGUAAGAAGGAUUUAUGCUUCUAAAUAUGACGUGAUGAUACCUUGAUUAGGGAAUGCAGAAAAAAACAGGAGGGCAUAAAGAUGCGCCUAACUUAUAGAGUUAUCUGCUAUAACAUAUGUAGUUUCUAUGGUUAGGAAAGUUUUCUCGCUUGCCAUUCAACCAUAUAUCACAGCUGCUUUAGAAAUUGUGCUCGAGUUAGUAGACAUAGACCAACAUUUUAAUGAACUAAGGCUAGAGUUAAGGUUAACUUUAGGGAGUUUAAUACUUCUUGGCCUUCUCUUUAUCCCUCUAACUCUUCACAUCAUAUAUCUUAUCUAAUGAUUAAAUGGUUGUAUUUCUGGACAUGAGUCGUUAUAAUUUUUUGAGGAACAAUACUGUCACCACCCACGCUUUGUCCAAGAUAUUAGGAUUGCAGUAAUGUGAUGACACAAAAACUACAAAUCUGUAAAAGACGAAGUUCAUUAUCUAAUCUAAAAUUACUUAUAAACUAAAUCACCGAUAAAGGUGCAACUGAACAGCAUUGGACAAAACAACACUGCACCUGUUUGGUCAGCACUCAUUUUAAAGACAACUAAUUAGUUGCAACUGUAUUUUCAAGUGAAAGAAAUUCUGAAAAUAAGAAAAGGUGCUAUACCUCGGCUAUACAAUUUUUUUGGGCAAACCAUAGAAACCACACACAGAGAAGCUAACCAUGUUCUAACUGGAAGGUUCUGGAGUUAUUAAGGCUAGCUUUCAGUAGCAGGAGAGCAAUAAAAUAGGGGGAGAGUGGAGAUUGGUAUGGAUGCUUACUGUAGCUGCCCUAUUGUUGACUUCCACGAUGGCGACCUUGGCCCUCCAGUCGAUGGACUCCGGCUACUCAUUGUUGUUGCCAGCGUGGUACCUGGCGUUGAGCUCUUCUCCCUCCACGGCUUGUCCUCACCUGAGAAACAACUUGGAGGUCAUCGUGGCAGAUCCAACCUCGCCCAGCACCUGCUCCCGCGAUGAGUACCUGCAGAAGCGGCAGUCGGGCCCUUGUUCGUGUACAGCGCCGUGAACCCUCUCUCUGUCUUUAGAUCGGGGUGCACAAACGCGACGGUCGAGGAUGCAAAGGAGGGCGCACAUCCAGCGCGUCGGGUCCUCGCAGCGAUCCUGUCGCCCUCAUCGGGGAAGCCGCGAUGGUUGAAGGUGGUGGGGCGGAGGACCGACAACGGUGGUGGAGUCGAUGGGCCACGGCGGUUGAGGACGCAGCGGAGGGGGCACAUCCAGCGCGGUGGGUCCUUGUAGCUGCACCGAGGCUGAGAAGGGCGCGACCGCAUCGAGGGGCAGUGGCUGGGUGAUGAUGCCGGGCUCGGACGCGGCAGCCUGCGAUAGUGGAGCUGAGGUCGUGGAGCUGACCGAGGGGCGGACGCGGCAGCCUACGAGAGUGGAGCUGAGGUCGUGCCGUCGUGGAGCUGACCGAGGGGCGGCUGAGGGGAACGGACGGUUGGGCGCUCCAUCGUGCUGACGGAGGAAGAACCUGCUGCUGUCGCGCGACUAUGGGCCGCCCAAACCUAGCUGGAGUAUGGGCCGCACCAAAAAAGCAGCCCAAAACGCUUGUACUGCUGUAUUGUUGUAUUGUCUUGCAAAAACUUAGUACCAUAUUGGCUAGUAAAGGAGACAUGGAGCGGCUUAUAAGCUUUGGCGCGGUGGCUGAACUGAUCAGUUUCAAAUGGUGGCUGAACUGGUGGUCAGUUUCAACUCGCGCAGGCAUAAUAAUUUUUGCUGGACACCUGCGUGUACGGCCUGUGGGGGCAGAACCAGAGCCACGGCAGAACAGGUCAAAGGCAGAACAAGUCAAUGGCAGACUACUAUUGCUUACUUAAUAAGUAGUAGAGAUUCUAGCAUUUAUCUUAAUUCACAUAUAGUGAGGAUCGAAAUGAGUACAAGAGUAUUCAAACAAAACCUUAGAGUCACGUACCCUCUAAACCUUCUCACACUACUCCAUUCAUCGCCUUCAAUUGGCAUGACAAAUCACAGGCCAUGAACACUACUCAUGCUUCGAUUUGUCCAACACACACUUACCAAAACUCAAAUCAUGUCCUUGACAGUCACUCGGGACUCAUAACAUGGGUACGUAUCGACUAUGUCAACUAUAUGUGUUCUCAUCAGAUUAUAGAUUGGCCUAGUACGUAGUGAUAUUUCCACUAGCACUGUGGUUAUGGCUGUACCUGAUAGUGAUAUCAGCACCGGGUCAUGGCUCUACUACCAGGUAGUGAGAGUGACCUUUAUACUGUCAGACUGUAACUAAGGAUUUCCAAUCACUGUUCGGAUCCUAGGCUUAGAAUUAAGUAAAACUCUAUCACUAUAGGCUGCAGCACACUCGGUAUAUAUUGAUGGGCCAACAGAAAUUGUGCGUACUAUGCGCGAUGUAAAAUGGACAUAAACCCUACCCAUAUACAAUGCAAUAACUUUUGUCCGGUCUGGGCCACCGGUUAGCAGAGGUCCUGAUUUCGGUGGUAGUGGUAGCUUGAUCUGGUCGUCGUAUCGUAGAGGGAUAUAUAAAAUCAUGUCACUUUUAAAGGGAGCGCUCACAGAAAUAAUAGGUAUUCGCGGGAGCCGCCCCCGCAGAACACAAAAUAAGGCGAGCACGCACACGCAUCAGUUUCGAUAAAAUAAUAAUAGCGCCAGCUGAUCGGAACAAUUCCAGCUAGCACUAAUGUAUUUCUGCAUUGAUCUGUUUAUACAACAUGCUACCUCGUUGAGUGAUUUUGACAUGAUUUGUCAACUUGCUCCGAUCCUAUAUCUCGAUCGAUCUCCACAUGACGAUGGUUGUUGUCCUGUAUCCCAUGACAACCAGGCAACGCUCAAAGCACACAUGCGUUGCCGAUUACCCGUGCAUGCCGCCAAGCACGAAAGCACCUCCCUCCACACCGUCCAUCAGCUAUAAAAACCAUGCCAAGCACCCUGUGAAAAGCAUCCCAAAGCACAAGAGCACGCACUGCAGCACCACUUCCUGCGCUGCUGCUCAUCACACACCGUAGUACUAACACUCCAGCGCCACAAUGGCUCCCAAGGUUGCGCUCUUCCUUGCCCUCAGCCUCCUCUUCGCUGCCGCCGCGCAUGGCUGCGAACCCUACGUUCCCGGCCCAGUCGUCCCAACGCCGCCCGUCGUGCCGUCGCACAGCCACGGGCGCUGCCCGAUCGACGCACUAAAGCUCAAGGUGUGCGCCAACGUGCUGGACCUCGUCAAGGUCGGUCUACCCCAGCACGAGCAAUGUUGCCCGCUGCUGGAGGGGCUGGUGGACCUCGACGCCGCACUGUGCCUCUGCACCGCCAUCAAGGCUAACGUCCUCGGCAUCCACCUCAACGUGCCCCUUAGCCUCAACCUCAUCCUCAACAAUUGCGGCAAGAUUUGUCCAAAGGACUUUACUUGCCCCAACUAAUUGAGCUGAAUAUGGAGAUAAAGCCAGCAUCCAAGGAAUGUACCCCUUAGUGUUCCAUCUCGCGAUUCCGAUUGUUACUUGAUCAUCAUCGCUGUUUAUCUAUUUUUAUAUUUAAUUAUCAAUAAAAAACAUUCACAUUUUUUGUUUUGAGAAAGAGGGCAAAAUAUGUGCACCAUUACUAUUUUAGAACAGUCAUGUUCUCUGUCUCCCUGACGAGUUUUCCGGGAGGUAUCAAUAAGAUAGAACGAGCGUUGAUCAAUUAAUCUUGUUGCUAGGGGUGGGCGUUCGGGUUACCCGAAAAUUUCGGGUCAGGUAAUUCGGGUUUUUAAAAUUUCGGGUUUUGAGAAUCGAUACCCGAAAUUACAAUGGGUUUUGCAAUACCCGAAAUUUCGGUAUUCCCGAACUACCCGAACUAUUGUGUCAGCUUCAUAAAAACAUACACCAUAUUAAAUUAGUAUAAAAAUAUAGUUUGAAUAAUGAUAUACAUGGACAUAUAAAACACAAGCAAUCUACAAUCACAAGUUAUGCACACAUACACAUAAUUAUAAAUGUACAAAUUAAUAAUUAAGCAUGACAUUAGUACAUGACACAUGAAAGUUCGGGUAAUUCGGGUAUUUCGGGUACCCGAUUGUGAUACCCGAACUAAAUUCGGGUUUUGCAAGUUGCUACCCGAAAUUCCCGAACAAAAUUCGGGUUUCGGGUUACGGGUUUUUUCCCAGCCCUACUUGUUGCCCUCCUAGUCAGUCAGAAUCUUCCUUCGCUGCAUAUCUAUGUGGCGUGCAGUCUACACAUGACAGGAGAGAUGCAUGUCGACCUCUUAAUAUAGCCGGAUUAAAAACGUCUAUGGACAUACCAAUAUAAUUAAAGAGUUAAUUAAAUAAACACUACAAAAUCAAGUGAAAUGUUAAGCUAUUACAGUGGUGGCAGGGAUCUCUCCUUCAGUUCAAAAGAUAUCGUUUGACAAAAAGAUUGAGAAAGUGUAGGUCAAGAUUCAGUUGGUAUAUAUGAUCUUUAUGUGUCCAUGAAAUUAAAUAUCCGUGUGAUUGGUGGUGCAAAAAUCCCAUGGACCUGUAUGUUUGGUUGCUUGAAUCUGUUCUUGGGUUAGGUUGUGUUAGUGCAAAAGGUUGGCCUCAGCCAGGCUCAUGGGAUACACCCGAAGACUACGUUCUUCAUGAGCCUUGUUGUGCUCAUCACCCGCUAGACCCUCCUCAUCCCCGAGGCUGCAUCAGCGCGCGAUAGGGUUUCUCAUUUGCAGCUGUCGCUGUUGAGGUCUCCCUCUCCCAUCUCCUCUCGCCCUCGUGCUCUUCCUCAAGCUCUCGCACCCUCCCCUCCCCUCGCUGUUGAGGCUUGCUCCUUCCAGGGAUCGUCAUGAGUAAGGAGGUUUGACACUCUCUUGCCCUCUCCCCCUAGACACGAGCUCUUUGUCUAGAUCUAAGAAUCUUGAGUACUAUCUAUUCUCAUGAGCUCUUUGUCUAGAUCUAAGAAUCUUGAGUACUAAUGGUAGUUGUGGUUUUGUAUAUCAUGGUUUCUGGUUUUUAUGUAGUAUUGUGCAAUGAUGUUCUCAUAUCUGACCCUCUCCCGGUGGAAGUACCUUUUGAUGUACUUAGGACCUUGGGUGUCUCCUAGAGGGAGGAUAGGCAUUAAUAAAAACUUUAACUCUAUUGAACUUUCUUACUUGACUUUAAAAGUCGAUUGCAGCAAAAUAAUGCCUUGUCCAAGGUCAACCUGCACUUCACAAACACUUAUAACAAAUAUAAAUGAGAAGUGCAAAUAAGAAAUAAAGCAAUGAGAAAGACACAUUGAUUUUUUCAGCGUGGUUCGACCAAGCCUCAAAUGCUUGCUUACAUCCACGUUAGGUUAGCCAACUAGCUUGGAGUCCAUUUCAACUCCUUCGUCCUUUUACUCAAGUUUAUCACGCUUGUGAUAAACCGAGACUUCCACUAUCACUUGUUGCAGUUAAAACAAUCCUAAGGCAAACCACAACUUGGUAGCUCUCCAUCGGAUGAUGAACUCAACCCGAACGCUUGCUCAAGAUCACCACUAGCUCUUAUAUGUAGCCCUCCACCACACAUGCCUCUCUCGAUGAUUAGAUCACACACUAAUCACUUGAUCUUGCAAAGGAACACACUAGAGAGGGCUAACCAUUUACUAGAAUAUGAGCUCUCUACGAAAAGAUCAUUUUUGUUAAUUGGAACAUGGAGAACGACCUGAGGAAACAGUGCUUCCAUAAGGGUGGAAUGAGACGGCCUUGGCUAAUUAAUUAUGAAAGCUAAUGUGUGAGAAUCCUUACUCGAAAGAAGCAAGUGGAGAGUACAUUGUUGCAACUAUAGGGAGGUUCUCGGGUCGAUUUGUCUGUGAUAGCUUUUUGGACGAGGAAUUCCUAUAGUUCCUUUUGCCUGAAACCGUAGCGGGUUUUCUCAUGCUAGUGGAACUUUGGAAAGGCCUCAUAGUGACACCCUGCCUCGCCUCAUCGGAAGAGGUGUAUGGGAUUCAUGACCCUGUGGUAGAUGGGUAUCACAGCUUGUGGGUAAAUAUGUGCAACAUCUGCAGAGUGUAAAAUUGGUAUAUCAGCCGUGCUCACGGUCAUGAGCAGCUCAGACACUCACAUGAGUAAAUUAUAGAAUUAAAUUUAACUUGUCAUUUCUGAUCUAUUAUUUAUUUGGGAUGAUAUUUACUUAUAUUUAGUAAUUGCUAAUAAAAUUUUGACCAACAAAGUUAAAAGAUAUGCUCAGCCUCAGCCAUUAGGUAUUUAAGUAUAAUAAAUGGUUUUAAAAAAAUCUGAGUGAGUUCAUGACCCACUUUGCUCCCCUGUGGCCCUGUUCGUCCCCCCUGGUCUUGAUGAAAGGCAAGUGUACACGAGUAUAUUAUUUGAGUGAAACUUACCUUAAUUUCUACUCCAAUACAUAUUAUUGACAAUUGUGAUGGAUUGGAUACGUACAAGUGCAUUCGACAAAGUUUUAGGGUUUAAAUAACAGAAAAACAACUUCAUUCUUCACAUGAAGACCCCAACUCUACAGGUACAACUAACUAGUUGACCACAAGCCUACACUCCUCUAAACUCUAUUAAACUGGGAUCCUCUAAACUCUAGCAAUGUGUUAUGAGCUAACAUGAAAUAUGUGAUCAGUAUUAAUGCACAUAUGAUUUGUUCAGAAUUCAUGUCAAACAAGAACUCAUAGGCAUGAAUUAGAGGACAAAUAAAUAGAUAAGAGAUGAUGUACCCAGUAGCGGGCCAAUGCCGAGGGCACCAGAGGCGCUGUUGUGCUCAUCAAUUGACAUGAUCAUACUGCAACUAUCUGAUGUAGUCAAUUAGCGGUGAUGCCGUGCAAUCCAUGAACAUCAUCGAGAAGUAGAUGAAGCAGUCACGACGAGUGCUCUCUAAACACCUAAUUGGUCACUUAUCUUGAUCAGGAUCAUCACCAAGAGCUAAUGGUUCUAGAGGCCUGCUUACUCUACUUUUUGGGCGCGCAGAAACAGAGAGGCGGGAACACCAUAAAGUAGUGCAAUAGAGGAAGAGUUUGAUGCCAUAAUUCGUCUGUUACUGUCUCUUGUAAGAAAUAAAACUUAUGCAUUGUAUUAUAUUGUAUCGUAUCGGCGUAGCGUGGUGGGCACGUGCCUGUCCAUUCCGUCUUCCCCAUAUUCAACUUCUCAAUAGACCACACUAUUUAAGUUAGUUAAACUUUCUUUCAGUUAGCAAUAUGAGACUAAUUUUUCCUAUAAUAUCUAGUAUUCCAUAUGAGCUUUGAAAGUAAUUAGCCCUAAUUUACUGCAAUAAAACGUUAUAUUACAACAGGUACACGCUCCAAGAGGCAAAACCGUAAAAAAUAUUUUCGUGCAUGCAUAUGACUGACCCAUUAUCUUCACGUUUUUUUUUGCCUUGAUGGAAGCUUUGUGAUGGUUCUAUCGGUUCACCACUCCUACUUUUGAGGCCUACAUCAGCAAACCUCACCCGCAGUUUUAAGAUAAAAACUCUAAAACCGUCAAACCUUUUAGAUAUUAUUUGGAUACUCUAGUAUUCAGCUCAAUCCAUAUGUAAUAAAGAUUAGAAUGAGUACAAGAGUAUCAAACAAAACCUUAGAGUCGUGUACUCUCUAGAGUCCAAACAUUCUCACACUCCAUUCACCGCGUUCUUGGUCUGCACAUGUACUCGUCGGCUUCAAUUGGCAUGACAAAUCACAGGCUAUGAGAUAAGUUGCACAACACUACUCAUGCUUCGAUUUGUCCAACACACACUUACCAAAAAUCAUGUCCUUGACGGUCACUCGGGACUCAUAACAUGGGUACGUAUCGACUAUGUCAACUAUAUAUGUGUUCUCAUCAGAUUAUAGAUUGGCCUAGUAGUGAUAUUUCCACUAGCACUGAGUUAUGGUUGUACCUGCACUAUCAGAAUUCGGCUCUUUGCCGAGUGCCGGAGGCUUUGCCGAGUGCUUUUUAUUGGGCACUCGGCAAAGCCGACUUUGCCGAGCGCCGCACUCGGCAAAGUCCUGCGCUCGGUAAAGAGUUUAUUUACCGAGUGCAGGACACUCGGCACAGCCAAGCACUCGGCAAAGACUGUUUUGCCGAGCGUCAAGCACUCGACAAAUAUGGCUCUCGGCAAAGGGCCGUUAGCGGCCGUCUACAGCUGACGGCCGUCAGUCUUUGCCGAGUGUCAAAUAUCUGGCACUCGGCAAAGAGAGUCUUUGCCGAGUGUCGUAUGUAGACACUCGGCAAAGCAUAUUUUUAUUUUUUUUAUUUUGGUCACCAAACUUUUUGUGGUAUGUUCCUACACUAUGUAGACCUACAUGUACCAUUUUGGGACAAUUAUAACAGUGUUUUCUAUAGCUAGUACAUUUAGUUUGUUUAUUUGAAUUUCUUCGAAAAAUUCAGAUUUGAACUGCAGGUCACUCGAAACUUGGAAAACCGUGCAUGCAAAAAUGAUAUUCAUGCUACUUAGCACAAGUUACGACCGAUUUCAGGAGCGGGCUGGAAACUUCGAGCACCAUGCUCACUCAACAUGACCGUGAACUUGCCAUCCAGGUGUUUAAAAAUUGUAUAAAAUAAAAACAAAGUCAGAAAAUCAUGAAACCUGUCCACGUGUCAUGAUAUCAUAUGUAGAGGCUGUGAUAAAAAUUUAAAAAAGUUUCGAGAAAGCUAUAACGCACUAUGUGUACAAACCUAAGAGAUCCACGUUGAAACUAUGAUUUCAUGUGUAGUUCUCUUAGGUUUCUACACAUAGUGUCUCACAACUUUGUCCAAACAUUCUCAAUUUUUUAUCACAGACUCUACAUAUGAUAUCAUGACACGUGGACAAGUUUUAUGAUUUUCUGACUUUGUUUGUGUUUUAUACAAUUUUUAAACAUGUGGAUGGCAAGUUCACGACCAUGUUUAGUGAGCAUGUUGCUCGAAGUUUCCGGUCCGCUCCUGGAAUCGGUCGUAACUUGUGCUAAAUAGGACGGGUAUCAUUUUUGCAUGCACGGUUUCCCAAGUUUCGAGUGACCUGCAGUUCAAAUGUGUUUUUUUCGAAGAAAUUCAAAUAAACGAACUAAAUCUACUAGCUAUAGAAAACACUUUUAUAAUUGUACUUGUAGGUCUACAUAGUGUAAGAACACACCACAAAAAGUUUGGUUGCCAAAAAUAAAAAAAAUAAAAUAUACUUUGCCGAGUGCUGUCCAGUUAGCAUUCGGCAAAGGAGGCUUUGCCGAGUGCCUGUCUGUUGGCACUCGGCAAAGUAUAAAGAACACAUCUUUGCCGAGUGCUCUACAACUAGCACUCGACAAAGGCAUCUUUGCCGAGUGCCCGAGAUCCGGCACUUGGCAAAGUUUAUUUUUAAAUUUUAAAAAAAUAUUUGCCGAGUGCCAGAUCGUGGGCACUCGGCAAAGAACGUUUUAAUAGCUGUUACGGCGCCCUCACUCACUAUCUCUCUCUCUCACUCUCACUCACUCACGCGCUCGCUCGCCGCCGUCGCGCCGCCACCCGCUCGCGCCGCCACCCGCCGUCGCGCCGCCACCCGCUCGCACCCGCGGCGAGCACCGCCGCGCCCACCGUCGUCAUCGCGCCACCGUCGUCGCGCGCCCGUGGCGACCACCGCCGCUGUCGUCGCGCCGCCAGCCUCCCGCGCCCGUGGCGACCACCGCCGCGCCCACCGCCGUCGCGCCACCGCCAUCGCCGACCCAACACCGUCCCGUCUUCUACCCCGGUCCCUCUCCGACGAAUUUAGUGAGUAUAAUAAGUUUAAUUAGUUUAGUAUGUAUUUAUUGAGUUUAUAGUAUAUGUGUUUAGUGGAUUUAGUGAUUUUCGUGAGUUUAAUUAGUUUAGUAUGUGUGUUUAGUGAGUUUAUACUAUAUGUUUUUAGUGAAUAUAGUGACUUUAGUGAGUUUAAUUAGUUUAGUAUGUGUGUUUAGAGAGUUUAUACUAUUUGUGUUAAUUUGGCAUAAUGUAAUGGUGGAUAUGGAUGUUGUUGAAAUAUGUGUGAUCGUGGAUAUGGAUGCCACUUAGAUGUGACUUGCAUUCAUCGUGUCGUUUGUAUAUGUGUGUGUCAGCCAUCGUGCUGUUAGAUCUAUUUGCAGGUUUUGGAAACCUCCCCGUACAAGGGAAGUGCUGCCGAUUUUUUUGACAUGCUUGUUUAUUUUUUACAGAGAAGAUACUUGUCUUCCUAGCCACUACGGGUCUGCCUGCACCGCGUCGCGUCGCCACGGUACAGGGGACAUCCUUGUUUAUUUUUUACAGAGAAGAUGCUUGUUUAUUGUUUAUUCUUCCGGCGAUGGUUCGAGGCUAUGUCCCUGAGCAUGUCUGGCUAGCGCUUGCAGAGUUGAGUUAUUUCUUCCGCCAGCUUUGUGCAAAAGAGUUAGCUCGGACCAUGAUUGCAGACUUGGAAAGGAUGGCACCCGUGUUACUGUGUAAGCUGGAGAAGAUCUUUCCACCCGGCUUCUUCAAUCUGAUGCAGCAUUUGAUUCUUCAUCUCCCAUAUGAGGCACGAAUGGCGGGGCCCGUGCAGGGACGUUGGUGCUAUCCAAUCGAGAGAUGUCUAAAGACUAUCCCAAAGAAAUGUAGAAAUAAAUGCAAAAUCGAGGCUUCCAUUGCAGAGGCAUACAUACUGGAGGAGGUGUCAAACUUCACAACAACUUACUAUGGUGACAAAAUGUCAAGCGUGCAUAAUCCACCCCCUCGUUACAAUGAUGGCGACAAUGAAUCGAACCUCGGCAUUUUUCGAGGGCAACUCGGAAGCGCGAGUGGUUCGACCACCAAGACCCUGAGACAUGAAGAGUGGCGCCAUAUCAUGCUAUAUGUAUUGACCAACCUUGAAGAGGUGACGCCAUACAUGGAGCAAUUUCUUCAUGAAUUCUGGCGUCGAUCAAGGGACCCAACUCCACAGGAAUAUGAUACCCUUCUUGGAAAGGGUGCAGGAAAUGGAUUGCCCGAUUUCAUUUCCUGGUUUAAACGUAAGGUACGUGCUUAGUUUGUCAUUUGAAGUUGCUCUUACGUGCGAAUAAUAUAACAAUCUAGCGUGUUUGAACUUGCAGGGCCAAAGAGAGCCGUCUAUGAGUGCCGAGUUGAGACAAGUAGCCAAUGGCUUUGCCUAUAGGGUUAGGAAAUUUUCUGGGUAUGACGUCAAUGGAUACCGUUUUCGCACAACAAGCUAUGACCAAAGUCGGCCCAAUCGAAAAACCACGUGUUCUGGAGUCUUUACGCCCGGGCUUGACGAGGUCGAGUAUUAUGGAAGAAUUGAAGAAAUAUAUGAACUCAAUUUUUAUGGUUCCAAACCUCUUACUCCAGUGAUAUUCAAAUGUCAUUGGUUUGACCCUGAAGUUACGAGAUGGACACAUUCUAAUCUUGGGCUAGUCGAAAUUCGACAGGAUUCCACCUUACUAGGAGACGAUGUCUAUAUUGUGGCCCAACAGGCCACACAAGUGUAUUAUCUUCCAUAUCCGUGCCAAACGAAACAACAUCUUAAGGGUUGGGAUGUUGUGUAUAAGGUACCACCGCACGGUAAAUUACAUGUUCCAAACGAUGAAGAUUAUAACUUAGACCCGGACACAUAUGACGGAGAGUUCUUCCAAGAAGAUGGGCUCGAAGGGCGAUUUGAGAUAGACUUAACCGAAGCGAUCGGAAUGGAAGUAGAUAUUGAAACGCCGGAUGAUGAAAUGGUUGUUGAUGAGGAGGAUGAGGUGCAAAAUGAGAAUGACUUAGAAAUGCUUGAAGGCAAUGCCAAUGACGAAAUUGCGCCUUCAGAUGGUGUUGACUAUGAAAUGGUUGAUAGUGAUGAUGACACUUAUGAUCCGGCUAACCCGGACACAUAUGAAGAUUAUUUUUAAUCGAUGUAAUGCUAUAUUUCAUUUAUUUUGCAUAUGUUUCUAAAUACAUAUUUUUUAUCUGUGCUUAAUUGCUUACUCUUAAUUGUAGGUUGUUGGACAAAGAUGGUGGGCGGUGGGACGAGGACGAGGAGGGGGAGGGGGAGGGGGAGGGGGGAGGAGGAGCACCCGUAGGACGGAGGAGGAGGCGCAGCAGGACGUCGCCGUACACUCGCAGGUGGAGCAGCAAGCCGUUGUCGAUGCGGCGCAGCAGGACGACGACGCCGCUCAGCAGGACGUCUUAGGUUCUGGCUCCUCAGGUUCGAGGAGCAUCUACCUGCGAGGUCCCGCGAGUCUCCCUCAGCGACCCAUACUUCGUGACAGACGUCCGCUGAUACGACCCGAUGGAGAGAGGUAGGUAACUUUAGAUGUUGUUGCUGCUUUUUCAUAUUAUAUGUUCAAAUUAAUAAUAGAAACUAAUACUUUAUCUUAAUCACUUGGACAGGUCUUGGAUGGUUUUGGAGACUGCAGGGGGUCACGGCCGCAACCCCAAUGGCAUCCUCGGCCUUCUAUGCAGGGAACACUUCCCUGGACUUGUCGAGUACGCCGGAGUGACGAGCCCAGCAUACACCUUCGACCACUACGCCGUCGCCCCCGAUGCAGUAGAUCGGGACGACAGACAAUUCAACAACAAGGCGGAGCGGGUGAAGCAAGAGCUGUGGGUAAGUCUUCCUCGCACUAUAUUGUUUAAUAAGUCGCAUUUGUUGCAUAUUCUUGAAAUAAUGUAUGGAUACAUCGUCUUUGUAUGUAGGAUUUCUUCAAAUGCGAGGCUGGAUACGAGGCCAGGGCGGAUGUGGUGGCUACCACGAGCUGUAAGAAGCUCGUCGUGGACAUGCACUACGAGGCGCGCAUCCAGGCCAUCGUCACUUACCACGGCUCCGUCCUUGGGGAGAAGGUGAGCAAGAAGGACGCCCGAACCAUGUCGUUGACUCCGGACCAGUACUUGCAGGUAAAUACAAAACUUUAUUAUUUGUACUAAAUAUGCUUAAUUUUAUCUUCUGAUAUGCCGUGUACUUGUAUUUUUUUAGAUGAUUCCUCAUUGGUACGCCGCGCAUCCUGAGUGCUGGGAGCAGAUGGUGCAGAGGUGGUGCUCGGCUGAGUGGGACGAGGCGCACAACGCUAGCCGGGAACGGCGUUUGAUGAUGCAAGGUCCCUCCCACCAUCAAGGCAGCCGCAGCCUGGGCAAAUACGCGGAAGCAUGGGUACGCGCUCUUUUUUAUUUAGGUAUAUAACUUUCGAUUAGACAUGAUUUCUAACCAUCUCGUUGGUUUUUUCGCAGUCAGCGGCACAUGGUGGCGCGCCUUGCUCCACGUUCUCGGCAUAUGCUAUGGCCCACAAGGGGAAGGCGACGUCCGACGUCACCUACAACCCGGAUGACGGGCCCGAGGCGUACACCAACCCCGCCGUCCACAGCCGCCUCAGUGAGUACACCGCCAUGGCCAAGGAGGUCCAUGGGCCAGAUUACGAUCCGAGGACCGAGGACAUCGACGGAGAUGUCCUCAUGAGGGUCGGAGGAGGCAAGAGGCAUGGGCGGUACUGGAUUGCCGACGGGGCAAUCGACUCGUCCUCCACUCCCACUCUCUCUCAAGUGCGAGCAAGGAGCACGAGCGCGAGCCCAGCCAUACGACCUCGGCAGGACAGCUCACAACAUCGUAUCCAGCAACUCCAGGUUAUUCCUUAUCUAUUCAUCGUUCAUUGAUUAUUAUAUAUCUUCUCUUUGCAUUAUCGUAACAUUAGGGCGAAAUAUUACAGACUCAGCUAGAUGAUGAGAGGAGGCAACAUGAGGAGUUGGAGAAGAGGAUGGCGGAGAUGUUCGCGUACAUGCAGAGCCUUGGCGCCGCACAGGGUCAUGCUCCACCACCUCCGUUGUUCCCUGCAGCUGACCCUGCUGAGUUCACUACUCCUGUGAGUAUCAAAAUUUUAGUACUGCGUGAUAUAUAUUCAUAUGUUCUCGCACAUGCAAUCUCUUCUCUGUGCAGGGUCAAUCGGCGGCGUCGAACAACCCUCACGCUUCGUCCAGCCCUUCGCCGAACCAGUCCAGAUGCCCACCUCGUUGAUGAUCUGUUUUGUGAUGAUCCAGACUUAUAUUUGUGAGUGUUGGUGAUGUUAGUUAGACUUGGUCUUGUGAGAUACUUAGUGAGACUUAUGUGCUGUGAAACAUGAUUUAUGUGGUGAUAUUUGUGAUAUAUAUGGUGUUGAUGAUAAAUGUGUUGAUUCUGUGAUGCGAUUGAUAUAUAAUGUGAUGUGAAUGAUAUAUAUCUUUUGUUUGUUUGGAUGGAAUAGCAAAAACAAAUAAAAAAGGGACUUCCUGGUCACUUUGCCGAGUGUAACACUCGGCAAAGGGUAGCUUUGCCGAGUUCUAUGACCAUGGCACUCGGCAAAGAAGGUAACCUGGGAACCGGUAAAGCCAUUUUUGCCGAGUGCUGACCAUGGCACUCGGCAAAGAAGGAAACCUGGGAACCGGUAAAGCCAUCUUUGCCGAGUGCUGUGGUCAAGACACUCGGCAAAGGAACUGACAAAGGGGCCCACUGGAGGGCUCUUUGCCGAGUGCCAGUCCACCAGACACUCGGCAAAGAAGCCUCCUUUGCCGAGUGCCUACGAAAGCUCUCGGCACAGGGACUGGCGGUGGGGCCCACUGGAGCCGUCUUUGCCGACGGCCGUGAUAGCAGACACUCGGCAAAAUUGGCCUCUUUGCCGAGUGCCAAAGAAGACACUCGGCAAAGGAUCCGUCACCGUCACUUGGCGCCGUGACGGUGACUUUUCUUUGCCGAGUGUCAAAUGGCACUCGGCAAAUUCUUUGCCGAGUGCCCGACAAAAAGUACUCGGCAAAGAGGAUGUUGCCGAUGUACAGUUCGCCGAGCGUUCUUUGCCGAGUGUAAAAAGCCUUUGCCGAGUGUAAAAUAGCCUUUGCCGAGUGUCUGUGACACUCGGUAAAGGAGCUGUGUCCGGUAGUGCUGAUAGUGAUAUCAGCACCGGGUCAUGGCUCUACUACCAGGUAGUGAGAGCGAGCUUUACUGUCAGACUGUAACUAAGGAUUUCCAAUCACUAUUCGGAUCCUAGGCUUAGAAGAAAAACUCGAUCACUAUCGGGCUGAUUGGAUGGGCGGACCAGCAGCGCCUGGCUCUAGUGAGGAUGGCCCGCCAGAAACUGAAGGCCGGAGCUUAUGCGCCCAUGCAGAAGAGGAAUAUAUUUUUUACCUAUGCUGCAUCUACGGGUACAGCUUUAGCCUAGCUCUAUGCAGUUAACACUAGUACACAGAAGCUCUAUAGUGGCGGUUCUAAACAUAUUUACACUGGCGUUUUUCAGUACCGCCAGUGCUAGAGGUCAGUGGAAAUCAGCAUUUCCACUGGCGGUUAUUUUGGAACCGCCAGUGAAAAGUGCAUUUUCACUGGCGGUUUUCUUAACGAACCGCCAGUGAAAAGUGCAUUUCCACUGGCGGCUGAAUAAAGAAAACCGCCAGUGGAAAUGCAUUUACACUGGCGGUUUUAUAAAGCAACCCGCCAGUGGAAAUGCACUUUUCACUGGCGGUUUUCUUUAUAAAACCGCCAGUGGAAGUUUUCCCGCCUUUUUUCAAAAUUUCAAACAAUACUGAAUUAUAUAUAUAUUUAUUUACACACACACAAACAUAUAUAUAUAUAUAUCUAUAUUGAUAUUGAAAGCAACAUGAAAUUAAAUUCUAUCAUACAUUUAUAUACAUCAAAGUAUUCUGUUUACAACCAUAUAUGCUUCAUGCAUUCUAUACAUCAUAAGUUUUCACUUAAGCUCUAAUAACUAUCUCGGCUAAGAGAUAAUCUACUAAUUUCUGUUAGUAUUCUGAACUCUGGCAAAGCUAAUGUCCCGGAAGCAUCGUGAUAUUUUCCUUCUGCGGGAAUGACCUCUUUCAAUAUGAAUGUGCAGAGGUCCUCGACUAUGCCAUACAAUGCAGCUUCGGUCAAGUUCUCCGGGUUUCCUCGUUGAAAUUGCUGUAAAGGAAUUUUAUAAACAUCAUCUAUUUAUACUCAAUAAUAACACAUUUGCAUCUUUAAUGACAUAAAUACAUACUUAACUAUUACUAAUAAUACCUUGUCAGGGUUCGUGAUGUAUCGUCCGUUCACUCUCAUGAACUCGCACGCAUAGAAUCCACAUAGGACCGAUCCUUGUGGUUGCUUGUGGCACUACAUAACGGGAGAUUGGUUAUUUAGUUGCAACAUUGUGUAUGAUAUGUAUUCAUAAAAUCACAUACUUACCGGCCACUGAUGAUGGAUGUCUAGUGGCACGAGUUUUUUCGACAGGUCGUACUUUCCACCUCUCAUCUUAUAGAAUCUAUAAGCACUGUGAUCUCAAAUAGAAUCACCAUGUUAUUCUCAAAUUUUAAUCGAUAAAAGUAUGCAUGCAUAGAAAAGGCUUACAGCUCUAAGAUGCUGAGGAAUGUUGCAUAUGUCGAAGGGUCGAAGUUCAAGGAGUCGAGCACCAGCACCUUUCCAACCUUAGGAUAAAUGAGGAAGCAUAUCCAGUGGUCCCUGUACGAAUCAAAUUUGUGAUGCAUGUGUAUUGAAAUUAUUAAUUUUAUUUAUGCAAAAUCACACUUACUUAAAGUUGUACGGGGCCAUUAUGGCUUCCCUGUCUUGAAAUUGAAGCAUUGCAUGUCCUAUGUAUGUGGCGUAUCGAGCUUCAAAAUCCUUCUUCAUUUCCUUUAUACGCUUCUCAACUUCUUCGUCCGUCUUUCCCCUUAUUUCAUCGUUGUCUUUCCCGAUUCUAAAAGUGUGGCUUUCCUCGGAUAUAAGUAUUGGGUUGAGAUACCCAACCCUUUUACUGGCACUAGCAUUGGGCUUGGUACCGUAAAGAAUCUCCUGCUGAUCAUGUUGCAUUCUGCAAGUCACACGUGCAUGUCAGAUAUUGAAAUUUUAUACAGCUCACUAAUAAUAACACACAUAUGUGGAAGUAUGAGCGACACUUACAAUGCAAACAUCGUUACAAGUUGCACGUCGAGUCUCUGAAGGUUCAUCAUUAACCACAUGUCCUCGAAUGUAACAACGGCCUUUUGGUUCGAACCAAUAAAAGCAUGGUCUGGUAUAUGCACACUGAUGGUGUCGAUGCCAACCGAUGAUGCCCGCAUGUACCAGUCAUGCAACCUUUUAACACCAGCCGGGACCUUUCUUAGUUUGUCAAGAGGUAGCAGAGGUCUGCCCGGCACGUAUUUUUUAGGCAAGUUUUUGUAAUCUGCCUUAGUUGGCUUCUUUAUCUUUGCGGCCGUUGCCUCAGCCUUUUUUGCAGACUCCUCGUGCUCGGCCAAAUCAACAGUUUGUGACGUGAGGCUCCGUCCAAUCCCUUUCAAAAACCUAACUGUGCCAGCAGUAGUAGCUUUACUCUUCUUUUUCUGAUACGGGGACACCAAUUUUGGUAUAGGAAGUUUAGAUUUCUUUGAUGGCCGUGGAUCGUUUGAUGGCUGUGGAGAAGGUGGAUCCCUUGAUGGUGGCGUAGACAGUGGGUCACCAAGAGGAUGGGGAGGAGAAGGUGGUGGAGCCCUGAAUGGUGAUGCUUGUGGCGGAGACGGUGGGUCAGAAAAAGGAUGAGGAGCAGCAUGUGAAGUUUGAGGAGGUGAGGAUGGAUGUACAAUAGGAACAGCAAUUUGAGAAGGCGGAGACGGUUGGGCCUGCGACGCCUGCGACGAAUUCGACCAAUCAAGCAAUUCGACAUCCCUUCGAGGCCAAAGGAUAAAAUUCUUGAUAGCUUGUCCAAGUUUCUCGAUACCUUCGGGCCCAGGGAUGUCUAACAUGUCGUCCUCGCAUCCUUGGAUGACCGUCGUCACUUCUACUUUGCAAUAAUCAUCUGGAAUAUCGUUUCCAUGGAACUUGCGUCCUGGGAUCGCAAGGCCUGUGGCUACUAUCUUUGUACGUUUAUUGUUAAUACCAUAUCUUAUAACCAGUGUGCACGCCACAGGCCUUGUGAUGUCAUCAACUGGAUAACGGUCCUUAUUUCCCGUUGAAGCAACAGAGCUUGGUAAUGUCGUACAAUCUGUGGAAGCCGACGGUUGAGCUGCUGGAAUUAUUUGUAUCUGUGGAGUGGUCAUCUGUUGAACAGACAUCGCACUCGCCAACUGUUGCAUCAAUUCUGGAGGAGGAUUCGAUAGCAUUUGAGACAUCAUGGCUUUGAACUCUUUCUUGGCCUCCUCCUUAAAAUAAUCUGCGAUCUCUUCCUUGUAUCGAUCACGUUUCUUGUAUAGACCUUCCCACUGUGGUCCGAAUCCUUCCUUCCAUCCUUCCUUAGACGAGAUUCCUCGUACACGACCAGGAUGCUCAGGGUUACCGAGACCAGCCGUUAGGAUGUCUCUUUCCCUUUGUGGCUUAAAAGUUCCUUCGCUCUUCUUAGCUGCCAUUGUAUAUAUGUUUUUUGCCGCUUCUUCGACAAUGGGAUCAUCAAAAGAUACACCGGUCUCGGUUUCCCUUGGUUUUCUAGCACGGAGCCAAUUUGCCGCCCUUUCACCAAGUUGCUCGGACAGCGUCGGCAACCCUGCAGCCUUCUUCUCGGCGUCUUCUUGUGUCCAUUUAGGAACCUGACGCUUGUAACCACCUGUGCCUAGGUGGUGGCGGUACUUGUUCUUCUUUGAUAGUUCUGAAUUUGCCUCACUUAGAGAUAUGAAAUCAGGGCUGCUCCUCUGCUCUAGAAAUACUGCCCACUGACCUGCUGAGAUUUUAUAUUUUUUGGUCGGGUCCAGACCUUUCUUCGCAAACUUUGUGUUCAUCUCAGACCUCCAGUUUCGGAAAUUUAUUGCAAGCUGCUUCAUCGUGUAUUCCUUCACGAGUUCUUCUGAACCCCGAGGCAGAACGAACCUCAUUAAUAGCUUAUUCCAUAUUUGAUUCUUGACAUCAUCUGACACAUCUCUCCACUGUCGUAUUGUUAUGUCAAGAUUAUCUCUAACUAAAAACCCAAGUGCAUUCCGAAACUUAGGUAGUGCCUCUUCUGGAGCUAGGGGCUGACCUUUCGGGCUCACGUCUGAGAUUUUGUAUGUUUUGUCGGGAAAUUUGUUCAGCCCCCUGUCACCUCUUUUUCGAUCGCUCUGCUUCCUUUUCCUUGAUGUCUCGGUUGUUGUCUUGGUCCGUUCCGGUGCGUCUUGGGUCGGCUCUGGUACGUCUUCGUAUCGUGCCACGACUUCUUCGAGUAUCGCACGAAAUUCAGACACGACCUCCUAUUCAUGUAAUAAAAUGCACAAGAGAUCAUGCAUGUGAAAUCAGUAGGGUACACAUACGAAGCUAAAGAUGCGUACUUUUACCUCAGCUUCUCGUGGAUCAUAAGUAGGGUCACGUUGCAACUCACGGAGAGCGGCCCUAUCUAUGCUAGUGGUAGGAAAAGGGUCGCUAGGCGUUUCAUAUCCUUCACUGCUAGAUUGUUCUUGAGCAACACUCUUGUCCAUGUGCUCGGGCACUAAUCCUUGGUCCUUGAUCGGAGAACUCAUUGAGCUAUAUAUAUACAAAUACAUAAGCAAUAAUUAAAUACAUAUUAACACAUAUUAACGUAAGCAAUAAUUAAAUUCAUCUUAACAAAUAGUAUAAUUAAAUACAUCCUCGCGGGCACUAAACCCUUAACCCUAACCCUAACCCAAAACCCUAACCCUAACCCUAACCCUAACCCUAACCCAAAACCCGAACCCUUAACCCUAACCCUAACCCUAACCCUAACUCUAACCCUGACCCACAACCCUAACCCUAACCCUAACCCUAACCCUAACCCUAACCCAAAACCCGAACCCUUAACCCAAAACCCGAACCCUUAACCCUAACCCUAACCCUAACCCUAACCCUAACUCUAACCCUGACCCAAAACCCUAACCCUAACCCUAACCCUAACCCUAACCCUAACCCUAAACCCUUAACCCUAACCCUAACCCAAAACCCGAACCCUUAACCCUAACCCUAACCCUAACCCUAACACCCUGACCCAAAACCCUAACCCUAACCCUAACCCUAAACCCUAACCCUAACCCAAAACCCGAACCCUUAACCCAAAACCCGAACCCUUAACCCUAACCCUAACCCUAACCCUAACCCUUAACCCUAACCCUAACUAUAACCCUUAACCCUAACCUUAACCCUAACCAUAACCCUAAACCCUAACCAUAUAGUAUCGUAUAGUCGUAUAGUAUCGUGUAGGACGGGGAGAGAGUCGCAUAGGACGUAUAGAGAGAGGGAGAGUCGUAUAGGACGAGGAGAGGGAGAGAGGGAGAGUCGCAUAGGACGUAUAGAGAGGGAGAGAGGGAGAGUCGUACGGAAAUUAUCGAGUUCAGAUCGAAUUCGGAUCGGAUCGGAUACGUAUAUUAUCGAGUUGUGACGGAUAAAAUUACAAUGUAUAUAUUCAACAUACAUUUGAACACAUAUGAAUUCAACAUACAUUUGAACACAUAAAAUUACAAUGUAUAAAAUUCCUCUCUCUAUCUCACCCUCCUCUCCCUCUCUCACCCUCCUCUCUCUCCCUCUAUCUCUCUCACCAUACAUUUCAACAUACAUUUCAACACAUAUGAAUUCAACAUACAUUUGAACACAUAAAAUUACAAUGCAUAAAAUUCCUCUCUCUCUCUCACCCUCCUCUCCCUCCCUCUAUCUCUCUCCCUCUCUCUUCCUCUCUCUUCCUCCCUCUCGGCGGCGGGCGGCGCGUGCGCCCUCCUCUCUCCUCCCUCUCCCUCUCCCUCCUCUCUCUUCCCUCUCCCUCUCCUUCAUCUCUCUUCCUCCCUCUCGGCGGCGGCGCGUGCCCUAGGUUUUACUAAAACGCGGCGGCGGCGGCGGCGGGCCCGGCGCGGUAGUAGACGGCGGCGGUACAGAUUAGGGGAAAGAGAAAAAACCUGGAGACGGCGGUGCGGGGGCGGGAAUGGCGGCGUGGGGACGGGCGCGGGGACGAUCGCCGGCGAAAACCCUCGGGGUCGAAAUCCAGCAGCCUGACGGCGUCGUCUUCAAGUGAAAGGGCGCCAGGGACUUGUAAAAUUUUCGGCUCCCGCGCGCCACCUUUAUAUAGGCGCCAUUUCUACUGGCGGUUGAUAACGAGAACCGCCAGUAGAAAUGGUUUCCACAGACUGUAGAAGCCAUUUCUACUGGCGGUUGACAACGAGAACCGCCAGUAGAAACCAUUUCUACUGGCGGUUGUCAUAGAGAACCGCCAGUAGAAAUGGCUUCCACAGACUGUAGAAGCCAUUUCUACUGGCGGUUCUAUAUGACAACCGCCAGUAGAAAUUGUUUUUUGUUAUUAUUUAACAUAGUUUUUUAUAUAUUGUUUAGUAUACUUUUUAUAUAUUUAAUUAGUAUAGUUUUUAUAUAUUAAGUAUACUCUCUCCUCUAUCUCUCCUCUAUCUCUCCUCUCUCUCCUCUAUCUCUCUCUCUCCUCUAUCUCUCCUCUAUCUCUCCUCUCUCUCCUCUAUCUCUUCCCUCUCUCUCUCUCCUCUAUCUCUCCUCUCUCUCUCUCUCCUCUUUAUCACAAAAUGCUGUGGGCACCUCUAGAGUUCAAUGAGAAGUAGAGUAUAUAAUACCUGUGGAGAUGAUCGAUAAAGCCUGAUACGACAUUCAGACAUGUCGCCGAUCAGAUAGCCUGCCUGGUGAGACGACAACAAAAUGCUGACGGAGGUCCAGUGCUCCAGUGCUGCUGCAGUACACGUGCUCCAGUGCUGCAGUGUCUGGUGACUCGAUUGAUCAAAGAAGACUUCGACUUCUGCGCUCCAGUGCUGCUGCAGCAGUACACUUUCCCCCGCCGGAGUAGUCGAGGCUCAACUCAAGAGAACUAGAGAAGGCUCCAAUCCUAGGGCUAGGAAGCAGAAACCGCCGAAGGUGCCGGUGGGUUCACGUGGACCCCGAUCCUCGAGCACCUCGAUCCGAGGUCGAGACGUCUCAGUGAGACGUCGGAAACGGCUGACGGGCAGGCCUGCGCGGCCUCCUCGGCUCCUCCACUCAGUGAGAGCAUUCAAUUGCAGUGUUUAAAUCCUAUGUAGUCUCCUUGCUUCGCGUAUCUCCGUCAGCCUGGUGACUCGAUUGAUCAAAGAAGACUUCGACUUCUGCGCUCCAGUGCUGCUGCAGCAGUACACUUUCCCCCGCCGGAGUAGUCGAGGCUCAACUCAAGAGAACUAGAGAAGGCUCCAAUCCUAGGGCUAGGAAGCAGUAACCGCCGAAGGUGCCGGUGGGUUCACGUGGACCCCGAUCCUCGAGCACCUCGAUCCGAGGUCGAGACGUCUCAGUGAGACGUCGGAAACGGCUGAUGGGCAGGCCUGCGCGGCCUCCUCGGCUCCUCCACUCAGUGAGAGCAUUCAAUUGCAGUGUUUAAAUCCUAUGUAGUCUCCUUGCUUCGCGUAUCUUCGUCUUCACUCCCACUGUAUGAAUUAAAUCCUAUGUUGUCUCUUGGCUUUGCGUCUCUCGUCACCGUUGGAGAUGGUUGUUUCUUACUGCCUGAUAUAUAUUAGUCGAAUAAUCUUCUCUGCUUUUAUUUACCUUUCUAGGUGAUAAACCAUGACUGGGAAAAAGACCACGGCUUCCUCUGCCGGCCGCACUCUAAAGAAGGCUGCACUCUAAAGAGACGGGGUUGGAAGAUGAGGAAGAGGCGACUGUGACACUAUCCGUGGAGAAGGACGCGCUGGAGUGCGACAUCUGCUGCCUACCCUUCCAGUCCGAAGUUUUCAUGGCAAGUCAGAUUACCAUGCAUGUAUAUAUACAGUACAUAUUGAUCGGUAGGCUCCAGCAUGAUGUUCUGCUCUAUGUAAAAUCAGUGCAAGAACGGGCAUUCUGGAUGUGCAAAGUCCUAACAAUAAUCAAUUACAUGACAAGUCCUAACAAUAAUCAAUUACAUGACAAGUAUAUAAUCUAGGAAGCUAUUGUUCUGCCUUGUCCAUCGUGGCGUACCCAGGGCAACGAAUUGCGUGGGAUGCUUCGCUCAACGUUCCUUAUCUUGGUUGGAUGGUCUAUGAAAAGAGACAUGUCGUUGAACUGGUUAAAAUCCUCUAAAUCAGAUACACCAUCAACUCCUAUAGCUUGUUGUUUUCCAGGAAAAACUACAUGCUUCGGUUUGUCGGUGCUUUUCUUCUCAUUGUUAGAAAUGAUCUGUUCAGCAUAGAAGACCUGUGCAGCACGAUUAGCAAGGAUCCAUGGGUCAUCUUUGUAACCUACCUUACUUAGAUCAAGAACUCUGACCCCAUAGUUGUCUACCGUGACAUGUUUGUCUUCAACCCAUUGACAUCGGAAAACCGAGAUCUGAAAUGUACCAUAGUCUAGUUCCCAUAUGUCCUCAAUAAAGCCAAAAUAUGUUAUAAUCUCACCAGUUUCAUCAUCUAUGGCCUCGCAUCGAACACCACUGUUUUGUGACAUGCUCUUUUUGUCCUUGGACUUGGUACAAAAUGUGAAUCCACUAAUGUCAUAGGUUUGCCAUGUUGUGACCUGGCGUGAUGGUCCAGAUGCCAAGCCCUUGAUGGUUUGUUCUUCUAUUGUUUCUCCACGUGGAAUGUCCUUCACCAUUAGCCAUGUGUUGAAUCGCUGCUUAUGUUGCUUCAUUAACCAAUCAUCCGUAUGCCCAGGAUUUUGCUCGCGAAGCUCAUUGAUGUGUUGUUGGAUAAAUGGCUCCAUUAUCGUUAGCUGAUGUAGGAUGCUCUGAUGUGCCUCAAGUACUAUAUCGUAAUCCGGUGGGAUGAAAGAUUUCCGUCCCAUCCUCCCGCUUCCAUACAGUCUACCCUCGUGUCGUGACGGAGGCAGACCUAUUGCAACCUGGUCUUUUAGGAUACUAUUGCAGAAUGGACCUCCGGACUCAAUGGCCUCUUCGGUACAGUACCCCUCUAUCAUGGAUGCCUCAGGACGAGCACGGGUUGAUACAUAGCCAUUCAGUAUUGACAUGAAACGCUCAUACGUCCACAUUUCAUGCAAGUACAUAGGACCCAAUGCCUCUAUUUGUGGCACCAAGUGCACCACAAGGUGCACCAUAAUAUCAAAGAACGAUGGAGGGAAACACAUCUCAAACUGUGAUAUUGUCUCCACUGCGAAUUCCUGAAGAGAUGCCAACUCAUCACGGCCAAUUACCUUUUGUGAAAUCCUGUUGAAAAAGUAGCACAACCGUGUGAUUGCCAUCUUUAAAAACAAAGGAUUUAUAACCCUGAUGGCAAUAGGUAGGAAUGUAGUCAGCAUGACAUGGCAAUCAUGUGAGUUGUAGUUGGUGAUUGUCAGGUCUUUCAUUGACACAAUACUCCGUAUGCUAGAGCAGAAUCCGGAUGGGACUUUCAAAUUCUUAAGCCAAACACACAUCGCAUGUUUCUCAUCUACAUUGAGAUUGUAGCUUGCUGCUGGGAGAUGGUACUUCCCAUUUUCUUGAAGAACGGGAUGUAGUUCCUUUUUUAUGCCUAAAUCUACCAAGUCCAUGCGUGAAUUGAGCCCUUCUUUUGUUUUGCCCUUUAUGUCUAGCAAGGUGCCCAUUAUGCUUUCAAACACGUUCUUCUGAACGUGCAUACCAUCGAUCACGUGCCGCACAUCUAACUCUUUCCAGUAAGGCAAGUACUCGAAGAAAAUAGACUUCUUCUUGAAUAUAGCCCCCGAAGCUGGUUUGACAUCCUUCCUUGUUUUUCCGUCUUUUGUCUUCUUCCCGAAAACAAACUUGAUAUUCCUGACUAUUUCAAAAACUCUAUGACCUCUAUUGUUACCCGAUGGAGCAGUAGAAUGUAGUUCACCAUUAUUGUCGAAGUACUUAUCCAUCUUUCGCAUGCGGUACCUGUGUCCUUCCAAUAAAAAGCGUCUGUGCCUCAUGUAAACUAUCUUCCUAGAUGCAGCAAGGGAUACGUAAGCAGUUCCAUCAAUGCAUACUGUGCAACCAACCUUUCCCUUAAACUGGCCUGAUAAUGUGAAGAGAGCAGGGUAAUCGUUGAUCGUAACAAAAAGAAUUGCUCUCAGCGUGAAUGAACCUUUACGAUACUCAUCCAACAUUUGAACACCUGUUUCCCACAAUAUUUUCAUAUCCUCCAUUAAGGGCUCCAAAAAUACAUCCAUGUCAACUCCAGGUUGUGUAGGUCCAGAAAUAAGGAUGGUUAGCAAAAUGUACUUCCGUUUCUGCAUCAACCAUGGAGGAAGGUUGUAUAUGGUGAGGAUCACCGGCCAUGUGCUAUGCUUGCUGCUCCUCUCAGCAAAUGGGUUCAUUCCAUCAGUACUCAGUGCGAACCUAACAUUUCUCGGUUCAUCGGCAAAGUCUCGGUGGUUGUCAUUGAAAUCUUGCCACUGCUUCCCAUCGGCUGGAUGUCGAAGCUUCCCAUCGUUUUUGUGCUCAUCAGAAGCAUGCCAGCUCAUAAGUCUGGCAUCCUCAGGAUUAGCGAACAAACACCUCAAUCGAUCGACGACGGGGAGGUACCACAUCACCAAAGCAGGAAUCUUUUUGAGCGCAUAAUAGUCUACUUCUUUUUCUUUGCUCGUGGAUUUUGAAGUAUUUUUUUGGGCUUUCUUUCGCUUCUUCCCUUUAGACACGGAUGCAACACACUCUUCGUCCUCUCGAUAGUCUUUAUUCGUCUUGUACCUACUUGCACCGCACUUUGGGCAGCUCUCCAAGUCUUUAUAAUCAUCACCUCGAUAAAGGAUACAGUGAUUUCUACACGCGUGGAUCUUCUCCACACCCAUAGUGAGCGGACUGAUUAGUUUCUUUGCAUAGUACGUGUUAGCAGGCACAUUGUUCUCCUUUGGAAGCAUGUCUGCGAUAAUACUCAAGAACGCAUCGAAGCCAGCAUCAGACACACCAUAUUUAGCUUUUAACAUCAACAGCUUUAGCACAGACCGGAGCGUCGUGAACUCUUUGGUACAACCCUUAGACUCGUCGUACAAAGGCUCUUCUGCUGCCUUCUUCAGGGACUCCAUACCUUUCAUUAAGAACAUCGAUUGAUCUGUAUGACGACGCAACAUUGCCUCUAGCAACUCUGCAUCUUCCUCAUCCAUAACACUUGGCAGAACAUAAGGUCUAUCAUGUUCAUUUCCUCGAGCGUAACCAUGAUCAGUAACAUUUUGCACUACAUGUUCGCUCUGUGGAAGAGGUUGGUGUGUCUCGUGAACGAACUGAAAUCUGUCGUCGAUGUUCUCAGGGUUUCCAGUCGUAUAAGGCGAAGAGCUACCCUCUCCAUGCUUUGUCCAAAUUGUGUAAUCCUUCAUAAAUCCUCGGCAUACCAGAUGAGAUAUGAUUUGUUCUGUGUCAUUAAAUACAGCAGCAUUUUUGCAGUCCAUGCAUGGACAAUAUAUGUGUUUUGUCUUUGUUCUCCAAGCAUGGUUCGUAGCGACAUCAAUAAACUUAUGGACCUCGGAUAUGUAUGAUGGAUCUAGCCUUGAUAAGUUAUACAUCCAGGAUGUCCUCUCCAUCACCACCUGUUGGGAAGGAUGAAGGGGUGAAACCCUAUAUCCAAAAUGUGGCUAAAUUUAAGGAAAAUGAACAAAAAUUGGCAAGAGGAACAUAAAACUAAACUUUCCUAGCCAUACUCUUCUCUUUAACACAUGGUGAAGGCCUAGUUCCAAAAUUGAGCAAAGAUAAACAAUAAUUGGCAAUUAAAACAUAAUUAAACCAACUUUCAUAGCAACUAAUAAAAACAAUCUUAAUUAUCAAACCUAUCUUCUUCUCUCUCCACACAACACAUGAACCAUUCAUUAAACAACUUAAUAUGUCAUGAAUAAACUGAUUUGAGAACUAAACAUGAAAAAGGAGAGAGGAUAGACAAAAUCUAACCAUAUUAAACAACUUUAUUUGAGCGAAUAGAGCAAAAAUGUGGCUAAAAUGUGGCUAAACUUGAGAGAGGAUACACUCUCUCUCCAAUGGUGAAACCCUAGAUCCAAAAUGUGGCUAAAAUUGAGCAAAAAUGAAUAAAAAUUGACAUUAGCAACAUAAACCAACCUUUCUUAGCAAUCUUCUUCCAAAAAAUGAAGAUCAAAACCUCUCCCCAUGUAUUUUGUGAAUUCUGGACCUCCAAAAUCGCCUCCAAUGGAAGUUGGCUGCGAGCAUACAGUUCACUGUCGGGGGAAGAGGGGUAUUUAUAACAGACACUUCACUGGCGGUUGUCUUUAAAAACCGCCAGUGAAAAUUGAUUUCCACUGGCGGUUGUCUUUAAAAACCGCCAGUGGAAAUAGGAUGUUUCCACUGGCGGUUAAGUUAAGAUAACCGCCAGUGGAAACCUAUUUCCACUGGCGGUUUGUGUAACACAACCGCCAGUGGAAACAUCCUAUUUUCACUGGCGGUUGUGUUAAGAUAACCGCCAGUGGAAAUAGGUUUCCACUGGCGGUUUUUAAAGCCGGGCCCACCUGUUUCUUUCACUGGCGUUUGAUAACGGAAACCGCCAGUGAAAAGUUCAACGUGCCGCAGGCUUUGAACUUAUUUGUACUAGUGUAAUCAAACAACGGCUGCUUCUAGGUCAAUACACACAGUAUGAACGGAUGUGCGUAACAUACCUAUCAUAAGGUAUAGGCUGCAGCACACUCGGUAUUGAUGGGCCAACAGAAAUUGUGCGUACUGUGCGCGGCUGUAAAAUGGACAUGAACUCAUAUACAAUGCAAGAACUUUUGUCCGGUCUGGGCCACCGGUUAGCAGGUCCUGAUUUCGAUGGUAGACUGGUAGCUUGAUCUGGUCGUCGUAUCGUAGAGGGAUAUAUAAAAUCCUGUAACUUUUAAAGGAGCGCUCAUAGAUGAUGUCAGGGUUGUUUGAAUGCACUAAAGAUAAUAGUUAGCUAAUAAAAUUAGUCGAUAACAUCCGAACGGUCUAGCUAAUAGUUUAACAAUUAACUAGUUUUAAAAAAUUAACUAAUAGUUAGCUAGAUAUUUCUUAGGAUGUGUUUGUUUUCCUCCCAAAUUAUAUAAGUUGGCUUAUAGUGUAAAUGUAGGAGGAUAAAAUAUCACUUUGAAAUCACAAAUAAAUUGAAAUAAGCUAGCAUUGAAUAACUUAUUUUAGCUUAUUUGUGAUCUCAAAACGAUAUUUUACCCUCCUGCUCUUGGACCAUAAUCCAACUUAUACAAUAUAGGGGAGAAACAAAUAUGGCCUUAGCUAGCUAAUAUAAUUCCACUAACAUUUUCUUUAGCCAAUAACUAUUAUCUCAAACAACCCCGAAGCCUGGCGAUCAGCGAUUUCCGGGUGGCGCUGAUAUUCCCUCUCCUCGCACGCCGCGUUAUCUAGCUAGUUGUCCAAGUGCUCACACCAAAGACCAAGUUGUCGGAUUUUAAAAACGAGUAGCAACUAGAGAUAAAGCCUGUAGUUGUGCUAACUGUAGUCACACCACGACGUGUUAAUCACUGACUUAAAGGGUGUUUGGUUUCUAGGGACUAAUUAUUAGUUCCUCAAUUUUAUUCCAUUUUAGUCCCUAAAUUACUAAAUAUAGAAACUAAAACUCUAUUUUAGUUUCCCUAUUUAACAAUUUAUGAACUAAAAUGAAAUAAAGUGGAGGGACUAAUGUUUAGUCUCUAUAAACCAAACACCCCCUUAUUGUACUUCGCUAGCAACUCUCUUUUGUCCAUUAGCAAAUACUAGAGAGAGGUGCAAAAAAAAAGCAGCAGCACCACAGGGCGACGAGAACUAUAUAUGCUUAUAUAUCGUCCACAUGUGUUAACCACCGAAUUAUUGUACUUCCACGGCUCCAUAUGCAUCCACCGCAUCAGGGCAUAAAUUCCUCGAUGAACCAAAAUCAUCAAGAAAAAAGAAAAAAUCGUCUAGAAAGUAUUUCUUGAGAGAUGACUAUCAAACAAUAAUGGCCGCUAGAUAUAGAGAGCAAGCGAAAAUUGACUAAUCCUUUGGCAGUUUGGAUUUCUGGCACUAAAAAAAUACAAGGAAAUUUCUGUUGGUUUGGUGUAGCGUUCGCUCCGAGCUAGCUCUGCGGCGUUCGCUAGCAAACACACACACAGGCAGCGAACUGCAAAAUAUCAGGCACGAACCACGCAAGGUUGCUUCGCGAUCAACGACUAGGCGUCACGGGUGAUAGUAUGAGAACACAUCGUCACAUGCAACCCAGCUGGAGUAGUGUGGGACUGCCCAUACAUGCGACUUCAAGCCGACUCGAUCGGUUGAUGAUUUCAGAGUCACACUUCUUCAUCAUUUCGCAACUAAAUGUAUAUUAAUUAGCGGAGAACUUCCAUCAGAUCCGAUCAUGCACGAACAUCGGUGUUCUUGCUAGCACAACCGGCAGGCAAAAUAACGAAAUAAUCAACCAGAAUCACACGACACACAUCUGCAUGAUUUUUAUUCAGUGAAUACGAAGUAAUCAACCAGAAUCAACAAGAACGGAAAGCGGGUAGCGUUUUGUUCAAUCGUCUAUAUGAAAGGUCAGUAAAUACAUGAUUUUUUAUUGACCACCAUAGACUUAAGAAAACUGCUAGUAAAGAUACAUCUGCAUGCACUGAUGGUUUAUAGUAGCCAUGGGCUCGUAGUUUUCAUUUCUACUAGUGCAUGUAUAUUAUAAACUGCCAUUUAAAAAUCGUAAGUGCCAGCGAAAAUCAAUUGUGUGCUAGCUACUAGCUAGUAGUGGUGCUUAAGUUGAUCAUACAUUCAUUCAGUGAACACCGAAACAUGUGAAAGAAGAGCGUCUUAACCUAUUUACAGGUCAACAGCGCAUACCUCUAAAUUAAAAGUAAACCUGAGAUUUACCAAAAUUCAGUGUCUACGAUAUGAUUUUUUCUACCUCGUAAAGUUAUAAUCAGUGUGAUAGAUCCUUUUAUAUCCCUUUAUGAUGUACACCGGUAAGGCAAUUAAGUAAAACGUGUCAAGUAGUAAAUAUAUAUAAGUUGGCAACUCACGAGAUGCAUGGCAGGAGUCCUGACCCAUCACGGGCUAUAGCUAUAGCUCUUGUUACGUGAAUUCAGCAUGAUUGCUCAACUUGAUUCUGUAUUUCCACAUGGGGAACAAUUGGCAUAUCUCCCGCUAAUAACUGGCGCGUUCAGAUACAACCAUGCAAUGACCAGAUCGAUCGAAUCACACACACACAUGCAUUGGAGCAUUCAUGUGCGAAUGCCGCCAAGCACGAAAGCAUCUCCCUCCACACCAUCCAUCAGCUAUAAAAACCAAGCCAAACACCCUGUGAAAACCAUCCCAAAGAGCACGCAGCGCAGCACUGAAGCACCACUUCCUGCACUCACUGCUAGCUGCUCACACCGUGCUAGUAACAGUCCAUCACCAGUCACCACCAAUGGCUCCCAAGGUUGCGCUCUUCCUUGCCCUCGGCCUUCUCUUCGCUGCCGCCGCGAAUGGCUGCGAACCCUACUGUCCCGGCCCAGUCGUCCCAACGCCGCCAGUCGUGCCGACGCCGUCGUCGCACAGCCACGGCCGCUGCCCGAUCGACGCGCUCAAACUCAAGGUGUGCGCCAACGUGCUAGGCCUCGUCAAGGUCGGCCUGCCCCAGCACGAGCAAUGCUGCCCACUGCUGGAGGGGCUGGUGGACCUCGAUGUCGCACUGUGCCUCUGCACCGCCAUCAAGGCCAACGUCCUCGGCAUCCACCUCAAUAUGCCCCUUAGCCUCAACCUCAUCCUCAACAACUGCGGCAAGAUUUGCCCGGAGGACUUCACUUGCCCCAACUAAUUGAGCUGAAUAUGGAGAUAAAACCAGCAUCCAAGGAAUGUACCCCUUAAUAUUCGAUCUCGCGAUUCUGAUUGUGACUUGAUCAUCAUCACUGUUUAUCUAUUUUUAUAUUUUAUACUUAAUUAUCAAUAAGAAACAUUCACAUUUUUUGUUUUGAGAAAGAGGGCAAAAUAUGUGCACCAUUACUGUUUUAGAACAAUCGUGUUCUCUGUCUCCCUGAGGAGUUUUCCGGGAGGUAUCUAUAAGACAGAACGAGCGUUGAUCAAUAAAUCUCGUUGCCCUCCUAGUCAGUCAGAAUCUUCCUUUGUUGCAUAUCUAGCUAGGUGGCAUGCAGCGUACACGUGACG
rnacentral:lncRNA from 1 species